AGGUGCGAUCAUACCAGCACUAAUGCACCGGAUCCUAUCAAACUCCGCAGUUAAGCGUGCUUGGGCGAGAGUAGUACUAGGAUGGGUGACCUCUGGAAGUCCUUGUGUUGCACCUCUUUUUGCCAAAAUUUCUUGUUCUUUUUGUUAUUAGCGUAAUUUUACGUCGUUUUUGAAAAAUAAACUUCAAUUGUAUUUCAUUUUUUCCGUUAAUUUACGCACCCUAAAACUCUAUUCGUUAAUUAGCGUAGUUUGACGUAAUAAACUUAGAAAUGCAUAUAUACAAUUACAACGCUUUACUCUCAGGUGCGAUCAUACCAGCACUAAUGCACCGGAUCCAUCAGAACUCGCAGUUAAGCGUGCUUGGGCGAGAGUAGUACUAGGAUGGGUGACCUCCUAGGAAGUCCUUGUGUUGCACCUCUUUUUGCCAAAAAUUUUUGUUCUUUUUGUUAAUUAGCGUAAUUUUACGUCGUUUUUGAAAAAUAAACUUCAAUUGUAUUUUAUUUUUUCCGUUAAUUUACGCAACCUAAAACUCUAUUCGUUAAUUAGCGUAGUUUGACGUCUUUUUUGAAAAAUAAACUUAGAAAUGCAUAUAUACAAUUACAACGCUUUACUCUCAGGUGCGAUCAUACCAGCAUAAUGCACGGAUCCCAUCAGAACUCCGCAGUUAAGCGUGCUUGGGCGAGAGUAGUACUAGGAUGGGUGACCUCCUGGGAAGUCCUUGUGUUGCACCUCUUUUUUGCCAAAAUUUUACGUCGUUUUUGAAAAAUAAACUUCGAUUGUAUUUCAUUUUUUCCGUUAAUUUACGCACCUAAAACUCUAUUCGUUAAUUAGCGUAGUUUGACGUCUUUUUUGAAAAAUAAACUUAGAAAUGCAUAUAUACAAUUACAACGCUUUACUCUCAGGUGCGAUCAUACCAGCACUAAUGCACCGGAUCCCAUCAGAACUCCGCAGUUAAGCGUGCUUGGGCGAGAGUAGUACUAGGAUGGGUGACCUCCUGGGAAGUCCUUGUGUUGCACCUCUUUUUGCCAAAAUUUCUUGUUCUUUUUGUUAAUUAGCGUAAUUUUACGUCGUUUUUGAAAAAUAAACUUCAAUUGUAUUUCAUUUUUUCCGUUAAUUUACGCACCCUAAAACUCUAUUGUUAAUUAGCGUAGUUUGACGUUUUUUUGAAAAAUAAACUUAGAAAUGCAUAUAUACAAUUACAACGCUUUACUCUCAGGUGCGAUCAUACCAGCACUAAUGCACCGGAUUCAUCAGAACUCCGCAGUUAAGCGCGCUUGGGCGAGAGUAGUACUAGGAUGGGUGACCUCCUGGGAAGUCCUUGUGUUGCACCUCUUUUUGCCAAAAUUUUACGUCGUUUUUGAAAAUAAACUUCAAUUGUAUUUCAUUUUUUCCGUUAAUUUACGCAACCUAAAACUCUAUUCGUUAAUUAGCGUAGUUUGACGUUUUUUUGAAAAAUAAACUUAGAAAUGCAUAUAUACAAUUACAACGCUUUACUCUCAGGUGCGAUCAUACCAGCAUAAUGCACGGAUCCCAUCAGAACUCCGCAGUUAAGCGUGCUUGGGCGAGAGUAGUACUAGGAUGGGUGACCUCCUGGAAGUCCUUGUGUUGCACCUCUUUUUGCCAAAAUUUCUUGUUCUUUUUGUUAAUUAGCGUAAUUUUACGUCGUUUUGAAAAAUAAACUUCGAUUGUAUUUCAUUUUUUCCGUUAAUUUACGCAACCUAAAACUCUAUUCGUUAAUUAGCGUAGUUUGACGUCUUUUUUGAAAAAUAAACUUAGAAAUGCAUAUAUACAAUUACAACGCUUUACUCUCAGGUGCGAUCAUACCAGCACUAAUGCACCGGAUCCCAUCAGAACUCCGCAGUUAAGCGUGCUUGGGCGAGAGUAGUACUAGGAUGGGUGACCUCCUGGGAAGUCCUUGUGUUGCACCUCUUUUUGCCAAAAUUUCUUGUUCUUUUUGUUAAUUAGCGUAAUUUUACGUCGUUUUUGAAAAUAAACUUCAUUGUAUUUCAUUUUUUCCGUUAAUUUACGCAACCUAAAACUCUAUUCGUUAAUUAGCGUAGUUUGACGUCUUUUUUGAAAAAUAAACUUAGAAAUGCAUAUAUACAAUUACAACGCUUUACUCUCAGGUGCGAUCAUACCAGCACUAAUGCACCGGAUCCCAUCAGAACUCCGCAGUUAAGCGUGCUUGGGCGAGAGUAGUACUAGGAUGGGUGACCUCCUGGGAAGUCCUUGUGUUGCACCUCUUUUUGCCAAAAUUUCUUGUUCUUUUUGUUAAUUAGCGUAAUUUUACGUCGUUUUUGAAAAAUAAACUUCAUUGUAUUUCAUUUUUUCCGUUAAUUUACGCAACCUAAAACUCUAUUCGUUAAUUAGCGUAGUUUGACGUCUUUUUUGAAAAAUAAACUUAGAAAUGCAUAUAUACAAUUACAACGCUUUACUCUCAGGUGCGAUCAUACCAGCACUAAUGCACGGAUCCCAUCAGAACUCCGCAGUUAAGCGUGCUUGGGCGAGAGUAGUACUAGGAUGGGUGACCUCCUGGGAAGUCCUUGUGUUGCACCUCUUUUUGCCAAAAUUUUACGUCGUUUUUGAAAAAUAAACUUCGAUUGUAUUUCAUUUUUUCCGUUAAUUUACGCAACCUAAAACUCUAUUCGUUAAUUAGCGUAGUUUGACGUCUUUUUUGAAAAAUAAACUUAGAAAUGCAUAUAUACAAUUACAACGCUUUACUCUCAGGUGCGAUCAUACCAGCACUAAUGCACCGGAUCCCAUCAGAACUCCGCAGUUAAGCGUGCUUGGGCGAGAGUAGUACUAGGAUGGGUGACCUCCUGGAAGUCCUUGUGUUGCACCUCUUUUUGCCAAAAUUUCUUGUUCUUUUUGUUAAUUAGCGUAAUUUUACGUCGUUUUUGAAAAAUAAACUUCGAUUGUAUUUCAUUUUUUCCGUUAAUUUACGCAACCUAAAACUCUAUUCGUUAAUUAGCGUAGUUUGACGUCUUUUUUGAAAAAUAAACUUAGAAAUGCAUAUAUACAAUUACAACGCUUUACUCUCAGGUGCGAUCAUACCAGCACUAAUGCACCGGAUCCCAUCAGAACUCCGCAGUUAAGCGUGCUUGGGCGAGAGUAGUACUAGGAUGGGUGACCUCCUGGGAAGUCCUUGUGUUGCACCUCUUUUUGCCAAAAUUUUACGUCGUUUUUGAAAAAUAAACUUCGAUUGUAUUUCAUUUUUUCCGUUAAUUUACGCAACCUAAAACUCUAUUCGUUAAUUAGCGUAGUUUGACGUCUUUUUUGAAAAAUAAACUUAGAAAUGCAUAUAUACAAUUACAACGCUUUACUCUCAGGUGCGAUCAUACCAGCACUAAUGCACCGGAUCCCAUCAGAACUCCGCAGUUAAGCGUGCUUGGGCGAGAGUAGUACUAGGAUGGGUGACCUCCUGGGAAGUCCUUGUGUUGCACCUCUUUUUGCCAAAAUUUUACGUCGUUUUUGAAAAAUAAACUUCGAUUGUAUUUCAUUUUUUCCGUUAAUUUACGCAACCUAAAACUCUAUUCGUUAAUUAGCGUAGUUUGACGUCUUUUUUGAAAAAUAAACUUAGAAAUGCAUAUAUACAAUUACAACGCUUUACUCUCAGGUGCGAUCAUACCAGCACUAAUGCACCGGAUCCCAUCAGAACUCCGCAGUUAAGCGUGCUUGGGCGAGAGUAGUACUAGGAUGGGUGACCUCCUGGGAAGUCCUUGUGUUGCACCUCUUUUUGCCAAAAUUUCUUGUUCUUUUGUUAUUAGCGUAAUUUUACGUCGUUUUUGAAAAAUAAACUUCAAUUGUAUUUCAUUUUUUCCGUUAAUUUACGCAACCUAAAACUCUAUUCGUUAAUUAGCGUAGUUUGACGUCUUUUUUGAAAAAUAAACUUAGAAAUGCAUAUAUACAAUUACAACGCUUUACUCUCAGGUGCGAUCAUACCAGCACUAAUGCACCGGAUCCCAUCAGAACUCCGCAGUUAAGCGUGCUUGGGCGAGAGUAGUACUAGGAUGGGUGACCUCCUGGGAAGUCCUUGUGUUGCACCUCUUUUUGCCAAAAUUUUUUACGUCGUUUUUGAAAAAUAAACUUCGAUUGUAUUUCAUUUUUUCCGUUAAUUUACGCAACCUAAAACUCUAUUCGUUAAUUAGCGUAGUUUGACGUCUUUUUUGAAAAUAAACUUAGAAAUGCAUAUAUACAAUUACAACGCUUUACUCUCAGGUGCGAUCAUACCAGCACUAAUGCACCGGAUCCCAUCAGAACUCCGCAGUUAAGCGUGCUUGGGCGAGAGUAGUACUAGGAUGGGUGACCUCCUGGGAAGUCCUUGUGUUGCACCUCUUUUUGCCAAAAUUUUUGUUUUUUGUUAUUAGCGUAAUUUUACGUCGUUUUUGAAAAAUAAACUUCAAUUGUAUUUCAUUUUUUCCGUUAAUUUACGCAGCCUAAAACUCUAUUCGUUAAUUAGCGUAGUUUGACGUCUUUUUUGAAAAAUAAACUUAGAAAUGCAUAUAUACAAUUACAACGCUUUACUCUCAGGUGCGAUCAUACCAGCACUAAUGCACCGGAUCCCAUCAGAACUCCGCAGUUAAGCGUGCUUGGGCGAGAGUAGUACUAGGAUGGGUGACCUCCUGGGAAGUCCUUGUGUUGCACCUCUUUUUGCCAAAAUUUUACGUCGUUUUUGAAAAAUAAACUUCGAUUGUAUUUCAUUUUUUCCGUUAAUUUACGCAACCUAAAACUCUAUUCGUUAAUUAGCGUAGUUUGACGUCUUUUUUGAAAAAUAAACUUAGAAAUGCAUAUAUACAAUUACAACGCUUUACUCUCAGGUGCGAUCAUACCAGCACUAAUGCACCGGAUCCCAUCAGAACUCCGCAGUUAAGCGUGCUUGGGCGAGAGUAGUACUAGGAUGGGUGACCUCCUGGAAGUCCUUGUGUUGCACCUCUUUUUGCCAAAAUUUCUUGUUCUUUUUGUUAAUUAGCGUAAUUUUACGUCGUUUUUGAAAAAUAAACUUCGAUUGUAUUUCAUUUUUUCCGUUAAUUUACGCAACCUAAAACUCUAUUCGUUAAUUAGCGUAGUUUGACGUCUUUUUUGAAAAAUAAACUUAGAAAUGCAUAUAUACAAUUACAACGCUUUACUCUCAGGUGCGAUCAUACCAGCACUAAUGCACGGAUCCCAUCAGAACUCCGCAGUUAAGCGUGCUUGGGCGAGAGUAGUACUAGGAUGGGUGACCUCCUGGAAGUCCUUGUGUUGCACCUCUUUUUGCCAAAAUUUUACGUCGUUUUUGAAAAUAAACUUCGAUUGUAUUUCAUUUUUUCCGUUAAUUUACGCAACCUAAAACUCUAUUCGUUAAUUAGCGUAGUUUGACGUCUUUUUUGAAAAAUAAACUUAGAAAUGCAUAUAUACAAUUACAACGCUUUACUCUCAGGUGCGAUCAUACCAGCACUAAUGCACCGGAUCCCAUCAGAACUCCGCAGUUAAGCGUGCUUGGGCGAGAGUAGUACUAGGAUGGGUGACCUCCUGGGAAGUCCUUGUGUUGCACCUCUUUUGCCAAAUUUUUGUUCUUUUGUAAUAAUUUUACGUCGUUUUUGAAAAAUAAACUUCGAUUGUAUUUCAUUUUUUCCGUUAAUUUACGCAACCUAAAACUCUAUUCGUUAAUUAGCGUAGUUUGACGUCUUUUUUGAAAAAUAAACUUAGAAAUGCAUAUAUACAAUUACAACGCUUUACUCUCAGGUGCGAUCAUACCAGCACUAAUGCACCGGAUCCCAUCAGAACUCCGCAGUUAAGCGUGCUUGGGCGAGAGUAGUACUAGGAUGGGUGACCUCCUGGGAAGUCCUUGUGUUGCACCUCUUUUUGCCAAAAGUUUUACGUCGUUUUUGAAAAAUAAACUUCGAUUGUAUUUCAUUUUUUCCGUUAAUUUACGCAACCUAAAACUCUAUUCGUUAAUUAGCGUAGUUUGACGUCUUUUUUGAAAAAUAAACUUAGAAAUGCAUAUAUACAAUUACAACGCUUUACUCUCAGGUGCGAUCAUACCAGCACUAAUGCACCGGAUCCCAUCAGAACUCCGCAGUUAAGCGUGCUUGGGCGAGAGUAGUACUAGGAUGGGUGACCUCCUGGGAAGUCCUUGUGUUGCACCUCUUUUUGCCAAAAUUUUACGUCGUUUUUGAAAAAUAAACUUCGAUUGUAUUUCAUUUUUUCCGUUAAUUUACGCAACCUAAAACUCUAUUCGUUAAUUAGCGUAGUUUGACGUCUUUUUUGAAAAAUAAACUUAGAAAUGCAUAUAUACAAUUACAACGCUUUACUCUCAGGUGCGAUCAUACCAGCACUAAUGCACCGGAUCCCAUCAGAACUCCGCAGUUAAGCGUGCUUGGGCGAGAGUAGUACUAGGAUGGGUGACCUCCUGGGAAGUCCUUGUGUUGCACCUCUUUUUGCCAAAAUUUCUUGUUCUUUUUGUUAAUUAGCGUAAUUUUACGUCGUUUUGAAAAAUAAACUUCGAUUGUAUUUCAUUUUUUCCGUUAAUUUACGCAACCUAAAACUCUAUUCGUUAAUUAGCGUAGUUUGACGUCUUUUUUGAAAAAUAAACUUAGAAAUGCAUAUAUACAAUUACAACGCUUUACUCUCAGGUGCGAUCAUACCAGCACUAAUGCACCGGAUCCCAUCAGAACUCCGCAGUUAAGCGUGCUUGGGCGAGAGUAGUACUAGGAUGGGUGACCUCCUGGGAAGUCCUUGUGUUGCACCUCUUUUUGCCAAAAUUUUACGUCGUUUUUGAAAAAUAAACUUCGAUUGUAUUUCAUUUUUUCCGUUAAUUUACGCAACCUAAAACUCUAUUCGUUAAUUAGCGUAGUUUGACGUCUUUUUGAAAAAUAAACUUAGAAAUGCAUAUAUACAAUUACAACGCUUUACUCUCAGGUGCGAUCAUACCAGCACUAAUGCACCGGAUCCCAUCAGAACUCCGCAGUUAAGCGUGCUUGGGCGAGAGUAGUACUAGGAUGGGUGACCUCCUGGGAAGUCCUUGUGUUGCACCUCUUUUUGCCAAAAUUUUACGUCGUUUUUGAAAAAUAAACUUCGAUUGUAUUUCAUUUUUUCCGUUAAUUUACGCAACCUAAAACUCUAUUCGUUAAUUAGCGUAGUUUGACGUCUUUUUUGAAAAAUAAACUUAGAAAUGCAUAUAUACAAUUACAACGCUUUACUCUCAGGUGCGAUCAUACCAGCACUAAUGCACCGGAUCCCAUCAGAACUCCGCAGUUAAGCGUGCUUGGGCGAGAGUAGUACUAGGAUGGGUGACCUCCUGGAAGUCCUUGUGUUGCACCUCUUUUUGCCAAAAUUUUUACGUCGUUUUUGAAAAAUAAACUUCGAUUGUAUUUCAUUUUUUCCGUUAAUUUACGCAACCUAAAACUCUAUUCGUUAAUUAGCGUAGUUUGACGUCUUUUUUGAAAAAUAAACUUAGAAAUGCAUAUAUACAAUUACAACGCUUUACUCUCAGGUGCGAUCAUACCAGCACUAAUGCACCGGAUCCCAUCAGAACUCCGCAGUUAAGCGUGCUUGGCGAGAGUAGUACUAGGAUGGGUGACCUCCUGGAAGUCCUUGUGUUGCACCUCUUUUUGCCAAAGUAAUUUUACGUCGUUUUUGAAAAAUAAACUUCGAUUGUAUUUCAUUUUUUCCGUUAAUUUACGCAACCUAAAACUCUAUUCGUUAAUUAGCGUAGUUUGACGUCUUUUUUGAAAAUAAACUUAGAAAUGCAUAUAUACAAUUACAACGCUUUACUCUCAGGUGCGAUCAUACCAGCACUAAUGCACCGGAUCCCAUCAGAACUCCGCAGUUAAGCGUGCUUGGGCGAGAGUAGUACUAGGAUGGGUGACCUCCUGGGAAGUCCUUGUGUUGCACCUCUUUUUGCCAAAAUUUUUUUUUUUUUUAAUUACGUCGUUUUUGAAAAAUAAACUUCAAUUGUAUUUCAUUUUUUCCGUUAAUUAAAUUACGCAGCCUAAAACUCUAUUCGUUAAUUAGCGUAGUUUGACGUCUUUUUUGAAAAAUAAACUUAGAAAUGCAUAUAUACAAUUACAACGCUUUACUCUCAGGUGCGAUCAUACCAGCACUAAUGCACCGGAUCCCAUCAGAACUCCGCAGUUAAGCGUGCUUGGGCGAGAGUAGUACUAGGAUGGGUGACCUCCUGGGAAGUCCUUGUGUUGCACCUCUUUUUGCCAAAUUUUUGUUUUUUUUUAUUUUACGUCGUUUUUGAAAAUAAACUUCAUUGUAUUUCAUUUUUUCCGUUAAUUUACGCAGUCUAAAACUCUAUUCGUUAAUUACCGUAGUUUGACGUCUUUUUGAAAAUAAACUUAGAAAUGCAUAUAUACAAUUACAACGCUUUACUCUCAGGUGCGAUCAUACAGCACUAAUGCACGGAUCCCAUCAGAACUCCGCAGUUAAGCGUGCUUGGGCGAGAGUAGUACUAGGAUGGGUGACCUCCUGGGAAGUCCUUGUGUUGCACCUCUUUUUGCCAAAAUUUUACGUCGUUUUUGAAAAAUAAACUUCGAUUGUAUUUCAUUUUUUCCGUUAAUUUACGCAACCUAAAACUCUAUUCGUUAAUUAGCGUAGUUUGACGUCUUUUUUGAAAAAUAAACUUAGAAAUGCAUAUAUACAAUUACAACGCUUUACUCUCAGGUGCGAUCAUACCAGCACUAAUGCACCGGAUCCCAUCAGAACUCCGCAGUUAAGCGUGCUUGGGCGAGAGUAGUACUAGGAUGGGUGACCUCCUGGAAGUCCUUGUGUUGCACCUCUUUUUGCCAAAAUUUCUUGUUCUUUUGUUAAUUAGCGUAAUUUUACGUCGUUUUUGAAAAAUAAACUUCGAUUGUAUUUCAUUUUUUUCCGUUAAUUUACGCAACCUAAAACUCUAUUCGUUAAUUAGCGUAGUUUGACGUCUUUUUUGAAAAAUAAACUUAGAAAUGCAUAUAUACAAUUACAACGCUUUACUCUCAGGUGCGAUCAUACCAGCACUAAUGCACCGGAUCCCAUCAGAACUCCGCAGUUAAGCGUGCUUGGGCGAGAGUAGUACUAGGAUGGGUGACCUCCUGGGAAGUCCUUGUGUUGCACCUCUUUUUGCCAAAAUUUUACGUCGUUUUUGAAAAAUAAACUUCGAUUGUAUUUCAUUUUUUCCGUUAAUUUACGCAACCUAAAACUCUAUUCGUUAAUUAGCGUAGUUUGACGUCUUUUUUGAAAAAUAAACUUAGAAAUGCAUAUAUACAAUUACAACGCUUUACUCUCAGGUGCGAUCAUACCAGCACUAAUGCACCGGAUCCCAUCAGAACUCCGCAGUUAAGCGUGCUUGGGCGAGAGUAGUACUAGGAUGGGUGACCUCCUGGAAGUCCUUGUGUUGCACCUCUUUUUGCCAAAAGUUUUUACGUCGUUUUUGAAAAAUAAACUUCGAUUGUAUUUCAUUUUUUUCCGUUAAUUUACGCAACCUAAAACUCUAUUCGUUAAUUAGCGUAGUUUGACGUCUUUUUUGAAAAAUAAACUUAGAAAUGCAUAUAUACAAUUACAACGCUUUACUCUCAGGUGCGAUCAUACCAGCACUAAUGCACCGGAUCCCAUCAGAACUCCGCAGUUAAGCGUGCUUGGGCGAGAGUAGUACUAGGAUGGGUGACCUCCUGGGAAGUCCUUGUGUUGCACCUCUUUUUGCCAAAUUUUUUUUUUUGUUAUUAGCGUAAUUUUACGUCGUUUUUGAAAAUAAACUUCGAUUGUAUUUCAUUUUUUCCGUUAAUUUACGCAACCUAAAACUCUAUUCGUUAAUUAGCGUAGUUUGACGUCUUUUUUGAAAAAUAAACUUAGAAAUGCAUAUAUACAAUUACAACGCUUUACUCUCAGGUGCGAUCAUACCAGCACUAAUGCACCGGAUCCCAUCAGAACUCCGCAGUUAAGCGUGCUUGGGCGAGAGUAGUACUAGGAUGGGUGACCUCCUGGAAGUCCUUGUGUUGCACCUCUUUUUGCCAAAAUUUUACGUCGUUUUUGAAAAAUAAACUUCGAUUGUAUUUCAUUUUUUCCGUUAAUUUACGCAACCUAAAACUCUAUUCGUUAAUUAGCGUAGUUUGACGUCUUUUUUGAAAAAUAAACUUAGAAAUGCAUAUAUACAAUUACAACGCUUUACUCUCAGGUGCGAUCAUACCAGCACUAAUGCACCGGAUCCCAUCAGAACUCCGCAGUUAAGCGUGCUUGGGCGAGAGUAGUACUAGGAUGGGUGACCUCCUGGGAAGUCCUUGUGUUGCACCUCUUUUUGCCAAAAGUUUUUACGUCGUUUUUGAAAAAUAAACUUCGAUUGUAUUUCAUUUUUUCCGUUAAUUUACGCAACCUAAAACUCUAUUCGUUAAUUAGCGUAGUUUGACGUCUUUUUUGAAAAAUAAACUUAGAAAUGCAUAUAUACAAUUACAACGCUUUACUCUCAGGUGCGAUCAUACCAGCACUAAUGCACCGGAUCCCAUCAGAACUCCGCAGUUAAGCGUGCUUGGGCGAGAGUAGUACUAGGAUGGGUGACCUCCUGGGAAGUCCUUGUGUUGCACCUCUUUUUGCCAAAAUUUCUUUUACGUUCGUCUUUUUGAAAAAUAAACUUAGAAAUGCAUAUAUACAAUUACAACGCUUUACUCUCAGGUGCGAUCAUACAGCACUAAUGCACCGGAUCCAUCAGAACUCCGCAGUUAAGCGUGCUUGGGCGAGAGUAGUACUAGGAUGGGUGACCUCCUGGGAAGUCCUUGUGUUGCACCUCUUUUUGCCAAAAUUUUACGUCGUUUUUGAAAAAUAAACUUCGAUUGUAUUUCAUUUUUUCCGUUAAUUUACGCAACCUAAAACUCUAUUCGUUAAUUAGCGUAGUUUGACGUCUUUUUUGAAAAAUAAACUUAGAAAUGCAUAUAUACAAUUACAACGCUUUACUCUCAGGUGCGAUCAUACCAGCACUAAUGCACCGGAUCCCAUCAGAACUCCGCAGUUAAGCGUGCUUGGGCGAGAGUAGUACUAGGAUGGGUGACCUCCUGGAAGUCCUUGUGUUGCACCUCUUUUUGCCAAACGUAUUUUACGUCGUUUUUGAAAAAUAAACUUCGAUUGUAUUUCAUUUUUUCCGUUAAUUUACGCAACCUAAAACUCUAUUCGUUAAUUAGCGUAGUUUGACGUCUUUUUUGAAAAUAAACUUAGAAAUGCAUAUAUACAAUUACAACGCUUUACUCUCAGGUGCGAUCAUACCAGCACUAAUGCACCGGAUCCCAUCAGAACUCCGCAGUUAAGCGUGCUUGGCGAGAGUAGUACUAGGAUGGGUGACCUCCUGGGAAGUCCUUGUGUUGCACCUCUUUUUGCCAAAAUUUUACGUCGUUUUUGAAAAAUAAACUUCGAUUGUAUUUCAUUUUUUCCGUUAAUUUACGCAACCUAAAACUCUAUUCGUUAAUUAGCGUAGUUUGACGUCUUUUUUGAAAAAUAAACUUAGAAAUGCAUAUAUACAAUUACAACGCUUUACUCUCAGGUGCGAUCAUACCAGCACUAAUGCACCGGAUCCCAUCAGAACUCCGCAGUUAAGCGUGCUUGGGCGAGAGUAGUACUAGGAUGGGUGACCUCCUGGGAAGUCCUUGUGUUGCACCUCUUUUUGCCAAAUUUUUGUUCUUUUGUUAAUAAUUUUACGUCGUUUUUGAAAAAUAAACUUCGAUUGUAUUUCAUUUUUUCCGUUAAUUUACGCAACCUAAAACUCUAUUCGUUAAUUAGCGUAGUUUGACGUCUUUUUUGAAAAAUAAACUUAGAAAUGCAUAUAUACAAUUACAACGCUUUACUCUCAGGUGCGAUCAUACCAGCACUAAUGCACCGGAUCCCAUCAGAACUCCGCAGUUAAGCGUGCUUGGGCGAGAGUAGUACUAGGAUGGGUGACCUCCUGGGAAGUCCUUGUGUUGCACCUCUUUUUGCCAAAAUUUUUACGUCGUUUUUGAAAAAUAAACUUCGAUUGUAUUUCAUUUUUUCCGUUAAUUUACGCAACCUAAAACUCUAUUCGUUAAUUAGCGUAGUUUGACGUCUUUUUUGAAAAAUAAACUUAGAAAUGCAUAUAUACAAUUACAACGCUUUACUCUCAGGUGCGAUCAUACCAGCACUAAUGCACCGGAUCCCAUCAGAACUCCGCAGUUAAGCGUGCUUGGGCGAGAGUAGUACUAGGAUGGGUGACCUCCUGGGAAGUCCUUGUGUUGCACCUCUUUUUGCCAAAAUUUUUACGUCGUUUUUGAAAAAUAAACUUCGAUUGUAUUUCAUUUUUUCCGUUAAUUUACGCAACCUAAAACUCUAUUCGUUAAUUAGCGUAGUUUGACGUCUUUUUUGAAAAAUAAACUUAGAAAUGCAUAUAUACAAUUACAACGCUUUACUCUCAGGUGCGAUCAUACCAGCACUAAUGCACCGGAUCCCAUCAGAACUCCGCAGUUAAGCGUGCUUGGGCGAGAGUAGUACUAGGAUGGGUGACCUCCUGGAAGUCCUUGUGUUGCACCUCUUUUUGCCAAAAUUUUGUUCUUUUGUUAAUUACGUAUUUUACGUCGUUUUGAAAAAUAAACUUCGAUUGUAUUUCAUUUUUUCCGUUAAUUUACGCAACCUAAAACUCUAUUCGUUAAUUAGCGUAGUUUGACGUCUUUUUUGAAAAAUAAACUUAGAAAUGCAUAUAUACAAUUACAACGCUUUACUCUCAGGUGCGAUCAUACCAGCACUAAUGCACCGGAUCCCAUCAGAACUCCGCAGUUAAGCGUGCUUGGGCGAGAGUAGUACUAGGAUGGGUGACCUCCUGGGAAGUCCUUGUGUUGCACCUCUUUUUGCCAAAAUUUUACGUCGUUUUUGAAAAAUAAACUUCGAUUGUAUUUCAUUUUUUCCGUUAAUUUACGCAACCUAAAACUCUAUUCGUUAAUUAGCGUAGUUUGACGUCUUUUUUGAAAAAUAAACUUAGAAAUGCAUAUAUACAAUUACAACGCUUUACUCUCAGGUGCGAUCAUACCAGCACUAAUGCACCGGAUCCCAUCAGAACUCCGCAGUUAAGCGUGCUUGGGCGAGAGUAGUACUAGGAUGGGUGACCUCCUGGGAAGUCCUUGUGUUGCACCUCUUUUUGCCAAAAUUUUACGUCGUUUUUGAAAAAUAAACUUCGAUUGUAUUUCAUUUUUUCCGUUAAUUUACGCAACCUAAAACUCUAUUCGUUAAUUAGCGUAGUUUGACGUCUUUUUUGAAAAAUAAACUUAGAAAUGCAUAUAUACAAUUACAACGCUUUACUCUCAGGUGCGAUCAUACCAGCACUAAUGCACCGGAUCCCAUCAGAACUCCGCAGUUAAGCGUGCUUGGCGAGAGUAGUACUAGGAUGGGUGACCUCCUGGAAGUCCUUGUGUUGCACCUCUUUUUGCCAAAAUUUUACGUCGUUUUUGAAAAAUAAACUUCGAUUGUAUUUCAUUUUUUCCGUUAAUUUACGCAACCUAAAACUCUAUUCGUUAAUUAGCGUAGUUUGACGUCUUUUUUGAAAAAUAAACUUAGAAAUGCAUAUAUACAAUUACAACGCUUUACUCUCAGGUGCGAUCAUACCAGCACUAAUGCACCGGAUCCCAUCAGAACUCCGCAGUUAAGCGUGCUUGGGCGAGAGUAGUACUAGGAUGGGUGACCUCCUGGGAAGUCCUUGUGUUGCACCUCUUUUUGCCAAAAUUGGUUUUACGUCGUUUUUGAAAAAUAAACUUCGAUUGUAUUUCAUUUUUUCCGUUAAUUUACGCAACCUAAAACUCUAUUCGUUAAUUAGCGUAGUUUGACGUCUUUUUUGAAAAAUAAACUUAGAAAUGCAUAUAUACAAUUACAACGCUUUACUCUCAGGUGCGAUCAUACCAGCACUAAUGCACCGGAUCCCAUCAGAACUCCGCAGUUAAGCGUGCUUGGGCGAGAGUAGUACUAGGAUGGGUGACCUCCUGGAAGUCCUUGUGUUGCACCUCUUUUUGCCAAAAUUGCGUUUUACGUCGUUUUUGAAAAAUAAACUUCGAUUGUAUUUCAUUUUUUCCGUUAAUUUACGCAACCUAAAACUCUAUUCGUUAAUUAGCGUAGUUUGACGUCUUUUUUGAAAAAUAAACUUAGAAAUGCAUAUAUACAAUUACAACGCUUUACUCUCAGGUGCGAUCAUACCAGCACUAAUGCACCGGAUCCCAUCAGAACUCCGCAGUUAAGCGUGCUUGGGCGAGAGUAGUACUAGGAUGGGUGACCUCCUGGAAGUCCUUGUGUUGCACCUCUUUUUGCCAAAAUUUUGUUCUUUUGUUAUUAGCGUAAUUUUACGUCGUUUUUGAAAAAUAAACUUCAAUUGUAUUUCAUUUUUUCCGUUAAUUUACGCAACCUAAAACUCUAUUCGUUAAUUAGCGUAGUUUGACGUCUUUUUUGAAAAAUAAACUUAGAAAUGCAUAUAUACAAUUACAACGCUUUACUCUCAGGUGCGAUCAUACCAGCACUAAUGCACCGGAUCCCAUCAGAACUCCGCAGUUAAGCGUGCUUGGGCGAGAGUAGUACUAGGAUGGGUGACCUCCUGGGAAGUCCUUGUGUUGCACCUCUUUUUAUUAGCGUAAUUUUACGUCGUUUUUGAAAAAUAAACUUCAUUGUAUUUCAUUUUUUCCGUUAAUUUACGCAACCUAAAACUCUAUUCGUUAAUUAGCGUAGUUUGACGUCUUUUUUGAAAAAUAAACUUAGAAAUGCAUAUAUACAAUUACAACGCUUUACUCUCAGGUGCGAUCAUACCAGCACUAAUGCACCGGAUCCCAUCAGAACUCCGCAGUUAAGCGUGCUUGGGCGAGAGUAGUACUAGGAUGGGUGACCUCCUGGGAAGUCCUUGUGUUGCACCUCUUUUUGCCAAAUUUUUACGUCGUUUUUGAAAAAUAAACUUCGAUUGUAUUUCAUUUUUUCCGUUAAUUUACGCAACCUAAAACUCUAUUCGUUAAUUAGCGUAGUUUGACGUCUUUUUUGAAAAAUAAACUUAGAAAUGCAUAUAUACAAUUACAACGCUUUACUCUCAGGUGCGAUCAUACCAGCACUAAUGCACCGGAUCCCAUCAGAACUCCGCAGUUAAGCGCGCUUGGGCGAGAGUAGUACUAGGAUGGGUGACCUCCUGGAAGUCCUUGUGUUGCACCUCUUUUUGCCAAAAUUUUGUUCUUUUGUUAUUAGCGUAAUUUUACGUCGUUUUUGAAAAAUAAACUUCAUUGUAUUUCAUUUUUUCCGUUAAUUUACGCAACCUAAAACUCUAUUCGUUAAUUAGCGUAGUUUGACGUCUUUUUUGAAAAAUAAACUUAGAAAUGCAUAUAUACAAUUACAACGCUUUACUCUCAGGUGCGAUCAUACCAGCACUAAUGCACCGGAUCCCAUCAGAACUCCGCAGUUAAGCGUGCUUGGGCGAGAGUAGUACUAGGAUGGGUGACCUCCUGGGAAGUCCUUGUGUUGCACCUCUUUUUGCCAAAAUUUUACGUCGUUUUUGAAAAAUAAACUUCAUUGUAUUUCAUUUUUUCCGUUAAUUUACGCAACCUAAAACUCUAUUCGUUAAUUAGCGUAGUUUGACGUCUUUUUUGAAAAAUAAACUUAGAAAUGCAUAUAUACAAUUACAACGCUUUACUCUCAGGUGCGAUCAUACCAGCACUAAUGCACCGGAUCCCAUCAGAACUCCGCAGUUAAGCGUGCUUGGGCGAGAGUAGUACUAGGAUGGGUGACCUCCUGGGAAGUCCUUGUGUUGCACCUCUUUUUGCCAAAAUUUCUUGUUCUUUUUGUUAAUUAGCGUAAUUUUACGUCGUUUUUGAAAAAUAAACUUCAUUGUAUUUCAUUUUUUCCGUUAAUUUACGCAACCUAAAACUCUAUUCGUUAAUUAGCGUAGUUUGACGUCUUUUUUGAAAAAUAAACUUAGAAAUGCAUAUAUACAAUUACAACGCUUUACUCUCAGGUGCGAUCAUACCAGCACUAAUGCACCGGAUCCCAUCAGAACUCCGCAGUUAAGCGUGCUUGGGCGAGAGUAGUACUAGGAUGGGUGACCUCCUGGGAAGUCCUUGUGUUGCACCUCUUUUUGCCAAAAUUUUAUACGUUCGUUUUUGAAAAAUAAACUUCGAUUGUAUUUCAUUUUUUCCGUUAAUUUACGCAACCUAAAACUCUAUUCGUUAAUUAGCGUAGUUUGACGUCUUUUUUGAAAAAUAAACUUAGAAAUGCAUAUAUACAAUUACAACGCUUUACUCUCAGGUGCGAUCAUACCAGCACUAAUGCACCGGAUCCCAUCAGAACUCCGCAGUUAAGCGUGCUUGGGCGAGAGUAGUACUAGGAUGGGUGACCUCCUGGGAAGUCCUUGUGUUGCACCUCUUUUUGCCAAAAUUUUACGUCGUUUUUGAAAAAUAAACUUCGAUUGUAUUUCAUUUUUUCCGUUAAUUUACGCAACCUAAAACUCUAUUCGUUAAUUAGCGUAGUUUGACGUCUUUUUUGAAAAAUAAACUUAGAAAUGCAUAUAUACAAUUACAACGCUUUACUCUCAGGUGCGAUCAUACCAGCACUAAUGCACCGGAUCCCAUCAGAACUCCGCAGUUAAGCGUGCUUGGGCGAGAGUAGUACUAGGAUGGGUGACCUCCUGGGAAGUCCUUGUGUUGCACCUCUUUUUGCCAAAAUUUCUUGUUCUUUUUGUUAAUUAGCGUAAUUUUACGUCGUUUUUGAAAAAUAAACUUCAUUGUAUUUCAUUUUUUCCGUUAAUUUACGCAACCUAAAACUCUAUUCGUUAAUUAGCGUAGUUUGACGUCUUUUUUGAAAAAUAAACUUAGAAAUGCAUAUAUACAAUUACAACGCUUUACUCUCAGGUGCGAUCAUACCAGCACUAAUGCACCGGAUCCCAUCAGAACUCCGCAGUUAAGCGUGCUUGGGCGAGAGUAGUACUAGGAUGGGUGACCUCCUGGGAAGUCCUUGUGUUGCACCUCUUUUUGCCAAAAUUUCUUGUUCUUUUUGUUAAUUAGCGUAAUUUUACGUCGUUUUUGAAAAAUAAACUUCAUUGUAUUUCAUUUUUUCCGUUAAUUUACGCAACCUAAAACUCUAUUCGUUAAUUAGCGUAGUUUGACGUCUUUUUUGAAAAAUAAACUUAGAAAUGCAUAUAUACAAUUACAACGCUUUACUCUCAGGUGCGAUCAUACCAGCACUAAUGCACCGGAUCCCAUCAGAACUCCGCAGUUAAGCGUGCUUGGGCGAGAGUAGUACUAGGAUGGGUGACCUCCUGGGAAGUCCUUGUGUUGCACCUCUUUUUGCCAAAAUUUUACGUCGUUUUUGAAAAAUAAACUUCAUUGUAUUUCAUUUUUUCCGUUAAUUUACGCAACCUAAAACUCUAUUCGUUAAUUAGCGUAGUUUGACGUCUUUUUUGAAAAAUAAACUUAGAAAUGCAUAUAUACAAUUACAACGCUUUACUCUCAGGUGCGAUCAUACCAGCACUAAUGCACCGGAUCCCAUCAGAACUCCGCAGUUAAGCGUGCUUGGGCGAGAGUAGUACUAGGAUGGGUGACCUCCUGGGAAGUCCUUGUGUUGCACCUCUUUUUGCCAAAAUUUCUUGUUCUUUUUGUUAAUUAGCGUAAUUUUACGUCGUUUUUGAAAAAUAAACUUCAAUUGUAUUUCAUUUUUUCCGUUAAUUUACGCAACCUAAAACUCUAUUCGUUAAUUAGCGUAGUUUGACGUCUUUUUUGAAAAAUAAACUUAGAAAUGCAUAUAUACAAUUACAACGCUUUACUCUCAGGUGCGAUCAUACCAGCACUAAUGCACCGGAUCCCAUCAGAACUCCGCAGUUAAGCGUGCUUGGGCGAGAGUAGUACUAGGAUGGGUGACCUCCUGGGAAGUCCUUGUGUUGCACCUCUUUUUGCCAAAAUUUCUUGUUCUUUUUGUUAAUUAGCGUAAUUUUACGUCGUUUUUGAAAAAUAAACUUCAAUUGUAUUUCAUUUUUUCCGUUAAUUUACGCAACCUAAAACUCUAUUCGUUAAUUAGCGUAGUUUGACGUCUUUUUUGAAAAAUAAACUUAGAAAUGCAUAUAUACAAUUACAACGCUUUACUCUCAGGUGCGAUCAUACCAGCACUAAUGCACCGGAUCCCAUCAGAACUCCGCAGUUAAGCGUGCUUGGGCGAGAGUAGUACUAGGAUGGGUGACCUCCUGGGAAGUCCUUGUGUUGCACCUCUUUUUGUUCUUGUCUAAUAAUUUUACGUCGUUUUUGAAAAAUAAACUUCAUUGUAUUUCAUUUUUUCCGUUAAUUUACGCAACCUAAAACUCUAUUCGUUAAUUAGCGUAGUUUGACGUCUUUUUUGAAAAAUAAACUUAGAAAUGCAUAUAUACAAUUACAACGCUUUACUCUCAGGUGCGAUCAUACCAGCACUAAUGCACCGGAUCCCAUCAGAACUCCGCAGUUAAGCGUGCUUGGGCGAGAGUAGUACUAGGAUGGGUGACCUCCUGGGAAGUCCUUGUGUUGCACCUCUUUUUGCCAAAAUUUUGUUCUUUUGUUAUUAGCGUAUUUUCGUUUUUGAAAAAUAAACUUCAAUUGUAUUUCAUUUUUUCCGUUAAUUUACGCAACCUAAAACUCUAUUCGUUAAUUAGCGUAGUUUGACGUCUUUUUUGAAAAAUAAACUUAGAAAUGCAUAUAUACAAUUACAACGCUUUACUCUCAGGUGCGAUCAUACCAGCACUAAUGCACCGGAUCCCAUCAGAACUCCGCAGUUAAGCGUGCUUGGGCGAGAGUAGUACUAGGAUGGGUGACCUCCUGGGAAGUCCUUGUGUUGCACCUCUUUUUGCCAAAAUUUCUUGUUCUUUUUGUUAAUUAGCGUAAUUUUACGUCGUUUUUGAAAAAUAAACUUCAUUGUAUUUCAUUUUUUCCGUUAAUUUACGCAACCUAAAACUCUAUUCGUUAAUUAGCGUAGUUUGACGUCUUUUUUGAAAAAUAAACUUAGAAAUGCAUAUAUACAAUUACAACGCUUUACUCUCAGGUGCGAUCAUACCAGCACUAAUGCACCGGAUCCCAUCAGAACUCCGCAGUUAAGCGGCUUGGCGAGAGUAGUACUAGGAUGGGUGACCUCCUGGGAAGUCCUUGUGUUGCACUCUUUUCUUUUUUUUUUUGUUAAUUAAUUUUACGUCGUUUUUGAAAAUAAACUUCAUUGUAUUUCAUUUUUUUCGUUAAUUUACGCACCCUAAAACUCUAUUCGUUAAUCAGCCUAGUUUGACGUCUUUUUUGAAAAAUAAACUUAGAAAUGCAUAUAUACAAUUACAACGCUUUACUCUCAGGUGCGAUCAUACCAGCACUAAUGCACCGGAUCCCAUCAGAACUCCGCAGUUAAGCGGGCUUGGGCGAGAGUAGUACUAGGAUGGGUGACCUCCUGGGAAGUCCUUGUGUUGCACCUCUUUUUGCCAAAUUUUGUUCUUUUGUUAAUUAGCGUAAUUUUACGUCGUUUUUGAAAAAUAAACUUCAAUUGUAUUUCAUUUUUUCCGUUAAUUUACGCAACCUAAAACUCUAUUCGUUAAUUAGCGUAGUUUGACGUCUUUUUUGAAAAAUAAACUUAGAAAUGCAUAUAUACAAUUACAACGCUUUACUCUCAGGUGCGAUCAUACCAGCACUAAUGCACCGGAUCCCAUCAGAACUCCGCAGUUAAGCGUGCUUGGGCGAGAGUAGUACUAGGAUGGGUGACCUCCUGGGAAGUCCUUGUGUUGCACCUCUUUUUGCCAAAAUUUCUUGUUCUUUUUGUUAAUUAGCGUAAUUUUACGUCGUUUUUGAAAAAUAAACUUCAAUUGUAUUUCAUUUUUUCCGUUAAUUUACGCAACCUAAAACUCUAUUCGUUAAUUAGCGUAGUUUGACGUCUUUUUUGAAAAAUAAACUUAGAAAUGCAUAUAUACAAUUACAACGCUUUACUCUCAGGUGCGAUCAUACCAGCACUAAUGCACCGGAUCCCAUCAGAACUCCGCAGUUAAGCGUGCUUGGGCGAGAGUAGUACUAGGAUGGGUGACCUCCUGGGAAGUCCUUGUGUUGCACCUCUUUUUGCCAAAAUUUCUUGUUCUUUUUGUUAAUUAGCGUAAUUUUACGUCGUUUUUGAAAAAUAAACUUCAUUGUAUUUCAUUUUUUCCGUUAAUUUACGCAACCUAAAACUCUAUUCGUUAAUUAGCGUAGUUUGACGUCUUUUUUGAAAAAUAAACUUAGAAAUGCAUAUAUACAAUUACAACGCUUUACUCUCAGGUGCGAUCAUACCAGCACUAAUGCACCGGAUCCCAUCAGAACUCCGCAGUUAAGCGUGCUUGGGCGAGAGUAGUACUAGGAUGGGUGACCUCCUGGGAAGUCCUUGUGUUGCACCUCUUUUUGCCAAAAUUUCUUGUUCUUUUUGUUAAUUAGCGUAAUUUUACGUCGUUUUUGAAAAAUAAACUUCAAUUGUAUUUCAUUUUUUCCGUUAAUUUACGCAACCUAAAACUCUAUUCGUUAAUUAGCGUAGUUUGACGUCUUUUUUGAAAAAUAAACUUAGAAAUGCAUAUAUACAAUUACAACGCUUUACUCUCAGGUGCGAUCAUACCAGCACUAAUGCACCGGAUCCCAUCAGAACUCCGCAGUUAAGCGUGCUUGGGCGAGAGUAGUACUAGGAUGGGUGACCUCCUGGGAAGUCCUUGUGUUGCACCUCUUUUUGCCAAAAUUUCUUGUUCUUUUUGUUAAUUAGCGUAAUUUUACGUCGUUUUUGAAAAAUAAACUUCAUUGUAUUUCAUUUUUUCCGUUAAUUUACGCAACCUAAAACUCUAUUCGUUAAUUAGCGUAGUUUGACGUCUUUUUUGAAAAAUAAACUUAGAAAUGCAUAUAUACAAUUACAACGCUUUACUCUCAGGUGCGAUCAUACCAGCACUAAUGCACCGGAUCCCAUCAGAACUCCGCAGUUAAGCGUGCUUGGGCGAGAGUAGUACUAGGAUGGGUGACCUCCUGGGAAGUCCUUGUGUUGCACCUCUUUUUGCCAAAAUUUCUUGUUCUUUUUGUUAAUUAGCGUAAUUUUACGUCGUUUUUGAAAAAUAAACUUCAUUGUAUUUCAUUUUUUCCGUUAAUUUACGCAACCUAAAACUCUAUUCGUUAAUUAGCGUAGUUUGACGUCUUUUUUGAAAAAUAAACUUAGAAAUGCAUAUAUACAAUUACAACGCUUUACUCUCAGGUGCGAUCAUACCAGCACUAAUGCACCGGAUCCCAUCAGAACUCCGCAGUUAAGCGUGCUUGGGCGAGAGUAGUACUAGGAUGGGUGACCUCCUGGGAAGUCCUUGUGUUGCACCUCUUUUUGCCAAAAUUUCUUGUUCUUUUGUUAAUUAGCGUAAUUUUACGUCGUUUUUGAAAAAUAAACUUCAUUGUAUUUCAUUUUUUCCGUUAAUUUACGCAACCUAAAACUCUAUUCGUUAAUUAGCGUAGUUUGACGUCUUUUUUGAAAAAUAAACUUAGAAAUGCAUAUAUACAAUUACAACGCUUUACUCUCAGGUGCGAUCAUACCAGCACUAAUGCACCGGAUCCCAUCAGAACUCCGCAGUUAAGCGCGCUUGGGCGAGAGUAGUACUAGGAUGGGUGACCUCCUGGGAAGUCCUUGUGUUGCACCUCUUUUUGCCAAAUUUCUUGUUCUUUUUGUUAAUUAGCGUAAUUUUACGUCGUUUUUGAAAAAUAAACUUCAUUGUAUUUCAUUUUUUCCGUUAAUUUACGCAACCUAAAACUCUAUUCGUUAAUUAGCGUAGUUUGACGUCUUUUUUGAAAAAUAAACUUAGAAAUGCAUAUAUACAAUUACAACGCUUUACUCUCAGGUGCGAUCAUACCAGCACUAAUGCACCGGAUCCCAUCAGAACUCCGCAGUUAAGCGGCUUGGGCGAGAGUAGUACUAGGAUGGGUGACCUCCUGGGAAGUCCUUGUGUUGCACCUCUUUUUGCCAAAAUUUCUUGUUCUUUUUGUUAAUUAGCGUAAUUUUACGUCGUUUUUGAAAAAUAAACUUCAUUGUAUUUCAUUUUUUCCGUUAAUUUACGCAACCUAAAACUCUAUUCGUUAAUUAGCGUAGUUUGACGUCUUUUUUGAAAAAUAAACUUAGAAAUGCAUAUAUACAAUUACAACGCUUUACUCUCAGGUGCGAUCAUACCAGCACUAAUGCACCGGAUCCCAUCAGAACUCCGCAGUUAAGCGUGCUUGGGCGAGAGUAGUACUAGGAUGGGUGACCUCCUGGGAAGUCCUUGUGUUGCACCUCUUUUUGCCAAAAUUUCUUGUUCUUUUGUUAAUUAGCGUAAUUUUACGUCGUUUUUGAAAAAUAAACUUCAAUUGUAUUUCAUUUUUUCCGUUAAUUUACGCAACCUAAAACUCUAUUCGUUAAUUAGCGUAGUUUGACGUCUUUUUUGAAAAAUAAACUUAGAAAUGCAUAUAUACAAUUACAACGCUUUACUCUCAGGUGCGAUCAUACCAGCACUAAUGCACCGGAUCCCAUCAGAACUCCGCAGUUAAGCGUGCUUGGGCGAGAGUAGUACUAGGAUGGGUGACCUCCUGGGAAGUCCUUGUGUUGCACCUCUUUUUGCCAAAAUUUCUUGUUCUUUUUGUUAAUUAGCGUAAUUUUACGUCGUUUUUGAAAAAUAAACUUCAAUUGUAUUUCAUUUUUUCCGUUAAUUUACGCAACCUAAAACUCUAUUCGUUAAUUAGCGUAGUUUGACGUCUUUUUUGAAAAAUAAACUUAGAAAUGCAUAUAUACAAUUACAACGCUUUACUCUCAGGUGCGAUCAUACCAGCACUAAUGCACCGGAUCCCAUCAGAACUCCGCAGUUAAGCGUGCUUGGGCGAGAGUAGUACUAGGAUGGGUGACCUCCUGGGAAGUCCUUGUGUUGCACCUCUUUUUGCCAAAAUUUUUGUUCUUUUGUUAAUUAGCGUAAUUUUACGUCGUUUUUGAAAAAUAAACUUCAUUGUAUUUCAUUUUUUCCGUUAAUUUACGCAACCUAAAACUCUAUUCGUUAAUUAGCGUAGUUUGACGUCUUUUUUGAAAAAUAAACUUAGAAAUGCAUAUAUACAAUUACAACGCUUUACUCUCAGGUGCGAUCAUACCAGCACUAAUGCACCGGAUCCCAUCAGAACUCCGCAGUUAAGCGGCUUGGCGAGAGUAGUACUAGGAUGGGUGACCUCUGGAAGUCCUUGUGUUGCACCUCAUUUUUUCGUUAAUUACGCACUAAAUCUAUUGUUAUUAGCGUAGUUGACGUUUUUUGAAAAAUAAACUUAGAAAUGCAUAUAUACAAUUACAACGCUUUACUCUCAGGUGCGAUCAUACCAGCACUAAUGCACCGGAUCCCAUCAGAACUCCGCAGUUAAGCGUGCUUGGGCGAGAGUAGUACUAGGAUGGGUGACCUCCUGGGAAGUCCUUGUGUUGCACCUCUUUUUGCCAAAAUUUCUUGUUCUUUUUGUUAAUUAGCGUAAUUUUACGUCGUUUUUGAAAAAUAAACUUCAUUGUAUUUCAUUUUUUCCGUUAAUUUACGCAACCUAAAACUCUAUUCGUUAAUUAGCGUAGUUUGACGUCUUUUUUGAAAAAUAAACUUAGAAAUGCAUAUAUACAAUUACAACGCUUUACUCUCAGGUGCGAUCAUACCAGCACUAAUGCACCGGAUCCCAUCAGAACUCCGCAGUUAAGCGUGCUUGGGCGAGAGUAGUACUAGGAUGGGUGACCUCCUGGGAAGUCCUUGUGUUGCACCUCUUUUUGCCAAAAUUUCUUGUUUUUUUUGUUAAUUAGCGUAAUUUUACGUCGUUUUUGAAACAUAAACUUCAAUUGUAUUUCAUUUUUUCCGUUAAUUUACGCAACCUAAAACUCUAUUCGUUAAUUAGCGUAGUUUGACGUCUUUUUUGAAAAAUAAACUUAGAAAUGCAUAUAUACAAUUACAACGCUUUACUCUCAGGUGCGAUCAUACCAGCACUAAUGCACCGGAUCCCAUCAGAACUCCGCAGUUAAGCGUGCUUGGGCGAGAGUAGUACUAGGAUGGGUGACCUCCUGGGAAGUCCUUGUGUUGCACCUCUUUUUGCCAAAAUUUCUUGUUCUUUUGUUAAUUAGCGUAAUUUUACGUCGUUUUUGAAAAAUAAACUUCAAUUGUAUUUCAUUUUUUCCGUUAAUUUACGCAACCUAAAACUCUAUUCGUUAAUUAGCGUAGUUUGACGUCUUUUUUGAAAAAUAAACUUAGAAAUGCAUAUAUACAAUUACAACGCUUUACUCUCAGGUGCGAUCAUACCAGCACUAAUGCACCGGAUCCCAUCAGAACUCCGCAGUUAAGCGUGCUUGGGCGAGAGUAGUACUAGGAUGGGUGACCUCCUGGGAAGUCCUUGUGUUGCACCUCUUUUUGCCAAAAUUCUUGUUCUUUUGUUAAUUAGCGUAAUUUUACGUCGUUUUUGAAAAAUAAACUUCAAUUGUAUUUCAUUUUUUCCGUUAAUUUACGCAACCUAAAACUCUAUUCGUUAAUUAGCGUAGUUUGACGUCUUUUUUGAAAAAUAAACUUAGAAAUGCAUAUAUACAAUUACAACGCUUUACUCUCAGGUGCGAUCAUACCAGCACUAAUGCACCGGAUCCCAUCAGAACUCCGCAGUUAAGCGGCUUGGGCGAGAGUAGUACUAGGAUGGGUGACCUCCUGGAAGUCCUUGUGUUGCACCUCUUUUUGCCAAAAUUUCUUGUUCUUUUUGUUAAUUAGCGUAAUUUUACGUCGUUUUUGAAAAAUAAACUUCAAUUGUAUUUCAUUUUUUCCGUUAAUUUACGCAACCUAAAACUCUAUUCGUUAAUUAGCGUAGUUUGACGUCUUUUUUGAAAAAUAAACUUAGAAAUGCAUAUAUACAAUUACAACGCUUUACUCUCAGGUGCGAUCAUACCAGCACUAAUGCACCGGAUCCCAUCAGAACUCCGCAGUUAAGCGGCUUGGGCGAGAGUAGUACUAGGAUGGGUGACCUCCUGGGAAGUCCUUGUGUUGCACCUCUUUUUGCCAAAAUUUCUUGUUCUUUUGUUAAUUAGCGUAAUUUUACGUCGUUUUUGAAAAAUAAACUUCAUUGUAUUUCAUUUUUUCCGUUAAUUUACGCAACCUAAAACUCUAUUCGUUAAUUAGCGUAGUUUGACGUCUUUUUUGAAAAAUAAACUUAGAAAUGCAUAUAUACAAUUACAACGCUUUACUCUCAGGUGCGAUCAUACCAGCACUAAUGCACCGGAUCCCAUCAGAACUCCGCAGUUAAGCGUGCUUGGGCGAGAGUAGUACUAGGAUGGGUGACCUCCUGGGAAGUCCUUGUGUUGCACCUCUUUUUGCCAAAAUUUCUUGUUCUUUUUGUUAAUUAGCGUAAUUUUACGUCGUUUUUGAAAAAUAAACUUCAAUUGUAUUUCAUUUUUUCCGUUAAUUUACGCAACCUAAAACUCUAUUCGUUAAUUAGCGUAGUUUGACGUCUUUUUUGAAAAAUAAACUUAGAAAUGCAUAUAUACAAUUACAACGCUUUACUCUCAGGUGCGAUCAUACCAGCACUAAUGCACCGGAUCCCAUCAGAACUCCGCAGUUAAGCGUGCUUGGGCGAGAGUAGUACUAGGAUGGGUGACCUCCUGGGAAGUCCUUGUGUUGCACCUCUUUUUGCCAAAAUUUCUUGUUCUUUUUGUUAAUUAGCGUAAUUUUACGUCGUUUUUGAAAAAUAAACUUCAUUGUAUUUCAUUUUUUCCGUUAAUUUACGCAACCUAAAACUCUAUUCGUUAAUUAGCGUAGUUUGACGUCUUUUUUGAAAAUAAACUUAGAAAUGCAUAUAUACAAUUACAACGCUUUACUCUCAGGUGCGAUCAUACCAGCACUAAUGCACCGGAUCCCAUCAGAACUCCGCAGUUAAGCGUGCUUGGGCGAGAGUAGUACUAGGAUGGGUGACCUCCUGGGAAGUCCUUGUGUUGCACCUCUUUUUGCCAAAAUUUCUUGUUCUUUUGUUAAUUAGCGUAAUUUUACGUCGUUUUUGAAAAAUAAACUUCAUUGUAUUUCAUUUUUUCCGUUAAUUUACGCAACCUAAAACUCUAUUCGUUAAUUAGCGUAGUUUGACGUCUUUUUUGAAAAAUAAACUUAGAAAUGCAUAUAUACAAUUACAACGCUUUACUCUCAGGUGCGAUCAUACCAGCACUAAUGCACCGGAUCCCAUCAGAACUCCGCAGUUAAGCGUGCUUGGGCGAGAGUAGUACUAGGAUGGGUGACCUCCUGGGAAGUCCUUGUGUUGCACCUCUUUUUGCCAAAAUUUCUUGUUUUUUUUGUUAAUUAGCGUAAUUUUACGUCGUUUUGAAAAAUAAACUUCAAUUGUAUUUCAUUUUUUCCGUUAAUUUACGCAACCUAAAACUCUAUUCGUUAAUUAGCGUAGUUUGACGUCUUUUUUGAAAAAUAAACUUAGAAAUGCAUAUAUACAAUUACAACGCUUUACUCUCAGGUGCGAUCAUACCAGCACUAAUGCACCGGAUCCCAUCAGAACUCCGCAGUUAAGCGUGCUUGGGCGAGAGUAGUACUAGGAUGGGUGACCUCCUGGGAAGUCCUUGUGUUGCACCUCUUUUUGCCAAAAUUUCUUGUUCUUUUGUUAAUUAGCGUAAUUUUACGUCGUUUUUGAAAAAUAAACUUCAAUUGUAUUUCAUUUUUUCCGUUAAUUUACGCAACCUAAAACUCUAUUCGUUAAUUAGCGUAGUUUGACGUCUUUUUUGAAAAAUAAACUUAGAAAUGCAUAUAUACAAUUACAACGCUUUACUCUCAGGUGCGAUCAUACCAGCACUAAUGCACCGGAUCCCAUCAGAACUCCGCAGUUAAGCGUGCUUGGGCGAGAGUAGUACUAGGAUGGGUGACCUCCUGGGAAGUCCUUGUGUUGCACCUCUUUUUGCCAAAAUUUCUUGUUCUUUUGUUAAUUAGCGUAAUUUUACGUCGUUUUUGAAAAAUAAACUUCAAUUGUAUUUCAUUUUUUCCGUUAAUUUACGCAACCUAAAACUCUAUUCGUUAAUUAGCGUAGUUUGACGUCUUUUUUGAAAAAUAAACUUAGAAAUGCAUAUAUACAAUUACAACGCUUUACUCUCAGGUGCGAUCAUACCAGCACUAAUGCACCGGAUCCCAUCAGAACUCCGCAGUUAAGCGUGCUUGGGCGAGAGUAGUACUAGGAUGGGUGACCUCCUGGGAAGUCCUUGUGUUGCACCUCUUUUUGCCAAAAUUUCUUGUUCUUUUGUUAAUUAGCGUAAUUUUACGUCGUUUUUGAAAAAUAAACUUCAAUUGUAUUUCAUUUUUUCCGUUAAUUUACGCAACCUAAAACUCUAUUCGUUAAUUAGCGUAGUUUGACGUCUUUUUUGAAAAAUAAACUUAGAAAUGCAUAUAUACAAUUACAACGCUUUACUCUCAGGUGCGAUCAUACCAGCACUAAUGCACCGGAUCCCAUCAGAACUCCGCAGUUAAGCGUGCUUGGGCGAGAGUAGUACUAGGAUGGGUGACCUCCUGGGAAGUCCUUGUGUUGCACCUCUUUUUGCCAAAAUUUCUUGUUCUUUUUGUUAAUUAGCGUAAUUUUACGUCGUUUUUGAAAAAUAAACUUCAUUGUAUUUCAUUUUUUCCGUUAAUUUACGCAACCUAAAACUCUAUUCGUUAAUUAGCGUAGUUUGACGUCUUUUUUGAAAAAUAAACUUAGAAAUGCAUAUAUACAAUUACAACGCUUUACUCUCAGGUGCGAUCAUACCAGCACUAAUGCACCGGAUCCCAUCAGAACUCCGCAGUUAAGCGUGCUUGGCGAGAGUAGUACUAGGAUGGGUGACCUCCUGGGAAGUCCUUGUGUUGCACCUCUUUUUGCCAAAAUUUCUUGUUCUUUUUGUUAAUUAGCGUAAUUUUACGUCGUUUUUGAAAAAUAAACUUCAUUGUAUUUCAUUUUUUCCGUUAAUUUACGCAACCUAAAACUCUAUUCGUUAAUUAGCGUAGUUUGACGUCUUUUUUGAAAAAUAAACUUAGAAAUGCAUAUAUACAAUUACAACGCUUUACUCUCAGGUGCGAUCAUACCAGCACUAAUGCACCGGAUCCCAUCAGAACUCCGCAGUUAAGCGUGCUUGGGCGAGAGUAGUACUAGGAUGGGUGACCUCCUGGGAAGUCCUUGUGUUGCACCUCUUUUUGCCAAAAUUUCUUGUUCUUUUUGUUAAUUAGCGUAAUUUUACGUCGUUUUGAAAAAUAAACUUCAAUUGUAUUUCAUUUUUUCCGUUAAUUUACGCAACCUAAAACUCUAUUCGUUAAUUAGCGUAGUUUGACGUCUUUUUUGAAAAAUAAACUUAGAAAUGCAUAUAUACAAUUACAACGCUUUACUCUCAGGUGCGAUCAUACCAGCACUAAUGCACCGGAUCCCAUCAGAACUCCGCAGUUAAGCGUGCUUGGGCGAGAGUAGUACUAGGAUGGGUGACCUCCUGGGAAGUCCUUGUGUUGCACCUCUUUUUGCCAAAAUUUCUUGUUCUUUUGUUAAUUAGCGUAAUUUUACGUCGUUUUUGAAAAAUAAACUUCAAUUGUAUUUCAUUUUUUCCGUUAAUUUACGCAACCUAAAACUCUAUUCGUUAAUUAGCGUAGUUUGACGUCUUUUUUGAAAAAUAAACUUAGAAAUGCAUAUAUACAAUUACAACGCUUUACUCUCAGGUGCGAUCAUACCAGCACUAAUGCACCGGAUCCCAUCAGAACUCCGCAGUUAAGCGUGCUUGGCGAGAGUAGUACUAGGAUGGGUGACCUCCUGGGAAGUCCUUGUGUUGCACCUCUUUUUGCCAAAAUUUUACGUCGUUUUUGAAAAUAAACUUCAUUGUAUUUCAUUUUUUCCGUUAAUUUACGCAACCUAAAACUCUAUUCGUUAAUUAGCGUAGUUUGACGUCUUUUUGAAAAAUAAACUUAGAAAUGCAUAUAUACAAUUACAACGCUUUACUCUCAGGUGCGAUCAUACCAGCACUAAUGCACCGGAUCCCAUCAGAACUCCGCAGUUAAGCGUGCUUGGCGAGAGUAGUACUAGGAUGGGUGACCUCUGGAAGUCCUUGUGUUGCACCUCUUUUUGCCAAAAUUUUACGUCGUUUUUGAAAAAUAAACUUCAUUGUAUUUCAUUUUUUCCGUUAAUUUACGCAACCUAAAACUCUAUUCGUUAAUUAGCGUAGUUUGACGUCUUUUUGAAAAAUAAACUUAGAAAUGCAUAUAUACAAUUACAACGCUUUACUCUCAGGUGCGAUCAUACCAGCACUAAUGCACCGGAUCCCAUCAGAACUCCGCAGUUAAGCGCGCUUGGGCGAGAGUAGUACUAGGAUGGGUGACCUCCUGGAAGUCCUUGUGUUGCACCUCUUUUUGCCAAAAUUUCUUGUUCUUUUUGUUAAUUAGCGUAAUUUUACGUCGUUUUUGAAAAAUAAACUUCAAUUGUAUUUCAUUUUUUCCGUUAAUUUACGCAACCUAAAACUCUAUUCGUUAAUUAGCGUAGUUUGACGUCUUUUUUGAAAAAUAAACUUAGAAAUGCAUAUAUACAAUUACAACGCUUUACUCUCAGGUGCGAUCAUACCAGCACUAAUGCACCGGAUCCCAUCAGAACUCCGCAGUUAAGCGUGCUUGGGCGAGAGUAGUACUAGGAUGGGUGACCUCCUGGGAAGUCCUUGUGUUGCACCUCUUUUUGCCAAAAUUCUUGUUCUUUUGUUAAUUAGCGUAAUUUUACGUCGUUUUUGAAAAAUAAACUUCAAUUGUAUUUCAUUUUUUCCGUUAAUUUACGCAACCUAAAACUCUAUUCGUUAAUUAGCGUAGUUUGACGUCUUUUUUGAAAAAUAAACUUAGAAAUGCAUAUAUACAAUUACAACGCUUUACUCUCAGGUGCGAUCAUACCAGCACUAAUGCACCGGAUCCCAUCAGAACUCCGCAGUUAAGCGUGCUUGGGCGAGAGUAGUACUAGGAUGGGUGACCUCCUGGGAAGUCCUUGUGUUGCACCUCUUUUUGCCAAAAUUUCUUGUUCUUUUGUUAAUUAGCGUAAUUUUACGUCGUUUUUGAAAAAUAAACUUCAUUGUAUUUCAUUUUUUCCGUUAAUUUACGCAACCUAAAACUCUAUUCGUUAAUUAGCGUAGUUUGACGUCUUUUUUGAAAAAUAAACUUAGAAAUGCAUAUAUACAAUUACAACGCUUUACUCUCAGGUGCGAUCAUACCAGCACUAAUGCACCGGAUCCCAUCAGAACUCCGCAGUUAAGCGCGCUUGGGCGAGAGUAGUACUAGGAUGGGUGACCUCCUGGAAGUCCUUGUGUUGCACCUCUUUUUGCCAAAAUUUCUUGUUCUUUUGUUAAUUAGCGUAAUUUUACGUCGUUUUUGAAAAUAAACUUCAAUUGUAUUUCAUUUUUUCCGUUAAUUUACGCAACCUAAAACUCUAUUCGUUAAUUAGCGUAGUUUGACGUCUUUUUUGAAAAAUAAACUUAGAAAUGCAUAUAUACAAUUACAACGCUUUACUCUCAGGUGCGAUCAUACCAGCACUAAUGCACCGGAUCCCAUCAGAACUCCGCAGUUAAGCGUGCUUGGGCGAGAGUAGUACUAGGAUGGGUGACCUCCUGGGAAGUCCUUGUGUUGCACCUCUUUUUGCCAAAAUUUCUUGUUCUUUUUGUUAAUUAGCGUAAUUUUACGUCGUUUUUGAAAAAUAAACUUCAAUUGUAUUUCAUUUUUUCCGUUAAUUUACGCAACCUAAAACUCUAUUCGUUAAUUAGCGUAGUUUGACGUCUUUUUUGAAAAAUAAACUUAGAAAUGCAUAUAUACAAUUACAACGCUUUACUCUCAGGUGCGAUCAUACCAGCACUAAUGCACCGGAUCCCAUCAGAACUCCGCAGUUAAGCGUGCUUGGGCGAGAGUAGUACUAGGAUGGGUGACCUCCUGGGAAGUCCUUGUGUUGCACCUCUUUUUGCCAAAAUUUCUUGUUCUUUUGUUAAUUAGCGUAAUUUUACGUCGUUUUUGAAAAAUAAACUUCAAUUGUAUUUCAUUUUUUCCGUUAAUUUACGCAACCUAAAACUCUAUUCGUUAAUUAGCGUAGUUUGACGUCUUUUUUGAAAAAUAAACUUAGAAAUGCAUAUAUACAAUUACAACGCUUUACUCUCAGGUGCGAUCAUACCAGCACUAAUGCACCGGAUCCCAUCAGAACUCCGCAGUUAAGCGUGCUUGGGCGAGAGUAGUACUAGGAUGGGUGACCUCCUGGGAAGUCCUUGUGUUGCACCUCUUUUUGCCAAAAUUUCUUGUUCUUUUGUUAAUUAGCGUAAUUUUACGUCGUUUUUGAAAAAUAAACUUCAAUUGUAUUUCAUUUUUUCCGUUAAUUUACGCACCCUAAAACUCUAUUCGUUAAUUAGCGUAGUUUGACGUCUUUUUUGAAAAAUAAACUUAGAAAUGCAUAUAUACAAUUACAACGCUUUACUCUCAGGUGCGAUCAUACCAGCACUAAUGCACCGGAUCCCAUCAGAACUCCGCAGUUAAGCGUGCUUGGGCGAGAGUAGUACUAGGAUGGGUGACCUCCUGGGAAGUCCUUGUGUUGCACCUCUUUUUGCCAAAAUUUCUUGUUCUUUUUGUUAAUUAGCGUAAUUUUACGUCGUUUUUGAAAAAUAAACUUCAAUUGUAUUUCAUUUUUUCCGUUAAUUUACGCAACCUAAAACUCUAUUCGUUAAUUAGCGUAGUUUGACGUCUUUUUUGAAAAAUAAACUUAGAAAUGCAUAUAUACAAUUACAACGCUUUACUCUCAGGUGCGAUCAUACCAGCACUAAUGCACCGGAUCCCAUCAGAACUCCGCAGUUAAGCGUGCUUGGGCGAGAGUAGUACUAGGAUGGGUGACCUCCUGGGAAGUCCUUGUGUUGCACCUCUUUUUGCCAAAAUUUCUUGUUCUUUUGUUAAUUAGCGUAAUUUUACGUCGUUUUUGAAAAAUAAACUUCAAUUGUAUUUCAUUUUUUCCGUUAAUUUACGCAACCUAAAACUCUAUUCGUUAAUUAGCGUAGUUUGACGUCUUUUUUGAAAAAUAAACUUAGAAAUGCAUAUAUACAAUUACAACGCUUUACUCUCAGGUGCGAUCAUACCAGCACUAAUGCACCGGAUCCCAUCAGAACUCCGCAGUUAAGCGUGCUUGGGCGAGAGUAGUACUAGGAUGGGUGACCUCCUGGGAAGUCCUUGUGUUGCACCUCUUUUUGCCAAAAUUUCUUGUUCUUUUUGUUAAUUAGCGUAAUUUUACGUCGUUUUUGAAAAAUAAACUUCAAUUGUAUUUCAUUUUUUCCGUUAAUUUACGCAACCUAAAACUCUAUUCGUUAAUUAGCGUAGUUUGACGUCUUUUUUGAAAAAUAAACUUAGAAAUGCAUAUAUACAAUUACAACGCUUUACUCUCAGGUGCGAUCAUACCAGCACUAAUGCACCGGAUCCCAUCAGAACUCCGCAGUUAAGCGUGCUUGGGCGAGAGUAGUACUAGGAUGGGUGACCUCCUGGGAAGUCCUUGUGUUGCACCUCUUUUUGCCAAAAUUUCUUGUUCUUUUUGUUAAUUAGCGUAAUUUUACGUCGUUUUUGAAAAAUAAACUUCAAUUGUAUUUCAUUUUUUCCGUUAAUUUACGCAACCUAAAACUCUAUUCGUUAAUUAGCGUAGUUUGACGUCUUUUUUGAAAAAUAAACUUAGAAAUGCAUAUAUACAAUUACAACGCUUUACUCUCAGGUGCGAUCAUACCAGCACUAAUGCACCGGAUCCCAUCAGAACUCCGCAGUUAAGCGUGCUUGGGCGAGAGUAGUACUAGGAUGGGUGACCUCCUGGGAAGUCCUUGUGUUGCACCUCUUUUUGCCAAAAUUUCUUGUUCUUUUGUUAAUUAGCGUAAUUUUACGUCGUUUUUGAAAAAUAAACUUCAAUUGUAUUUCAUUUUUUCCGUUAAUUUACGCAACCUAAAACUCUAUUCGUUAAUUAGCGUAGUUUGACGUCUUUUUUGAAAAAUAAACUUAGAAAUGCAUAUAUACAAUUACAACGCUUUACUCUCAGGUGCGAUCAUACCAGCACUAAUGCACCGGAUCCCAUCAGAACUCCGCAGUUAAGCGUGCUUGGGCGAGAGUAGUACUAGGAUGGGUGACCUCCUGGGAAGUCCUUGUGUUGCACCUCUUUUUGCCAAAAUUUCUUGUUCUUUUUGUUAAUUAGCGUAAUUUUACGUCGUUUUUGAAAAAUAAACUUCAAUUGUAUUUCAUUUUUUCCGUUAAUUUACGCAACCUAAAACUCUAUUCGUUAAUUAGCGUAGUUUGACGUCUUUUUUGAAAAAUAAACUUAGAAAUGCAUAUAUACAAUUACAACGCUUUACUCUCAGGUGCGAUCAUACCAGCACUAAUGCACCGGAUCCCAUCAGAACUCCGCAGUUAAGCGUGCUUGGGCGAGAGUAGUACUAGGAUGGGUGACCUCCUGGGAAGUCCUUGUGUUGCACCUCUUUUUGCCAAAAUUUCUUGUUCUUUUUGUUAAUUAGCGUAAUUUUACGUCGUUUUUGAAAAAUAAACUUCAAUUGUAUUUCAUUUUUUCCGUUAAUUUACGCAACCUAAAACUCUAUUCGUUAAUUAGCGUAGUUUGACGUCUUUUUUGAAAAAUAAACUUAGAAAUGCAUAUAUACAAUUACAACGCUUUACUCUCAGGUGCGAUCAUACCAGCACUAAUGCACCGGAUCCCAUCAGAACUCCGCAGUUAAGCGUGCUUGGGCGAGAGUAGUACUAGGAUGGGUGACCUCCUGGGAAGUCCUUGUGUUGCACCUCUUUUUGCCAAAAUUUCUUGUUCUUUUUGUUAAUUAGCGUAAUUUUACGUCGUUUUUGAAAAAUAAACUUCAAUUGUAUUUCAUUUUUUCCGUUAAUUUACGCAACCUAAAACUCUAUUCGUUAAUUAGCGUAGUUUGACGUCUUUUUUGAAAAAUAAACUUAGAAAUGCAUAUAUACAAUUACAACGCUUUACUCUCAGGUGCGAUCAUACCAGCACUAAUGCACCGGAUCCCAUCAGAACUCCGCAGUUAAGCGUGCUUGGGCGAGAGUAGUACUAGGAUGGGUGACCUCCUGGGAAGUCCUUGUGUUGCACCUCUUUUUGCCAAAAUUUCUUGUUCUUUUUGUUAAUUAGCGUAAUUUUACGUCGUUUUUGAAAAAUAAACUUCAAUUGUAUUUCAUUUUUUCCGUUAAUUUACGCAACCUAAAACUCUAUUCGUUAAUUAGCGUAGUUUGACGUCUUUUUUGAAAAAUAAACUUAGAAAUGCAUAUAUACAAUUACAACGCUUUACUCUCAGGUGCGAUCAUACCAGCACUAAUGCACCGGAUCCCAUCAGAACUCCGCAGUUAAGCGGCUUGGGCGAGAGUAGUACUAGGAUGGGUGACCUCCUGGGAAGUCCUUGUGUUGCACCUCUUUUUGCCAAAAUUUCUUGUUCUUUUUGUUAAUUAGCGUAAUUUUACGUCGUUUUUGAAAAAUAAACUUCAAUUGUAUUUCAUUUUUUCCGUUAAUUUACGCAACCUAAAACUCUAUUCGUUAAUUAGCGUAGUUUGACGUCUUUUUUGAAAAAUAAACUUAGAAAUGCAUAUAUACAAUUACAACGCUUUACUCUCAGGUGCGAUCAUACCAGCACUAAUGCACCGGAUCCCAUCAGAACUCCGCAGUUAAGCGUGCUUGGGCGAGAGUAGUACUAGGAUGGGUGACCUCCUGGGAAGUCCUUGUGUUGCACCUCUUUUUGCCAAAAUUUCUUGUUCUUUUGUUAAUUAGCGUAAUUUUACGUCGUUUUUGAAAAAUAAACUUCAAUUGUAUUUCAUUUUUUCCGUUAAUUUACGCAACCUAAAACUCUAUUCGUUAAUUAGCGUAGUUUGACGUCUUUUUUGAAAAAUAAACUUAGAAAUGCAUAUAUACAAUUACAACGCUUUACUCUCAGGUGCGAUCAUACCAGCACUAAUGCACCGGAUCCCAUCAGAACUCCGCAGUUAAGCGGCUUGGGCGAGAGUAGUACUAGGAUGGGUGACCUCCUGGGAAGUCCUUGUGUUGCACCUCUUUUUGCCAAAAUUUCUUGUUCUUUUUGUUAAUUAGCGUAAUUUUACGUCGUUUUUGAAAAAUAAACUUCAAUUGUAUUUCAUUUUUUCCGUUAAUUUACGCAACCUAAAACUCUAUUCGUUAAUUAGCGUAGUUUGACGUCUUUUUUGAAAAAUAAACUUAGAAAUGCAUAUAUACAAUUACAACGCUUUACUCUCAGGUGCGAUCAUACCAGCACUAAUGCACCGGAUCCCAUCAGAACUCCGCAGUUAAGCGGCUUGGGCGAGAGUAGUACUAGGAUGGGUGACCUCCUGGGAAGUCCUUGUGUUGCACCUCUUUUUGCCAAAAUUUCUUGUUCUUUUUGUUAAUUAGCGUAAUUUUACGUCGUUUUUGAAAAAUAAACUUCAAUUGUAUUUCAUUUUUUCCGUUAAUUUACGCAACCUAAAACUCUAUUCGUUAAUUAGCGUAGUUUGACGUCUUUUUGAAAAAUAAACUUAGAAAUGCAUAUAUACAAUUACAACGCUUUACUCUCAGGUGCGAUCAUACCAGCACUAAUGCACCGGAUCCCAUCAGAACUCCGCAGUUAAGCGGCUUGGGCGAGAGUAGUACUAGGAUGGGUGACCUCCUGGGAAGUCCUUGUGUUGCACCUCUUUUUGCCAAAAUUUCUUGUUCUUUUUGUUAAUUAGCGUAAUUUUACGUCGUUUUUGAAAAAUAAACUUCAAUUGUAUUUCAUUUUUUCCGUUAAUUUACGCAACCUAAAACUCUAUUCGUUAAUUAGCGUAGUUUGACGUCUUUUUUGAAAAAUAAACUUAGAAAUGCAUAUAUACAAUUACAACGCUUUACUCUCAGGUGCGAUCAUACCAGCACUAAUGCACCGGAUCCCAUCAGAACUCCGCAGUUAAGCGGCUUGGGCGAGAGUAGUACUAGGAUGGGUGACCUCCUGGGAAGUCCUUGUGUUGCACCUCUUUUUGCCAAAAUUUCUUGUUCUUUUUGUUAAUUAGCGUAAUUUUACGUCGUUUUUGAAAAAUAAACUUCAAUUGUAUUUCAUUUUUUCCGUUAAUUUACGCAACCUAAAACUCUAUUCGUUAAUUAGCGUAGUUUGACGUCUUUUUGAAAAAUAAACUUAGAAAUGCAUAUAUACAAUUACAACGCUUUACUCUCAGGUGCGAUCAUACUAGCACUAAUGCACCGGAUCCCAUCAGAACUCCGCAGUUAAGCGUGCUUGGGCGAGAGUAGUACUAGGAUGGGUGACCUCCUGGGAAGUCCUUGUGUUGCACCUCUUUUUGCCAAAAUUUCUUGUUCUUUUUGUUAAUUAGCGUAAUUUUACGUCGUUUUUGAAAAAUAAACUUCAAUUGUAUUUCAUUUUUUCCGUUAAUUUACGCAACCUAAAACUCUAUUCGUUAAUUAGCGUAGUUUGACGUCUUUUUUGAAAAAUAAACUUAGAAAUGCAUAUAUACAAUUACAACGCUUUACUCUCAGGUGCGAUCAUACCAGCACUAAUGCACCGGAUCCCAUCAGAACUCCGCAGUUAAGCGGCUUGGGCGAGAGUAGUACUAGGAUGGGUGACCUCCUGGGAAGUCCUUGUGUUGCACCUCUUUUUGCCAAAAUUUCUUGUUCUUUUGUUAAUUAGCGUAAUUUUACGUCGUUUUUGAAAAAUAAACUUCAAUUGUAUUUCAUUUUUUCCGUUAAUUUACGCAACCUAAAACUCUAUUCGUUAAUUAGCGUAGUUUGACGUCUUUUUUGAAAAAUAAACUUAGAAAUGCAUAUAUACAAUUACAACGCUUUACUCUCAGGUGCGAUCAUACCAGCACUAAUGCACCGGAUCCCAUCAGAACUCCGCAGUUAAGCGUGCUUGGGCGAGAGUAGUACUAGGAUGGGUGACCUCCUGGGAAGUCCUUGUGUUGCACCUCUUUUUGCCAAAAUUUCUUGUUCUUUUUGUUAAUUAGCGUAAUUUUACGUCGUUUUUGAAAAAUAAACUUCAAUUGUAUUUCAUUUUUUCCGUUAAUUUACGCAACCUAAAACUCUAUUCGUUAAUUAGCGUAGUUUGACGUCUUUUUUGAAAAAUAAACUUAGAAAUGCAUAUAUACAAUUACAACGCUUUACUCUCAGGUGCGAUCAUACCAGCACUAAUGCACCGGAUCCCAUCAGAACUCCGCAGUUAAGCGUGCUUGGCGAGAGUAGUACUAGGAUGGGUGACCUCCUGGGAAGUCCUUGUGUUGCACCUCUUUUUGCCAAAAUUUCUUGUUCUUUUUGUUAAUUAGCGUAAUUUUACGUCGUUUUUGAAAAAUAAACUUCAAUUGUAUUUCAUUUUUUCCGUUAAUUUACGCAACCUAAAACUCUAUUCGUUAAUUAGCGUAGUUUGACGUCUUUUUUGAAAAAUAAACUUAGAAAUGCAUAUAUACAAUUACAACGCUUUACUCUCAGGUGCGAUCAUACCAGCACUAAUGCACCGGAUCCCAUCAGAACUCCGCAGUUAAGCGUGCUUGGGCGAGAGUAGUACUAGGAUGGGUGACCUCCUGGGAAGUCCUUGUGUUGCACCUCUUUUUGCCAAAAUUUCUUGUUCUUUUUGUUAAUUAGCGUAAUUUUACGUCGUUUUUGAAAAAUAAACUUCAAUUGUAUUUCAUUUUUUCCGUUAAUUUACGCAACCUAAAACUCUAUUCGUUAAUUAGCGUAGUUUGACGUCUUUUUUGAAAAAUAAACUUAGAAAUGCAUAUAUACAAUUACAACGCUUUACUCUCAGGUGCGAUCAUACCAGCACUAAUGCACCGGAUCCCAUCAGAACUCCGCAGUUAAGCGUGCUUGGGCGAGAGUAGUACUAGGAUGGGUGACCUCCUGGGAAGUCCUUGUGUUGCACCUCUUUUUGCCAAAAUUUCUUGUUCUUUUGUUAAUUAGCGUAAUUUUACGUCGUUUUUGAAAAAUAAACUUCAAUUGUAUUUCAUUUUUUCCGUUAAUUUACGCAACCUAAAACUCUAUUCGUUAAUUAGCGUAGUUUGACGUCUUUUUUGAAAAAUAAACUUAGAAAUGCAUAUAUACAAUUACAACGCUUUACUCUCAGGUGCGAUCAUACCAGCACUAAUGCACCGGAUCCCAUCAGAACUCCGCAGUUAAGCGUGCUUGGGCGAGAGUAGUACUAGGAUGGGUGACCUCCUGGGAAGUCCUUGUGUUGCACCUCUUUUUGCCAAAAUUUCUUGUUUCUUUUGUUAAUUAGCGUAAUUUUACGUCGUUUUGAAAAAUAAACUUCAAUUGUAUUUCAUUUUUUCCGUUAAUUUACGCAACCUAAAACUCUAUUCGUUAAUUAGCGUAGUUUGACGUCUUUUUUGAAAAAUAAACUUAGAAAUGCAUAUAUACAAUUACAACGCUUUACUCUCAGGUGCGAUCAUACCAGCACUAAUGCACCGGAUCCCAUCAGAACUCCGCAGUUAAGCGUGCUUGGGCGAGAGUAGUACUAGGAUGGGUGACCUCCUGGGAAGUCCUUGUGUUGCACCUCUUUUUGCCAAAAUUUCUUGUUUCUUUUGUUAAUUAGCGUAAUUUUACGUCGUUUUGAAAAAUAAACUUCAAUUGUAUUUCAUUUUUUCCGUUAAUUUACGCAACCUAAAACUCUAUUCGUUAAUUAGCGUAGUUUGACGUCUUUUUUGAAAAAUAAACUUAGAAAUGCAUAUAUACAAUUACAACGCUUUACUCUCAGGUGCGAUCAUACCAGCACUAAUGCACCGGAUCCCAUCAGAACUCCGCAGUUAAGCGUGCUUGGGCGAGAGUAGUACUAGGAUGGGUGACCUCCUGGGAAGUCCUUGUGUUGCACCUCUUUUUGCCAAAAUUUCUUGUUCUUUUGUUAAUUAGCGUAAUUUUACGUCGUUUUUGAAAAAUAAACUUCAAUUGUAUUUCAUUUUUUCCGUUAAUUUACGCAACCUAAAACUCUAUUCGUUAAUUAGCGUAGUUUGACGUCUUUUUUGAAAAAUAAACUUAGAAAUGCAUAUAUACAAUUACAACGCUUUACUCUCAGGUGCGAUCAUACCAGCACUAAUGCACCGGAUCCCAUCAGAACUCCGCAGUUAAGCGUGCUUGGGCGAGAGUAGUACUAGGAUGGGUGACCUCCUGGGAAGUCCUUGUGUUGCACCUCUUUUUGCCAAAAUUUCUUGUUCUUUUUGUUAAUUAGCGUAAUUUUACGUCGUUUUUGAAAAAUAAACUUCAAUUGUAUUUCAUUUUUUCCGUUAAUUUACGCAACCUAAAACUCUAUUCGUUAAUUAGCGUAGUUUGACGUCUUUUUUGAAAAAUAAACUUAGAAAUGCAUAUAUACAAUUACAACGCUUUACUCUCAGGUGCGAUCAUACCAGCACUAAUGCACCGGAUCCCAUCAGAACUCCGCAGUUAAGCGGCUUGGGCGAGAGUAGUACUAGGAUGGGUGACCUCCUGGGAAGUCCUUGUGUUGCACCUCUUUUUGCCAAAAUUUCUUGUUCUUUUUGUUAAUUAGCGUAAUUUUACGUCGUUUUUGAAAAAUAAACUUCAAUUGUAUUUCAUUUUUUCCGUUAAUUUACGCAACCUAAAACUCUAUUCGUUAAUUAGCGUAGUUUGACGUCUUUUUUGAAAAAUAAACUUAGAAAUGCAUAUAUACAAUUACAACGCUUUACUCUCAGGUGCGAUCAUACCAGCACUAAUGCACCGGAUCCCAUCAGAACUCCGCAGUUAAGCGUGCUUGGGCGAGAGUAGUACUAGGAUGGGUGACCUCCUGGGAAGUCCUUGUGUUGCACCUCUUUUUGCCAAAAUUUCUUGUUCUUUUGUUAAUUAGCGUAAUUUUACGUCGUUUUUGAAAAAUAAACUUCAAUUGUAUUUCAUUUUUUCCGUUAAUUUACGCAACCUAAAACUCUAUUCGUUAAUUAGCGUAGUUUGACGUCUUUUUUGAAAAAUAAACUUAGAAAUGCAUAUAUACAAUUACAACGCUUUACUCUCAGGUGCGAUCAUACCAGCACUAAUGCACCGGAUCCCAUCAGAACUCCGCAGUUAAGCGUGCUUGGGCGAGAGUAGUACUAGGAUGGGUGACCUCCUGGGAAGUCCUUGUGUUGCACCUCUUUUUGCCAAAAUUUCUUGUUCUUUUGUUAAUUAGCGUAAUUUUACGUCGUUUUUGAAAAAUAAACUUCAAUUGUAUUUCAUUUUUUCCGUUAAUUUACGCAACCUAAAACUCUAUUCGUUAAUUAGCGUAGUUUGACGUCUUUUUUGAAAAAUAAACUUAGAAAUGCAUAUAUACAAUUACAACGCUUUACUCUCAGGUGCGAUCAUACCAGCACUAAUGCACCGGAUCCCAUCAGAACUCCGCAGUUAAGCGUGCUUGGGCGAGAGUAGUACUAGGAUGGGUGACCUCCUGGGAAGUCCUUGUGUUGCACCUCUUUUUGCCAAAAUUUCUUGUUCUUUUGUUAAUUAGCGUAAUUUUACGUCGUUUUUGAAAAAUAAACUUCAAUUGUAUUUCAUUUUUUCCGUUAAUUUACGCAACCUAAAACUCUAUUCGUUAAUUAGCGUAGUUUGACGUCUUUUUUGAAAAAUAAACUUAGAAAUGCAUAUAUACAAUUACAACGCUUUACUCUCAGGUGCGAUCAUACCAGCACUAAUGCACCGGAUCCCAUCAGAACUCCGCAGUUAAGCGUGCUUGGCGAGAGUAGUACUAGGAUGGGUGACCUCCUGGAAGUCCUUGUGUUGCACCUCUUUUUGCCAAAAUUUCUUGUUCUUUUGUUAAUUAGCGUAAUUUUACGUCGUUUUGAAAAAUAAACUUCAAUUGUAUUUCAUUUUUUCCGUUAAUUUACGCAACCUAAAACUCUAUUCGUUAAUUAGCGUAGUUUGACGUCUUUUUUGAAAAAUAAACUUAGAAAUGCAUAUAUACAAUUACAACGCUUUACUCUCAGGUGCGAUCAUACCAGCACUAAUGCACCGGAUCCCAUCAGAACUCCGCAGUUAAGCGUGCUUGGGCGAGAGUAGUACUAGGAUGGGUGACCUCCUGGGAAGUCCUUGUGUUGCACCUCUUUUUGCCAAAAUUUCUUGUUCUUUUGUUAAUUAGCGUAAUUUUACGUCGUUUUUGAAAAAUAAACUUCAAUUGUAUUUCAUUUUUUCCGUUAAUUUACGCAACCUAAAACUCUAUUCGUUAAUUAGCGUAGUUUGACGUCUUUUUUGAAAAAUAAACUUAGAAAUGCAUAUAUACAAUUACAACGCUUUACUCUCAGGUGCGAUCAUACCAGCACUAAUGCACCGGAUCCCAUCAGAACUCCGCAGUUAAGCGUGCUUGGGCGAGAGUAGUACUAGGAUGGGUGACCUCCUGGGAAGUCCUUGUGUUGCACCUCUUUUUGCCAAAAUUUCUUGUUCUUUUUGUUAAUUAGCGUAAUUUUACGUCGUUUUUGAAAAAUAAACUUCAAUUGUAUUUCAUUUUUUCCGUUAAUUUACGCAACCUAAAACUCUAUUCGUUAAUUAGCGUAGUUUGACGUCUUUUUUGAAAAAUAAACUUAGAAAUGCAUAUAUACAAUUACAACGCUUUACUCUCAGGUGCGAUCAUACCAGCACUAAUGCACCGGAUCCCAUCAGAACUCCGCAGUUAAGCGCGCUUGGGCGAGAGUAGUACUAGGAUGGGUGACCUCCUGGGAAGUCCUUGUGUUGCACCUCUUUUUGCCAAAUUUCUUGUUCUUUGUUAAUUAGCGUAAUUUUACGUCGUUUUUGAAAAAUAAACUUCAAUUGUAUUUCAUUUUUUCCGUUAAUUUACGCAACCUAAAACUCUAUUCGUUAAUUAGCGUAGUUUGACGUCUUUUUUGAAAAAUAAACUUAGAAAUGCAUAUAUACAAUUACAACGCUUUACUCUCAGGUGCGAUCAUACCAGCACUAAUGCACCGGAUCCCAUCAGAACUCCGCAGUUAAGCGCGCUUGGGCGAGAGUAGUACUAGGAUGGGUGACCUCCUGGGAAGUCCUUGUGUUGCACCUCUUUUUGCCAAAAUUUCUUGUUCUUUUUGUUAAUUAGCGUAAUUUUACGUCGUUUUUGAAAAAUAAACUUCAAUUGUAUUUCAUUUUUUCCGUUAAUUUACGCAACCUAAAACUCUAUUCGUUAAUUAGCGUAGUUUGACGUCUUUUUUGAAAAAUAAACUUAGAAAUGCAUAUAUACAAUUACAACGCUUUACUCUCAGGUGCGAUCAUACCAGCACUAAUGCACCGGAUCCCAUCAGAACUCCGCAGUUAAGCGUGCUUGGGCGAGAGUAGUACUAGGAUGGGUGACCUCCUGGGAAGUCCUUGUGUUGCACCUCUUUUUGCCAAAAUUUCUUGUUCUUUUUGUUAAUUAGCGUAAUUUUACGUCGUUUUGAAAAAUAAACUUCAAUUGUAUUUCAUUUUUUCCGUUAAUUUACGCAACCUAAAACUCUAUUCGUUAAUUAGCGUAGUUUGACGUCUUUUUUGAAAAAUAAACUUAGAAAUGCAUAUAUACAAUUACAACGCUUUACUCUCAGGUGCGAUCAUACCAGCACUAAUGCACCGGAUCCCAUCAGAACUCCGCAGUUAAGCGUGCUUGGCGAGAGUAGUACUAGGAUGGGUGACCUCCUGGGAAGUCCUUGUGUUGCACCUCUUUUUGCCAAAAUUUCUUGUUCUUUUUGUUAAUUAGCGUAAUUUUACGUCGUUUUUGAAAAAUAAACUUCAAUUGUAUUUCAUUUUUUCCGUUAAUUUACGCAACCUAAAACUCUAUUCGUUAAUUAGCGUAGUUUGACGUCUUUUUUGAAAAAUAAACUUAGAAAUGCAUAUAUACAAUUACAACGCUUUACUCUCAGGUGCGAUCAUACCAGCACUAAUGCACCGGAUCCCAUCAGAACUCCGCAGUUAAGCGGCUUGGGCGAGAGUAGUACUAGGAUGGGUGACCUCCUGGGAAGUCCUUGUGUUGCACCUCUUUUUGCCAAAAUUUCUUGUUCUUUUUGUUAAUUAGCGUAAUUUUACGUCGUUUUUGAAAAAUAAACUUCAAUUGUAUUUCAUUUUUUCCGUUAAUUUACGCAACCUAAAACUCUAUUCGUUAAUUAGCGUAGUUUGACGUCUUUUUGAAAAAUAAACUUAGAAAUGCAUAUAUACAAUUACAACGCUUUACUCUCAGGUGCGAUCAUACCAGCACUAAUGCACCGGAUCCCAUCAGAACUCCGCAGUUAAGCGGCUUGGGCGAGAGUAGUACUAGGAUGGGUGACCUCCUGGGAAGUCCUUGUGUUGCACCUCUUUUUGCCAAAAUUCUUGUUCUUUUGUUAAUUAGCGUAAUUUUACGUCGUUUUUGAAAAAUAAACUUCAAUUGUAUUUCAUUUUUUCCGUUAAUUUACGCAACCUAAAACUCUAUUCGUUAAUUAGCGUAGUUUGACGUCUUUUUUGAAAAAUAAACUUAGAAAUGCAUAUAUACAAUUACAACGCUUUACUCUCAGGUGCGAUCAUACCAGCACUAAUGCACCGGAUCCCAUCAGAACUCCGCAGUUAAGCGCGCUUGGGCGAGAGUAGUACUAGGAUGGGUGACCUCCUGGGAAGUCCUUGUGUUGCACCUCUUUUUGCCAAAAUUUCUUGUUCUUUUGUUAAUUAGCGUAAUUUUACGUCGUUUUUGAAAAAUAAACUUCAAUUGUAUUUCAUUUUUUCCGUUAAUUUACGCAACCUAAAACUCUAUUCGUUAAUUAGCGUAGUUUGACGUCUUUUUUGAAAAAUAAACUUAGAAAUGCAUAUAUACAAUUACAACGCUUUACUCUCAGGUGCGAUCAUACCAGCACUAAUGCACCGGAUCCCAUCAGAACUCCGCAGUUAAGCGUGCUUGGCGAGAGUAGUACUAGGAUGGGUGACCUCCUGGGAAGUCCUUGUGUUGCACCUCUUUUUGCCAAAUAGCGUAAUUUUACGUCGUUUUUGAAAAAUAAACUUCAAUUGUAUUUCAUUUUUUCCGUUAAUUUACGCAACCUAAAACUCUAUUCGUUAAUUAGCGUAGUUUGACGUCUUUUUUGAAAAAUAAACUUAGAAAUGCAUAUAUACAAUUACAACGCUUUACUCUCAGGUGCGAUCAUACCAGCACUAAUGCACCGGAUCCCAUCAGAACUCCGCAGUUAAGCGGCUUGGGCGAGAGUAGUACUAGGAUGGGUGACCUCCUGGGAAGUCCUUGUGUUGCACCUCUUUUUGCCAAAAUUUCUGUUCUUUUGUUAAUUAGCGUAAUUUUACGUCGUUUUGAAAAAUAAACUUCAAUUGUAUUUCAUUUUUUCCGUUAAUUUACGCAACCUAAAACUCUAUUCGUUAAUUAGCGUAGUUUGACGUCUUUUUUGAAAAAUAAACUUAGAAAUGCAUAUAUACAAUUACAACGCUUUACUCUCAGGUGCGAUCAUACCAGCACUAAUGCACCGGAUCCCAUCAGAACUCCGCAGUUAAGCGUGCUUGGGCGAGAGUAGUACUAGGAUGGGUGACCUCCUGGGAAGUCCUUGUGUUGCACCUCUUUUUGCCAAAAUUUCUUUUUUUUUAUUAGCGUAAUUUUACGUCGUUUUUGAAAAAUAAACUUCAAUUGUAUUUCAUUUUUUCCGUUAAUUUACGCAACCUAAAACUCUAUUCGUUAAUUAGCGUAGUUUGACGUCUUUUUUGAAAAAUAAACUUAGAAAUGCAUAUAUACAAUUACAACGCUUUACUCUCAGGUGCGAUCAUACCAGCACUAAUGCACCGGAUCCCAUCAGAACUCCGCAGUUAAGCGUGCUUGGCGAGAGUAGUACUAGGAUGGGUGACCUCCUGGGAAGUCCUUGUGUUGCACCUCUUUUUGCCAAAAUUUCUUGUUCUUUUGUUAAUUAGCGUAAUUUUACGUCGUUUUUGAAAAAUAAACUUCAAUUGUAUUUCAUUUUUUCCGUUAAUUUACGCAACCUAAAACUCUAUUCGUUAAUUAGCGUAGUUUGACGUCUUUUUUGAAAAAUAAACUUAGAAAUGCAUAUAUACAAUUACAACGCUUUACUCUCAGGUGCGAUCAUACCAGCACUAAUGCACCGGAUCCCAUCAGAACUCCGCAGUUAAGCGUGCUUGGGCGAGAGUAGUACUAGGAUGGGUGACCUCCUGGGAAGUCCUUGUGUUGCACCUCUUUUUGCCAAAAUUCUUGUUCUUUGUUAAUUAGCGUAAUUUUACGUCGUUUUUGAAAAAUAAACUUCAAUUGUAUUUCAUUUUUUCCGUUAAUUUACGCAACCUAAAACUCUAUUCGUUAAUUAGCGUAGUUUGACGUCUUUUUUGAAAAAUAAACUUAGAAAUGCAUAUAUACAAUUACAACGCUUUACUCUCAGGUGCGAUCAUACCAGCACUAAUGCACCGGAUCCCAUCAGAACUCCGCAGUUAAGCGGCUUGGCGAGAGUAGUACUAGGAUGGGUGACCUCCUGGGAAGUCCUUGUGUUGCACCUCUUUUUGCCAAAAUUUCUUGUUCUUUUUGUUAAUUAGCGUAAUUUUACGUCGUUUUUGAAAAAUAAACUUCAAUUGUAUUUCAUUUUUUCCGUUAAUUUACGCAACCUAAAACUCUAUUCGUUAAUUAGCGUAGUUUGACGUCUUUUUUGAAAAAUAAACUUAGAAAUGCAUAUAUACAAUUACAACGCUUUACUCUCAGGUGCGAUCAUACCAGCACUAAUGCACCGGAUCCCAUCAGAACUCCGCAGUUAAGCGUGCUUGGCGAGAGUAGUACUAGGAUGGGUGACCUCCUGGGAAGUCCUUGUGUUGCACCUCUUUUUGCCAAAAUUUCUGUUCUUUUUGUUAAUUAGCGUAAUUUUACGUCGUUUUUGAAAAAUAAACUUCAUUGUAUUUCAUUUUUUCCGUUAAUUUACGCAACCUAAAACUCUAUUCGUUAAUUAGCGUAGUUUGACGUCUUUUUUGAAAAAUAAACUUAGAAAUGCAUAUAUACAAUUACAACGCUUUACUCUCAGGUGCGAUCAUACCAGCACUAAUGCACCGGAUCCCAUCAGAACUCCGCAGUUAAGCGUGCUUGGGCGAGAGUAGUACUAGGAUGGGUGACCUCCUGGGAAGUCCUUGUGUUGCACCUCUUUUUGCCAAAAUUUCUUGUUCUUGUUACGUCGUUUUUGAAAAAUAAACUUCAAUUGUAUUUCAUUUUUUCCGUUAAUUUACGCAACCUAAAACUCUAUUCGUUAAUUAGCGUAGUUUGACGUCUUUUUUGAAAAAUAAACUUAGAAAUGCAUAUAUACAAUUACAACGCUUUACUCUCAGGUGCGAUCAUACCAGCACUAAUGCACCGGAUCCCAUCAGAACUCCGCAGUUAAGCGUGCUUGGCGAGAGUAGUACUAGGAUGGGUGACCUCCUGGAAGUCCUUGUGUUGCACCUCUUUUUGCCAAAAUUCUUGUCUUUUGUUAAUUGCGUAAUUUUACGUUGUUUUGAAAAAUAAACUUCGAUUGUAUUUCAUUUUUUCUGUUAAUUUACGCAACCUAAAACUCUAUUCGUUAAUUAGCGUCGUUUGACGUCUUUUUUGAAAAAUAAACUUAGAAAUGCAUAUAUACAAUUACAACGCUUUACUCUCAGGUGCGAUCAUACCAGCACUAAUGCACCGGAUCCCAUCAGAACUCCGCAGUUAAGCGUGCUUGGCGAGAGUAGUACUAGGAUGGGUGACCUCCUGGGAAGUCCUUGUGUUGCACCUCUUUUUGCCAAAAUUCUUGUUUUUGUAAUUGCGUAUUUUACGUCGUUUUUGAAAAAUAAACUUCAUUGUAUUUCAUUUUUUCCGUUAAUUUACGCAACCUAAAACUCUAUUCGUUAAUUAGCGUAGUUUGACGUCUUUUUUGAAAAAUAAACUUAGAAAUGCAUAUAUACAAUUACAACGCUUUACUCUCAGGUGCGAUCAUACCAGCACUAAUGCACCGGAUCCCAUCAGAACUCCGCAGUUAAGCGUGCUUGGCGAGAGUAGUACUAGGAUGGGUGACCUCCUGGAAGUCCUUGUGUUGCACCUCUUUUUGCCAAAAUUCUUUCUUUUUUAUUAGCGUAUUUACGUCGUUUUGAAAAAUAAACUUCAAUUGUAUUUCAUUUUUUCCGUUAAUUUACGCAACCUAAAACUCUAUUCGUUAAUUAGCGUAGUUUGACGUCUUUUUUGAAAAAUAAACUUAGAAAUGCAUAUAUACAAUUACAACGCUUUACUCUCAGGUGCGAUCAUACCAGCACUAAUGCACCGGAUCCCAUCAGAACUCCGCAGUUAAGCGUGCUUGGCGAGAGUAGUACUAGGAUGGGUGACCUCCUGGGAAGUCCUUGUGUUGCACCUCUUUUUGCCAAAAUUUUUUUUUUUUUUAGCUAAUUUUACGUCGUUUUGAAAAAUAAACUUCAUUGUAUUUCAUUUUUUCCGUUAAUUUACGCAACCUAAAACUCUAUUCGUUAAUUAGCGUAGUUUGACGUCUUUUUUGAAAAAUAAACUUAGAAAUGCAUAUAUACAAUUACAACGCUUUACUCUCAGGUGCGAUCAUACCAGCACUAAUGCACCGGAUCCCAUCAGAACUCCGCAGUUAAGCGUGCUUGGCGAGAGUAGUACUAGGAUGGGUGACCUCCUGGGAAGUCCUUGUGUUGCACCUCUUUUUGCCAAAAUUUUGUUCUUUUGUUAAUUAGCGUAUUUACGUCGUUUUGAAAAAUAAACUUCAAUUGUAUUUCAUUUUUUCCGUUAAUUUACGCAACCUAAAACUCUAUUCGUUAAUUAGCGUAGUUUGACGUCUUUUUUGAAAAAUAAACUUAGAAAUGCAUAUAUACAAUUACAACGCUUUACUCUCAGGUGCGAUCAUACCAGCACUAAUGCACCGGAUCCCAUCAGAACUCCGCAGUUAAGCGUGCUUGGGCGAGAGUAGUACUAGGAUGGGUGACCUCCUGGGAAGUCCUUGUGUUGCACCUCUUUUUGCCAAAAUUUCUUGUUCCUUUUGUUAAUUAGCGUAAUUUUACGUCGUUUUGAAAAAUAAACUUCGAUUGUAUUUCAUUUUUUCUGUUAAUUUACGCAACCUAAAACUCUAUUCGUUAAUUAGCGUCGUUUGACGUCUUUUUUGAAAAAUAAACUUAGAAAUGCAUAUAUACAAUUACAACGCUUUACUCUCAGGUGCGAUCAUACCAGCACUAAUGCACCGGAUCCCAUCAGAACUCCGCAGUUAAGCGUGCUUGGCGAGAGUAGUACUAGGAUGGGUGACCUCCUGGGAAGUCCUUGUGUUGCACCUCUUUUUGCCAAAAUUUCUUGUUUUUUUUAAUUAUAUUUUACGUCGUUUUUGAAAAAUAAACUUCAUUGUAUUUCAUUUUUUCCGUUAAUUUACGCAACCUAAAACUCUAUUCGUUAAUUAGCGUAGUUUGACGUCUUUUUUGAAAAAUAAACUUAGAAAUGCAUAUAUACAAUUACAACGCUUUACUCUCAGGUGCGAUCAUACCAGCACUAAUGCACCGGAUCCCAUCAGAACUCCGCAGUUAAGCGUGCUUGGGCGAGAGUAGUACUAGGAUGGGUGACCUCCUGGGAAGUCCUUGUGUUGCACCUCUUUUUGCCAAAAUUUUGUUCUUUUUGUUUAGCGUAAUUUUACGUCGUUUUUGAAAAAUAAACUUCAAUUGUAUUUCAUUUUUUCCGUUAAUUUACGCAACCUAAAACUCUAUUCGUUAAUUAGCGUAGUUUGACGUCUUUUUUGAAAAAUAAACUUAGAAAUGCAUAUAUACAAUUACAACGCUUUACUCUCAGGUGCGAUCAUACCAGCACUAAUGCACCGGAUCCCAUCAGAACUCCGCAGUUAAGCGUGCUUGGCGAGAGUAGUACUAGGAUGGGUGACCUCCUGGGAAGUCCUUGUGUUGCACCUCUUUUUGCCAAAAUUCUUUCUUUUUAUUCGUAUUACGUCGUUUUGAAAAAUAAACUUCAUUGUAUUUCAUUUUUUCCGUUAAUUUACGCAACCUAAAACUCUAUUCGUUAAUUAGCGUAGUUUGACGUCUUUUUUGAAAAAUAAACUUAGAAAUGCAUAUAUACAAUUACAACGCUUUACUCUCAGGUGCGAUCAUACCAGCACUAAUGCACCGGAUCCCAUCAGAACUCCGCAGUUAAGCGUGCUUGGCGAGAGUAGUACUAGGAUGGGUGACCUCCUGGGAAGUCCUUGUGUUGCACCUCUUUUUGCCAAAAUUUUGUUCUUUGUUAAUUAGCGUAAUUUUACGUCGUUUUUGAAAAAUAAACUUCAUUGUAUUUCAUUUUUUCCGUUAAUUUACGCAACCUAAAACUCUAUUCGUUAAUUAGCGUAGUUUGACGUCUUUUUUGAAAAAUAAACUUAGAAAUGCAUAUAUACAAUUACAACGCUUUACUCUCAGGUGCGAUCAUACCAGCACUAAUGCACCGGAUCCCAUCAGAACUCCGCAGUUAAGCGUGCUUGGCGAGAGUAGUACUAGGAUGGGUGACCUCCUGGGAAGUCCUUGUGUUGCACCUCUUUUUGCCAAAAUUUUUUUUUUUUAUUAGCGUAAUUUACGUCGUUUUGAAAAAUAAACUUCAUUGUAUUUCAUUUUUUCCGUUAAUUUACGCAACCUAAAACUCUAUUCGUUAAUUAGCGUAGUUUGACGUCUUUUUUGAAAAAUAAACUUAGAAAUGCAUAUAUACAAUUACAACGCUUUACUCUCAGGUGCGAUCAUACCAGCACUAAUGCACCGGAUCCCAUCAGAACUCCGCAGUUAAGCGUGCUUGGCGAGAGUAGUACUAGGAUGGGUGACCUCCUGGGAAGUCCUUGUGUUGCACCUCUUUUUGCCAAAAUUUCUUAAGUACGUUUUUACGUCGUUUUUGAAAAAUAAACUUCAAUUGUAUUUCAUUUUUUCCGUUAAUUUACGCAACCUAAAACUCUAUUCGUUAAUUAGCGUAGUUUGACGUCUUUUUUGAAAAAUAAACUUAGAAAUGCAUAUAUACAAUUACAACGCUUUACUCUCAGGUGCGAUCAUACCAGCACUAAUGCACCGGAUCCCAUCAGAACUCCGCAGUUAAGCGCGCUUGGGCGAGAGUAGUACUAGGAUGGGUGACCUCCUGGGAAGUCCUUGUGUUGCACCUCUUUUUGCCAAAAUCUUUUACGUAUUUCGUUUUUGAAAAAUAAACUUCGAUUGUAUUUCAUUUUUUCCGUUAAUUUACGCAACCUAAAACUCUAUUCGUUAAUUAGCGUAGUUUGACGUCUUUUUUGAAAAAUAAACUUAGAAAUGCAUAUAUACAAUUACAACGCUUUACUCUCAGGUGCGAUCAUACCAGCACUAAUGCACCGGAUCCCAUCAGAACUCCGCAGUUAAGCGUGCUUGGGCGAGAGUAGUACUAGGAUGGGUGACCUCCUGGGAAGUCCUUGUGUUGCACCUCUUUUUGCCAAAAUUUUUCUUUGUAAUAGCGUAUUUACGUCGUUUUUGAAAAAUAAACUUCAUUGUAUUUCAUUUUUUCCGUUAAUUUACGCAACCUAAAACUCUAUUCGUUAAUUAGCGUAGUUUGACGUCUUUUUUGAAAAAUAAACUUAGAAAUGCAUAUAUACAAUUACAACGCUUUACUCUCAGGUGCGAUCAUACCAGCACUAAUGCACCGGAUCCCAUCAGAACUCCGCAGUUAAGCGUGCUUGGGCGAGAGUAGUACUAGGAUGGGUGACCUCCUGGGAAGUCCUUGUGUUGCACCUCUUUUUGCCAAAAUUUCUUGUUCUUUCUUGCGUAUUUAACGUCGUUUUUGAAAAAUAAACUUCAAUUGUAUUUCAUUUUUUCCGUUAAUUUACGCAACCUAAAACUCUAUUCGUUAAUUAGCGUAGUUUGACGUCUUUUUUGAAAAAUAAACUUAGAAAUGCAUAUAUACAAUUACAACGCUUUACUCUCAGGUGCGAUCAUACCAGCACUAAUGCACCGGAUCCCAUCAGAACUCCGCAGUUAAGCGUGCUUGGCGAGAGUAGUACUAGGAUGGGUGACCUCCUGGGAAGUCCUUGUGUUGCACCUCUUUUUGCCAAAAUUCUUGUUCUUUUGUAAUUAGCGUUUUUACGUCGUUUUGAAAAAUAAACUUCAUUGUAUUUCAUUUUUUCCGUUAAUUUACGCAACCUAAAACUCUAUUCGUUAAUUAGCGUAGUUUGACGUCUUUUUUGAAAAAUAAACUUAGAAAUGCAUAUAUACAAUUACAACGCUUUACUCUCAGGUGCGAUCAUACCAGCACUAAUGCACCGGAUCCCAUCAGAACUCCGCAGUUAAGCGUGCUUGGGCGAGAGUAGUACUAGGAUGGGUGACCUCCUGGGAAGUCCUUGUGUUGCACCUUUUUUGCCAAAAUUUCUUGUUCUUUUUGUUAAUUAGCGUAAUUUUACGUCGUUUUUGAAAAAUAAACUUCAAUUGUAUUUCAUUUUUUCCGUUAAUUUACGCAACCUAAAACUCUAUUCGUUAAUUAGCGUAGUUUGACGUCUUUUUUGAAAAAUAAACUUAGAAAUGCAUAUAUACAAUUACAACGCUUUACUCUCAGGUGCGAUCAUACCAGCACUAAUGCACCGGAUCCCAUCAGAACUCCGCAGUUAAGCGUGCUUGGCGAGAGUAGUACUAGGAUGGGUGACCUCCUGGGAAGUCCUUGUGUUGCACCUCUUUUUGCCAAAAUUUUGUUCUUUUUUAAUUAGCGUAUUUUACGUCGUUUUGAAAAAAAACUUCAAUUGUAUUUCAUUUUUUCGUUAAUUUACGCAACCUAAAACUCUAUUCGUUAAUUAGCGUAGUUUGACGUCUUUUUUGAAAAAUAAACUUAGAAAUGCAUAUAUACAAUUACAACGCUUUACUCUCAGGUGCGAUCAUACCAGCACUAAUGCACGGAUCCCAUCAGAACUCCGCAGUUAAGCGUGCUUGGCGAGAGUAGUACUAGGAUGGGUGACCUCUGGGAAGUCCUUGUGUUGCACCUCUUUUUGCCAAAUUUUUUUUUUUUUUACGUAUUUUCGUGUUUUGAAAAAUAAACUUCAUUGUAUUUCAUUUUUUCGUUAAUUUACGCAACUAAACUAUUCGUUAAUUAGCGUAGUUUGACGUCUUUUUGAAAAAUAAACUUAGAAAUGCAUAUAUACAAUUACAACGCUUUACUCUCAGGUGCGAUCAUACCAGCACUAAUGCACCGGAUCCCAUCAGAACUCCGCAGUUAAGCGUGCUUGGCGAGAGUAGUACUAGGAUGGGUGACCUCCUGGGAAGUCCUUGUGUUGCACCUCUUUUUGCCAAAAUUUUACGUUGUUUUGAAAAAUAAACUUCAUUGUAUUUCAUUUUUUCCGUUAAUUUACGCAACCUAAAACUCUAUUCGUUAAUUAGCGUAGUUUGACGUCUUUUUGAAAAAUAAACUUAGAAAUGCAUAUAUACAAUUACAACGCUUUACUCUCAGGUGCGAUCAUACCAGCACUAAUGCACCGGAUCCCAUCAGAACUCCGCAGUUAAGCGUGCUUGGCGAGAGUAGUACUAGGAUGGGUGACCUCCUGGGAAGUCCUUGUGUUGCACCUUUUUUGCCAAAAUUUUUUUUUUUUAAUUCGUAUUUACGUCGUUUUUGAAAAAUAAACUUCAUUGUAUUUCAUUUUUUCCGUUAAUUUACGCAACCUAAAACUCUAUUCGUUAAUUAGCGUAGUUUGACGUCUUUUUUGAAAAAUAAACUUAGAAAUGCAUAUAUACAAUUACAACGCUUUACUCUCAGGUGCGAUCAUACCAGCACUAAUGCACCGGAUCCCAUCAGAACUCCGCAGUUAAGCGUGCUUGGGCGAGAGUAGUACUAGGAUGGGUGACCUCCUGGGAAGUCCUUGUGUUGCACCUCUUUUUGCCAAAAUUUUUUUUUUUUGCUAAUUUUACGUCGUUUUUGAAAAAUAAACUUCGAAAUGCAUUUUUUUCGUUAAUUUACGCAACCUAAAACUCUAUUCGUUAAUUAGCGUAGUUUGACGUCUUUUUUGAAAAAUAAACUUAGAAAUGCAUAUAUACAAUUACAACGUUUACUCUCAGGUGCGAUCAUACCAGCACUAAUGCACCGGAUCCCAUCAGACUCCGCAGUUAGCGUGCUUGGCGAGAGUAGUACUAGGAUGGGUGACCUCCUGGAAGUCCUUGUGUUGCACCUCUUUUUGCCAAAAGUUUUACGUCGUUUUUGAAAAAUAAACUUCGAUUGUAUUUCAUUUUUUUCGUUAAUUUACGCAACCUAAAACUCUAUUCGUUAAUUAGCGUAGUUUGACGUCUUUUUUGAAAAAUAAACUUAGAAAUGCAUAUAUACAAUUACAACGCUUUACUCUCAGGUGCGAUCAUACCAGCACUAAUGACCGGAUCCCAUCAGAACUCCGCAGUUAAGCGUGCUUGGCGAGAGUAGUACUAGGAUGGGUGACCUCUGGGAAGUCCUUGUGUUGCACCUCUUUUUGCCAAAAUUUUACGUCGCUUUUGAAAAUAAACUUAGAAAUGCAUAUAUACAAUUACAACGCUUUACUCUCAGGUGCGAUCAUAUUAGCACUAAUGCACCGGAUCCCAUCAGAACUCCGCAGUUAAGCGUGCUUGGUCGAGAGUAGUACUAGGAUGGGUGACCUCCUGGGAAGUCCUUGUGUUGCACCUCUUUUUGCCAAAAUUUUACGUCGUUUUUGAAAAAUAAACUUCGAUUGUAUUUCAUUUUUUCCGUUAAUUUACGCAACCUAAAACUCUAUUCGUUAAUUAGCGUAGUUUGACGUCUUUUUUGAAAAAUAAACUUAGAAAUGCAUAUAUACAAUUACAACGCUUUACUCUCAGGUGCGAUCAUACCAGCACUAAUGCACGGAUCCCAUCAGAACUCCGCAGUUAAGCGUGCUUGGCGAGAGUAGUACUAGGAUGGGUGACCUCCUGGGAAGUCCUUGCGUUGCACCUUUUUUUGCCAAAAUUUUACGUCGUUUUUGAAAAAUAAACUUCAAUUGUAUUUCAUUUUUUCCGUUAAUUUACGCAACCUAAAACUCUAUUCGUUAAUUAGCGUAGUUUGACGUCUUUUUUGAAAAAUAAACUUAGAAAUGCAUAUAUACAAUUACAACGCUUUACUCUCAGGUGCGAUCAUACAGCACUAAUGCACCGGAUCCCAUCAGAACUCCGCAGUUAAGCGUGCUUGGGCGAGAGUAGUACUAGGAUGGGUGACCUCCUGGGAAGUCCUUGUGUUGCACCUCUUUUUGCCAAAAUUUUACGUCGUUUUUGAAAAAUAAACUUCGAAUUUCAUUUUUUCGUUAAUUUACGCAACCUAAAACUCUAUUCGUUAAUUAGCGUAGUUUGACGUCUUUUUUGAAAAAUAAACUUAGAAAUGCAUAUAUACAAUUACAACGUUUACUCUCAGGUGCGAUCAUACCAGCACUAAUGCACCGGAUCCCAUCAGACUCCGCAGUUAAGCGUGCUUGGCGAGAGUAGUACUAGGAUGGGUGACCUCCUGGGAAGUCCUUGUGUUGCACCUCUUUUUGCCAAAUUUUACGUCGUUUUUGAAAAAUAAACUUCGAUUGUAUUUCAUUUUUUCGUUAAUUUACGCAACCUAAAACUCUAUUCGUUAAUUAGCGUAGUUUGACGUCUUUUUUGAAAAAUAAACUUAGAAAUGCAUAUAUACAAUUACAACGCUUUACUCUCAGGUGCGAUCAUACCAGCACUAAUGCUUCGGAUCCCAUCAGAACUCCGCAGUUAAGCGUGCUUGGGCGAGAGUAGAACUAGGAUGGGUGACCUCCUGGGAAGUCCUUGUGUUGCACCUCUUUAGUUUGACGUCUUUUUUGAAAAAUAAACUUAGAAAUGCAUAUAUACAAUUACAACGCUUUACUCUCAGGUGCGAUCAUAUACCAGCACUAAUGCACCGGAUCCCAUCAGAACUCCGCAGUUAAGCGUGCUUGGUCGAGAGUAGUACUAGGAUGGGUGACCUCCUAGGAAGUCCUUGUGUUGCACCUCUUUUUGCCAAAAUUUUACGUUGUUUUGAAAAAUAAACUUCGAUUGUAUUUCAUUUUUUCGUUAAUUUACGCAACCUAAAACUCUAUUCGUUAAUUAGCGUAGUUUGACGUCUUUUUUGAAAAAUAAACUUAGAAAUGCAUAUAUACAAUUACAACGCUUUACUCUCAGGUGGGAUCAUACCAGCACUAAUGCACCGGAUCCCAUCAGAACUCCGCAGUUAAGCGUGCUUGGUCGAGAGUAGUACUAGGAUGGGUGACCUCCUGGGAAGUCCUUGCGUUGCACCUUUUUUUGCCAAAAUUUUACGUCGUUUUUGAAAAAUAAACUUCGAUUGUAUUUCAUUUUUUCCGUUAAUUUACGCAACCUAAAACUCUAUUCGUUAAUUAGCGUAGUUUGACGUCUUUUUGAAAAAUAAACUUAGAAAUGCAUAUAUACAAUUACAACGCUUUACUCUCAGGUGCGAUCAUACCAGCACUAAUGCACCGGAUCCCAUCAGAACUCCGCAGUUAAGCGUGCUUGGUCGAGAGUAGUACUAGGAUGGGUGACCUCCUGGGAAGUCCUUGUGUUGCACCUCUUUUUGCCAAAAUUUUACGUCGCUUUUGAAAAAUAAACUUCGAUUGUAUUUCAUUUUUUCCGUUAAUUUACGCAACCUAAAACUCUAUUCGUUAAUUAGCGUAGUUUGACGUCUUUUUUGAAAAAUAAACUUAGAAAUGCAUAUAUACAAUUACAACGCUUUACUCUCAGGUGCGAUCAUACCAGCACUAAUGCUUCGGAUCCCAUCAGAACUCCGCAGUUAAGCGUGCUUGGUCGAGAGUAGUACUAGGAUGGGUGACCUCCUGGGAAGUCCUUGUGUUGCACCUCUUUUUGCCAAAAUUUUACGUCGCUUUUGAAAAUAAACUUAGAAAUGCAUAUAUACAAUUACAACGCUUUACUCUCAGGUGCGAUCAUAUUAGCACUAAUGCACCGGAUCCCAUUAGAACUCCGCAGUUAAGCGUGCUUGGGUGAGAGUAGUACUAGGAUGGGUGACCUCCUGGGAAGUCCUUGUGUUGCACCUCUUUUUGCCAAAAUUUUACGUCGUUUUUGAAAAAUAAACUUCGAUUUUAUUUCAUUUUUUCUGUUAAUUUACGCAACCUAAAACUCUAUUCGUUAAUUAGCGUAGUUUGACGUCUUUUUUGAAAAAUAAACUUAGAAAUGCAUAUAUACAAUUACAACGCUUUACUCUCAGGUGCGAUCAUACCAGCAGUAAUGCACCGGAUCCCAUCAGAACUCCGCAGUUAUGCGUGCUUGGUCGAGAGUAGUACUAGGAUGGGUGACCUCCUGGGAAUCCUUGUGUUGCACCUCUUUUUGCCAAAAGUUUAUGUCGUAUUUGAAAAACAAACAUCGAUUGUAUUUCAUUUUUUCGUUAAUUUACGCAACCUAAAACUCUAUUCGUUAAUUAGCGUAGUUUGACGUCUUUUUUGAAAAAUAAACUUAGAAAUGCAUAUAUACAAUUACAACGCUUUACUCUCAGGUGGAUCAUACCAGCACUAAUGCACCGGAUCCCAUCAGAACUCCGCAGUUAAGCGUGCUUGGUCGAGAGUAGUACUAGGAUGGGUGACCUCCUGGGAAGUCCUUGCGUUGCACCUUUUUCCAAAUUUUGUCUUUUUUGCGAAUUUUACGUCGUUUUUGAAAAAUAAACUUCGAUUGUAUUUCAUUUUUUCCGUUAAUUUACGCAACCUAAAACUCUAUUCGUUAAUUAGCGUAGUUUGACGUCUUUUUUGAAAAAUAAACUUAGAAAUGCAUAUAUACAAUUACAACGCUUUACUCUCAGGUGCGAUCAUACCAGCACUAAUGCACCGGAUCCCAUCAGAACUCCGCAGUUAAGCGUGCUUGGUCGAGAGUAGUACAGGAUGGGUGACCUCCUGGGAAGUCCUUGUGUUGCACCUCUUUUUGCCAAAAUUUUACGUCGUUUUUGAAAAAUAAACUUCGAUUGUAUUUCAUUUUUUUCCGUUAAUUUACGCAACCUAAAACUCUAUUCGUUAAUUAGCGUAGUUUGACGUCUUUUUUGAAAAAUAAACUUAGAAAUGCAUAUAUACAAUUACAACGCUUUACUCUCAGGUGCGAUCAUACCAGCACUAAUGCACCGGAUCCCAUCAGAACUCCGCAGUUAAGCGUGCUUGGUCGAGAGUAGUACUAGGAUGGGUGACCUCCUGGGAAGUCCUUGUGUUGCACCUCUUUUUGCCAAAAUUUUACGUUGUUUUUGAAAAAUAAACUUCGAUUGUAUUUCAUUUUUUCCGUUAAUUUACGCAACCUAAAACUCUAUUCGUUAAUUAGCGUAGUUUGACGUCUUUUUUGAAAAAUAAACUUAGAAAUGCAUAUAUACAAUUACAACGCUUUACUCUCAGGUGCGAUCAUACCAGCACUAAUGCACCGGAUCCCAUCAGAACUCCGCAGUUAAGCGUGCUUGGUCGAGAGUAGUACUAGGAUGGGUGACCUCCUGGGAAGUCCUUGCGUUGCACCUUUUUUGCCAAAAUUUUACAUCGUUUUUGAAAAAUAAACUUCGAUUGUAUUUCAUUUUUUCCGUUAAUUUACGCAACCUAAAACUCUAUUCGUUAAUUAGCGUAGUUUGACGUCUUUUUUGAAAAAUAAACUUAGAAAUGCAUAUAUACAAUUACAACGCUUUACUCUCAGGUGCGAUCAUACCAGCACUAAUGCACCGGAUCCCAUCAGAACUCCGCAGUUAAGCGUGCUUGGUCGAGAGUAGUACUAGGAUGGGUGACCUCCUGGGAAGUCCUUGUGUUGCACCUCUUUUUGCCAAAAUUUUACGUCGCUUUUGAAAAAUAAACUUCGAUUGUAUUUCAUUUUUCCGUUAAUUUACGCAACCUAAAACUCUAUUCGUUAAUUAGCGUAGUUUGACGUCUUUUUUGAAAAAUAAACUUAGAAAUGCAUAUAUACAAUUACAACGCUUUACUCUCAGGUGCGAUCAUACCAGCACUAAUGCUUCGGAUCCCAUCAGAACUCUGCAGUUAAGCGUGCUUGGUCGAGAGUAGUACUAGGAUGGGUGACCUCUGGGAAGUCCUUGUGUUGCACCUCUUUUUGCCAAAAUUUUACGUCGCUUUUGAAAAAUAAACUUAGAAAUGCAUAUAUACAAUUACAACGCUUUACUCUCAGGUGCGAUCAUACCAGCACUAAUGCACCGGAUCCCAUCAGAACUCUGCAGUUAAGUGUGCUUGGGCGAGAGUAGUACUAGGAUGGGUGACCUCCUGGGAAGUCCUUGUGUUGCACCUCUUUUUGCCAAAAUUUUACGUCGUUUUUGAAAAAUAAACUUCGAUUUAUUUCAUUUUUUCUGUUAAUUUACUCAACCUAAAACUCUAUUCGUUAAUUAGCGUAGUUUGACGUCUUUUUUGAAAAAUAAACUUAGAAAUGCAUAUAUACAAUUACAACGCUUUACUCUCAGGUGCGAUCAUACCAGCACUAAUGCACCGGAUCCCAUAGAACUCCGCAAUUAUGCGUGCUUGGUCGAGAGUAGUACUAGGAUGGGUGACCUCCUGGGAAGUCCUUGUGUUGCACCUCUUUUUGCCAAAAUUUUACGUCGUAUUUGAAAAAUAAACUUCGAUUGUAUUUUAUGUUUUUCGUUAAUUUACGCAACCUAAAACUCUAUUCGUUAAUUAGCGUAGUUUGACGUCUUUUUUGAAAAAUAAACUUAGAAAUGCAUAUAUACAAUUACAACGCUUUACUCUAGGUGGAUCAUACCAGCACUAAUGCACCGGAUCCCAUCAGAACUCCGCAGUUAAGCGUGCUUGGUCGAGAGUAGUACUAGGAUGGGUGACCUCCUGGGAAGUCCUUGCGUUGCACCUUUUUUUGCCAAAAUUUUACGUCGUUUUUGAAAAAUAAACUUCGAUUGUAUUUCAUUUUUUUCCGUUAAUUUACGCAACCUAAAACUCUAUUCGUUAAUUAGCGUAGUUUGACGUCUUUUUUGAAAAAUAAACUUAGAAAUGCAUAUAUACAAUUACAACGCUUUACUCUCAGGUGCGAUCAUACCAGCACUAAUGCACCGGAUCCCAUCAGAACUCCGCAGUUAAGCGUGCUUGGCGAGAGUAGUACGAGGAUGGGUGACCUCCUGGGAAGUCCUUGUGUUGCACCUCUUUUUGCCAAAAUUUUACGUCGUUUUUGAAAAAUAAACUUCGAUUGUAUUUCAUUUUUUUCCGUUAAUUUACGCAACCUAAAACUCUAUUCGUUAAUUAGCGUAGUUUGACGUCUUUUUUGAAAAAUAAACUUAGAAAUGCAUAUAUACAAUUACAACGCUUUACUCUCAGGUGCGAUCAUACCAGCACUAAUGCACCGGAUCCCAUCAGAACUCCGCAGUUAAGCGUGCUUGGUCGAGAGUAGUACUAGGAUGGGUGACCUCCUGGGAAGUCCUUGUGUUGCACCUCUUUUUGCCAAAAUUUUACGUUGUUUUUGAAAAAUAAACUUCGAUUGUAUUUCAUUUUUUCCGUUAAUUUACGCAACCUAAAACUCUAUUCGUUAAUUAGCGUAGUUUGACGUCUUUUUUGAAAAAUAAACUUAGAAAUGCAUAUAUACAAUUACAACGCUUUACUCUCAGGUGCGAUCAUACCAGCACUAAUGCUUCGGAUCCCAUCAGAACUCGCAGCUAAGCGUGCUUGGUCGAAAGUAGUAGUAGGAUGGGUGACCUCCUGGAAGUCCUUGUGUUGCACCUCUUUUUGCCAAAAUUUUACGUCGCUUUUGAAAAAUAAACUUCGAUUGUAUUUCAUUUUUUCCGUUAAUUUACGCAACCUAAAACUCUAUUCGUUAAUUAGCGUAGUUUGACGUCUUUUUUGAAAAAAAUCUUAGAAAUGCAUAUAUACAAUUACAACGCUUUACUCUCAGGUGCGAUCAUACCAGCACUAAUGCACCGGAUCCCAUCAGAACUCCGCAGUUAAGCGUGCUUGGGCGAGAGUAGUACUAGGAUGGGUGACCUCCUGGGAAGUCCUUGUGUUGCACCUCUUUUUGCCAAAAUUUUACGUCGCUUUUGAAAAAUAAACUUCGAUUGUAUUUCAUUUUUUCCGUUAAUUUACGCAACCUAAAACUCUAUUCGUUAAUUAGCGUAGUUUGACGUCUUUUUUGAAAAAUAAACUUAGAAAUGCAUAUAUACAAUUACAACGCUUUACUCUCAGGUGCGAUCAUACCAGCACUAAUGCUUCGGAUCCCAUCAGAACUCCGCAGUUAAGCGUGCUUGGUCGAGAGUAGUACUAGGAUGGGUGACCUCCUGGGAAGUCCUUGUGUUGCACCUCUUUUUGCCAAAAUUUUACGUCGCUUUUGAAAAAUAAACUUAGAAAUGCAUAUAUACAAUUACAACGCUUUACUCUCAGGUGCGAUCAUACCAGCACUAAUGCACCGGAUCCCAUCAGAACUCUGCAGUUAAGCGUGCUUGGGCGAGAGUAGUACUAGGAUGGGUGACCUCCUGGGAAGUCCUUGUGUUGCACCUCUUUUUGCCAAAAUUUUACGUCGUUUUUGAAAAAUAAACUUCGAUUUUAUUUCAUUUUUUCUGGUAAUUUACUCAACCUAAAACUCUAUUCGUUAAUUAGCGUAGUUUGACGUCUUUUUUGAAAAAUAAACUUAGAAAUGCAUAUAUACAAUUACAACGCUUUACUCUCAGGUGCGAUCAUACCAGCACUAAUGCUUCGGAUCCCAUCAGAAUACCGCAGUUAAGCGUGCUUGGUCGAGAGUAAUACUAGGAUGGGUGACCUCCUGGGAAGUCCUUGUGUUGCACCUCUUUUUGCCAAAAUUUUACGUUGUUUUUGAAAAAUAAACUUCGAUUGUAUUUCAUUUUUUCCGUUAAUUUACGCAACCUAAAACUCUAUUCGUUAAUUAGCGUAGUUUGACGUCUUUUUUGAAAAAUAAACUUAGAAAUGCAUAUAUACAAUUACAACGCUUUACUCUCAGGUGCGAUCAUACCAGCACUAAUGCUUCGGAUCCCAUCAGAACUACGCAGCUAAGCGUGCUUGGUCGAAAGUAGUAGUAGGAUGGGUGACCUCCUGGGAAGUCCUUGUGUUGCACCUCUUUUUGCCAAAAUUUUACGUCGCUUUUGAAAAAUAAACUUCGAUUGUAUUUCAUUUUUUCCGUUAAUUUACGCAACCUAAAACUCUAUUCGUUAAUUAGCGUAGUUUGACGUCUUUUUUGAAAAAAAUCUUAGACAAUUACAACGCUUUACUCUCAGGUGCGAUCAUACCAGCACUAAUGCACCGGAUCCCAUCAGAACUCUGCAGUUAAGCGUGCUUGGGCGAGAGUAGUACUAGGAUGGGUGACCUCCUGGGAAGUCCUUGUGUUGCACCUCUUUUUGCCAAAAUUUUACGUCGCUUUUGAAAAAUAAACUUCGAUUGUAUUUCAUUUUUUCCGUUAAUUUACGCAACCUAAAACUCUAUUCGUUAAAUAUCGUAGUUUGACGUGUUUUUUGAAAAAUAAACUUAGAAAUGCAUAUAUACAAUUACAACGCUUUACUCUCAGGUGCGAUCAUACCAGCACUAAUGCUUGGAUCCCAUCAGAACUACGCAGCUAAGCGUGCUUGGUCGAGAGUAGUACUAGGAUGGGUGACCUCCUGGGAAGUCCUUGUGUUGCACCUCUUUUUGCCAAAAUUUUACGUCGCUUUUGAAAAAUAAACUUCGAUUGUAUUUCAUUUUUUCCGUUAAUUUACGCAACCUAAAACUCUAUUCGUUAAUUAGCGUAGUUUGACGUCUUUUUGAAAAAUAAACUUAGAAAUGCAUAUAUACAAUUACAACGCUUUACUCUCAGGUGCGAUCAUACCAGCACUAAUGCUUCGGAUCCCAUCAGAACUCCGCAGUUAAGCGUGCUUGGUCGAGAGUAGUACUAGGAUGGGUGACCUCCUGGGAAGUCCUUGUGUUGCACCUCUUUUUGCCAAAAUUUUACGUCGCUUUUGAAAAAUAAACUUAGAAAUGCAUAUAUACAAUUACAACGCUUUACUCUCAGGUGCGAUCAUACCAGCACUAAUGCACCGGAUCCCAUCAGAACUCUGUAGUUAAGCGUGCUUGGGCGAGAGUAGUACUAGGAUGGGUGACCUCCUGGGAAGUCCUUGUGUUGCACCUCUUUUUGCCAAAAUUUUACGUCGUUUUUGAAAAAUAAACUUCGAUUUUAUUUCAUUUUUUCUGGUAAUUUACUCAACCUAAAACUCUAUUCGUUAAUUAGCGUAGUUUGACGUCUUUUUUGAAAAAUAAACUUAGAAAUGCAUAUAUACAAUUACAACGCUUUACUCUCAGGUGCGAUCAUACCAGCACUAAUGCUUCGGAUCCCAUCAGAACUUCGCAGUGAAGCGUGCUUGGUCGAGAGUAGUACUAGGAUGGGUGACCUCCUGGGAAGUCCUUGUGUUGCACCUCUUUUUGCCAAAAUUUUACGUUGUUUUUGAAAAAUAAACUUCGAUUGUAUUUCAUUUUUUCCGUUAAUUUACGCAACCUAAAACUCUAUUCGUUAAUUAGCGUAGUUUGACGUCUUUUUGAAAAAUAAACUUAGAAAUGCAUAUAUACAAUUACAACGCUUUACUCUCAGGUGCGAUCAUACCAGCACUAAUGCUUCGGAUCCCAUCAGAACUACGCAGCUAAGCGUGCUUGGUCGAAAGUAGUAGUAGGAUGGGUGACCUCCUGGGAAGUCCUUGUGUUGCACCUCUUUUUGCCAAAAUUUUACGUCGCUUUUGAAAAAUAAACUUCGAUUGUAUUUCAUUUUUUCCGUUAAUUUACGCAACCUAAAACUCUAUUCGUUAAUUAGCGUAGUUUGACGUCUUUUUUGAAAAAAAUCUUAGAAAUGCAUAUAUACAAUUACAACGCUUUACUCUCAGGUGCGAUCAUACCGCACUAAUGCACCGGAUCCCAUCAGAACUCUGCAGUUAAGCGUGCUUGGGCGAGAGUAGUACUAGGAUGGGUGACCUCCUGGGAAGUCCUUGUGUUGCACCUCUUUUUGCCAAAAUUUUACGUCGCUUUUGAAAAAUAAACAUCGAUUGUAUUUCAUUUUUUCCGUUAAUUUACGCAACCUAAAACUCUAUUCGUUAAUAUCGUAGUUUGACGUUUUUUUGAAAAAAAAACUUAGAAAUGCAUAUAUACAAUUACAACGCUUUACUCUCAGGUGCGAUCAUACCAGCACUAAUGCUUCGGAUCCCAUCAGAACUACGCAGCUAAGCGUGCUUGGUCGAGAGUAGUACUAGGAUGGGUGACCUCCUGGGAAGUCCUUGUGUUGCACCUCUUUUUGCCAAAAUUUUACGUCGCUUUUGAAAAAUAAACUUCGAUUGUAUUUCAUUUUUUCCGUUAAUUUACGCAACCUAAAACUCUAUUCGUUAAUUAGCGUAGUUUGACGUCUUUUUUGAAAAAUAAACUUAGAAAUGCAUAUAUACAAUUACAACGCUUUACUCUCAGGUGCGAUCAUACCAGCACUAAUGCUUCGGAUCCCAUCAGAACUCCGCAGUUAAGCGUGCUUGGUCGAGAGUAGUACUAGGAUGGGUGACCUCCUGGGAAGUCCUUGUGUUGCACCUCUUUUUGCCAAAAUUUUACGUCGCUUUUGAAAAAUAAACUUAGAAAUGCAUAUAUACAAUUACAACGCUUUACUCUCAGGUGCGAUCAUACCAGCACUAAUGCACCGGAUCCCAUCAGAACUCUGCAGUUAAGCGUGCUUGGGCGAGAGUAGUACUAGGAUGGGUGACCUCCUGGGAAGUCCUUGUGUUGCACCUUUUUUGCCAAAAUUUUACGUCGUUUUUGAAAAAUAAACUUCGAUUGUAUUUCAUUUUUUCUGGUAAUUUACUCAACCUAAAACUCUAUUCGUUAAUUAGCGUAGUUUGACGUCUUUUUUGAAAAAUAAACUUAGAAAUGCAUAUAUACAAUUACAACGCUUUACUCUCAGGUGCGAUCAUACCAGCACUAAUGCACCGGAUCCCAUCAGAACUCCGCAGUUAGCGUGCUUGGUCGAGAGUAGUACUAGGAUGGGUGACCUCCUGGGAAGUCCUUGUGUUACACCUCUUUUUGCCAAAAUUUUACGUUGUUUUGAAAAAUAAACUUCGAUUGUAUUUCAUUUUUUCCGUUAAUUUACGCAACCUAAAACUCUAUUCGUUAAUUAGCGUAGUUUGACGUCUUUUUUGAAAAAUAAACUUAGAAAUGCAUAUAUACAAUUACAACGCUUUACUCUCAGGUGCGAUCAUACCAGCACUAAUGCACCGGAUCCCAUCAGAACUCCGAGUUAAGCGUGCUUGGUCGAGAGUAGUACUAGGAUGGGUGACCUCCUGGGAAGUCCUUGUGUUGCACCUCUUUUUGCCAAAAUUUUACGUCGCUUUUGAAAAAUAAACUUCGAUUGUAUUUCAUUUUUUCCGUUAAUUUACGCAACCUAAAACUCUAUUCGUUAAUUAGCGUAGUUUGACGUCUUUUUUGAAAAAUAAACUUAGAAAUGCAUAUAUACAAUUACAACGCUUUACUCUCAGGUGCGAUCAUACCAGCACUAAUGCUUCGGAUCCCAUCAGAACUCCGCAGUUAAGCGUGCUUGGUCGAGAGUAGUACUAGGAUGGGUGACCUCCUGGGAAGUCCUUGUGUUGCACCUCUUUUUGCCAAAAUUUUACGUCGCUUUUGAAAAAUAAACUUAGAAAUGCAUAUAUACAAUUACAACGCUUUACUCUCAGGUGCGAUCAUACCAGCACUAAUGCACCGGAUCCCAUCAGAACUCGCAGUUAAGCGUGCUUGGGCGAGAGUAGUACUAGGAUGGGUGACCUCCUGGGAAGUCCUUGUGUUGCACCUUUUUUGCCAAAAUUUUACGUCGUUUAUGAAAAAUAAACUUCGAUUUAUUUCAUUUUUUCCGUUAAUUUACGCAACCUAAAACUCUAUUCGUUAAUUAGCGUAGUUUGACGUCUUUUUUUGAAAAAUAAACUUAGAAAUGCAUAUAUACAAUUACAACGCUUUACUCUCAGGUGCGAUCAUACCAGCACUAAUGCACCGGAUCCCAUCAGAACUCCGCAGUUAAGCGUGCUUGGCGAGAGUAGUACUAGGAUGGGUGACCUCCUGGGAAGUCCUUGUGUUGCACCUCUUUUUGCCAAAAUUUUACGUCGCUUUUGAAAAAUAAACUUCGAUUGUAUUUCAUUUUUUCCGUUAAUUUACGCAACCUAAAACUCUAUUCGUUAAUUAGCGUAGUUUGACGUCUUUUUUGAAAAAUAAACUUAGAAAUGCAUAUAUACAAUUACAACGCUUUACUCUCAGGUGCGAUCAUACCAGCACUAAUGCUUCGGAUCCCAUCAGAACUCUGCAGUUAAGCGUGCUUGGUCGAGAGUAGUACUAGGAUGGGUGACCUCCUGGGAAGUCCUUGUGUUGCACCUCUUUUUGCCAAAAUUUUACGUCGCUUUUGAAAAAUAAACUUAGAAAUGCAUAUAUACAAUUACAACGCUUUACUCUCAGGUGCGAUCAUACCAGCACUAAUGCACCGGAUCCCAUCAGAACUCUGCAGUUAAGUGUGCUAGGGCGAGAGUAGUACUAGGAUGGGUGACCUCCUGGGAAGUCCUUGUGUUGCACCUUUUUUUGCCAAAAUUUUACGUCGUUUUUGAAAAAUAAACUUCGAUUUUAUUUCAUUUUUUCUGUUAAUUUACUCAACCUAAAACUCUAUUCGUUAAUUAGGUAGUUUGACGUCUUUUUUGAAAAAUAAACUUAGAAAUGCAUAUAUACAAUUACAACGCUUUACUCUCAGGUGCGAUCAUACCAGCACUAAUGCACCGGAUCCCAUCAGAACUCCGCAAUUAUGCGUGCUUGGUCGAGAGUAGUACUAGGAUGGGUGACCUCCUGGGAAGUCCUUGUGUUGCACCUCUUUUUGCCAAAAUUUUACGUCGUAUUUGAAAAAUAAACUUCGAUUGUAUUUUAUGUUUUUCGUUAAUUUACGCAACCUAAAACUCUAUUCGUUAAUUAGCGUAGUUUGACGUCUUUUUUGAAAAAUAAACUUAGAAAUGCAUAUAUACAAUUACAACGCUUUACUCUCAGGUGGGAUCAUACCAGCACUAAUGCACCGGAUCCCAUCAGAACUCCGCAGUUAAGCGUGCUUGGUCGAGAGUAGUACUAGGAUGGGUGACCUCCUGGGAAGUCCUUGCGUUGCACCUUUUUUGCCAAAAUUUUACGUCGUUUUUGAAAAAUAAACUUCGAUUGUAUUUCAUUUUUUCCGUUAAUUUACGCAACCUAAAACUCUAUUCGUUAAUUAGCGUAGUUUGACGUCUUUUUUGAAAAAUAAACUUAGAAAUGCAUAUAUACAAUUACAACGCUUUACUCUCAGGUGCGAUCAUACCAGCACUAAUGCACCGGAUCCCAUCAGAACUCCGCAGUUAAGCGUGCUUGGUCGAGAGUAGUACUAGGAUGGGUGACCUCCUGGGAAGUCCUUGCGUUGCACCUUUUUUUGCCAAAAUUUUACGUUGUUUUUGAAAAAUAAACUUCGAUUGUAUUUCAUUUUUUCCGUUAAUUUACGCAACCUAAAACUCUAUUCGUUAAUUAGCGUAGUUUGACGUCUUUUUUGAAAAAUAAACUUAGAAAUGCAUAUAUACAAUUACAACGCUUUACUCUCAGGUGCGAUCAUACCAGCACUAAUGCUUCGGAUCCCAUCAGAACUACGCAGCUAAGCGUGCUUGGUCGAAAGUAGUAGUAGGAUGGGUGACCUCCUGGGAAGUCCUUGUGUUGCACCUCUUUUUGCCAAAAUUUUACGUCGCUUUUGAAAAAUAAACUUCGAUUGUAUUUCAUUUUUUCCGUUAAUUUACGCAACCUAAAACUCUAUUCGUUAAUUAGCGUAGUUUGACGUCUUUUUUGAAAAAAAUCUUAGAAAUGCAUAUAUACAAUUACAACGCUUUACUCUCAGGUGCGAUCAUACCAGCACUAAUGCACCGGAUCCCAUCAGAACUCUGCAGUUAAGCGUGCUUGGGCGAGAGUAGUACUAGGAUGGGUGACCUCCUGGGAAGUCCUUGUGUUGCACCUCUUUUUGCCAAAAUUUUACGUCGCUUUUGAAAAAUAAACUUCGAUUGUAUUUCAUUUUUUCCGUUAAUUUACGCAACCUAAAACUCUAUUCGUUAAAUAUCGUAGUUUGACGUGUUUUUUGAAAAAUAAACUUAGAAAUGCAUAUAUACAAUUACAACGCUUUACUCUCAGGUGCGAUCAUACCAGCACUAAUGCUUUGGAUCCCAUCAGAACUACGCAGCUAAGCGUGCUUGGUCGAGAGUAGUACUAGGAUGGGUGACCUCCUGGGAAGUCCUUGUGUUGCACCUCUUUUUGCCAAAAUUUUACGUCGCUUUUGAAAAAUAAACUUUGAUUGUAUUUCAUUUUUUCCGUUAAUUUACGCAACCUAAAACUCUAUUCGUUAAUUAGCGUAGUUUGACGUCUUUUUUGAAAAAUAAACUUAGAAAUGCAUAUAUACAAUUACAACGCUUUACUCUCAGGUGCGAUCAUACCAGCACUAAUGCUUCGGAUCCCAUCAGAACUCCGCAGUUAAGCGUGCUUGGUCGAGAGUAGUACUAGGAUGGGUGACCUCCUGGGAAGUCCUUGUGUUGCACCUCUUUUUGCCAAAAUUUUACGUCGCUUUUGAAAAAUAAACUUAGAAAUGCAUAUAUACAAUUACAACGCUUUACUCUCAGGUGCGAUCAUACCAGCACUAAUGCACCGGAUCCCAUCAGAACUCUGCAGUUAAGCGUGCUUGGGCGAGAGUAGUACUAGGAUGGGUGACCUCCUGGGAAGUCCUUGUGUUGCACCUCUUUUUGCCAAAAUUUUACGUCGUUUUUGAAAAAUAAACUUCGAUUUUAUUUCAUUUUUUCUGGUAAUUUACUCAACCUAAAACUCUAUUCGUUAAUUAGCGUAGUUUGACGUCUUUUUUGAAAAAUAAACUUAGAAAUGCAUAUAUACAAUUACAACGCUUUACUCUCAGGUGCGAUCAUACCAGCACUAAUGCACCGGAUCCCAUCAGAACUCCGCAGUUAUGCGUGCUUGGUCGAGAGUAGUACUAGGAUGGGUGACCUCCUGGGAAGUCCUUGAGUUACACCUCUUUUUGCCAAAAUUUUACGUUGUUUUUGAACAAUAAACUUCGAUUUUAUUUCAUUUUUUCUGUUAAUUUACGCAACCUAAAACUCUAUUCGUUAAUUAGCGUAGUUUGACGUCUUUUUUGAAAAAUAAACUUAGAAAUGCAUAUAUACAAUUACAACGCUUUACUCUCAGGUGCGAUCAUACCAGCACUAAUGCUUCGGAUCCCAUCAGAACUCCGUAGUUAAGCGUGCUUGGUCGAGAGUAGUACUAGGAUGGGUGACCUCCUGGGAAGUCCUUGUGUUGCACCUCUUUUUGCCAAAAUUUUACGUCGCUUUUGAAAAAUAAACUUCGAUUGUAUUUCAUUUUUUCCGUUAAUUUACGCAACCUAAAACUCUAUUCGUUAAUUAGCGUAGUUUGACGUCUUUUUUGAAAAAUAAACUUAGAAAUGCAUAUAUACAAUUACAACGCUUUACUCUCAGGUGCGAUCAUACCAGCACUAAUGCUUCGGAUCCCAUCAGAACUCCGCAGUUAAGCGUGCUUGGUCGAGAGUAGUACUAGGAUGGGUGACCUCCUGGGAAGUCCUUGUGUUGCACCUCUUUUUGCCAAAAUUUUACGUCGCUUUUGAAAAAUAAACUUAGAAAUGCAUAUAUACAAUUACAACGCUUUACUCUCAGGUGCGAUCAUACCAGCACUAAUGCACCGGAUCCCAUCAGAACUCUGCAGUUAAGCGUGCUUGGGCGAGAGUAGUACUAGGAUGGGUGACCUCCUGGGAAGUCCUUGUGUUGCACCUUUUUUGCGUAAUUUUACGUCGUUUUUGAAAAAUAAACUUCGAUUUUAUUUCAUUUUUUCUGUUAAUUUACUCAACCUAAAACUCUAUUCGUUAAUUAGCGUAGUUUGACGUCUUUUUUGAAAAAUAAACUUAGAAAUGCAUAUAUACAAUUACAACGCUUUACUCUCAGGUGCGAUCAUACCAGCACUAAUGCACCGGAUCCCAUCAGAACUCCGCAGUUAAGCGUGCUUGGUCGAGAGUAGUACUAGGAUGGGUGACCUCCUGGGAAGUCCUUGUGUUGCACCUCUUUUUGCCAAAAUUUUACGUCGCUUUUGAAAAAUAAACUUCGAUUGUAUUUCAUUUUUUCCGUUAAUUUACGCAACCUAAAACUCUAUUCGUUAAUUAGCGUAGUUUGACGUCUUUUUUGAAAAAUAAACUUAGAAAUGCAUAUAUACAAUUACAACGCUUUACUCUCAGGUGCGAUCAUACCAGCACUAAUGCUUCGGAUCCCAUCAGAACUCUGCAGUUAAGCGUGCUUGGUCGAGAGUAGUACUAGGAUGGGUGACCUCCUGGGAAGUCCUUGUGUUGCACCUCUUUUUGCCAAAAUUUUACGUCGCUUUUGAAAAAUAAACUUAGAAAUGCAUAUAUACAAUUACAACGCUUUACUCUCAGGUGCGAUCAUACCAGCACUAAUGCACCGGAUCCCAUCAGAACUCUGCAGUUAAGUGUGCUUGGGCGAGAGUAGUACUAGGAUGGGUGACCUCCUGGGAAGUCCUUGUGUUGCACCUCUUUUUGCCAAAAUUUUACGUCGUUUUUGAAAAAUAAGCUUCAAUUGUAUUUCAUUUUUUCUGUUAAUUUACUCAACCUAAAACUCUAUUCGUUAAUUAGCGUAGUUUGACGUCUUUUUUGAAAAAUAAACUUAGAAAUGCAUAUAUACAAUUACAACGCUUUACUUCAGGUGCGAUCAUACCAGCACUAAUGCACCGGAUCCCAUCAGAACUCCGCAUUAUGCGUGCUUGGUCGAGAGUAGUACUAGGAUGGGUGACCUCCUGGGAAGUCCUUGUGUUGCACCUCUUUUUGCCAAAAUUUUACGUCGUAUUUGAAAAAUAAACUUCGAUUGUAUUUUAUGUUUUUCGUUAAUUUACGCAACCUAAAACUCUAUUCGUUAAUUAGCGUAGUUUGACGUCUUUUUUGAAAAAUAAACUUAGAAAUGCAUAUAUACAAUUACAACGCUUUACUCUCAGGUGGGAUCAUACCAGCACUAAUGCACCGGAUCCCAUCAGAACUCCGCAGUUAAGCGUGCUUGGUCGAGAGUAGUACUAGGAUGGGUGACCUCCUGGGAAGUCCUUGCGUUGCACCUUUUUUUGCCAAAAUUUUACGUCGUUUUUGAAAAAUAAACUUCGAUUGUAUUUCAUUUUUUCCGUUAAUUUACGCAACCUAAAACUCUAUUCGUUAAUUAGCGUAGUUUGACGUCUUUUUUGAAAAAUAAACUUAGAAAUGCAUAUAUACAAUUACAACGCUUUACUCUCAGGUGCGAUCAUACCAGCACUAAUGCACCGGAUCCCAUCAGAACUCCGCAGUUAAGCGUGCUUGGUCGAGAGUAGUACUAGGAUGGGUGACCUCCUGGGAAGUCCUUGGUUGCACCUCUUUUUGCCAAAAUUUUACGUCGUUUUUGAAAAAUAAACUUCGAUUGUAUUUCAUUUUUUUCCGUUAAUUUACGCAACCUAAAACUCUAUUCGUUAAUUAGCGUAGUUUGACGUCUUUUUUGAAAAAUAAACUUAGAAAUGCAUAUAUACAAUUACAACGCUUUACUCUCAGGUGCGAUCAUACCAGCACUAAUGCACCGGAUCCCAUCAGAACUCCGCAGUUAAGCGUGCUUGGUCGAGAGUAGUACUAGGAUGGGUGACCUCCUGGGAAGUCCUUGUGUUGCACCUCUUUUUGCCAAAAUUUUACGUUGUUUUUGAAAAAUAAACUUCGAUUGUAUUUCAUUUUUUCCGUUAAUUUACGCAACCUAAAACUCUAUUCGUUAAUUAGCGUAGUUUGACGUCUUUUUUGAAAAAUAAACUUAGAAAUGCAUAUAUACAAUUACAACGCUUUACUCUCAGGUGCGAUCAUACCAGCACUAAUGCUUCGGAUCCCAUCAGAACUACGCAGCUAAGCGUGCUUGGUCGAAGUAGUAGUAGGAUGGGUGACCUCCUGGGAAGUCCUUGUGUUGCACCUCUUUUUGCCAAAAUUUUACGUCGCUUUUGAAAAAUAAACUUCGAUUGUAUUUCAUUUUUUCCGUUAAUUUACGCAACCUAAAACUCUAUUCGUUAAUUAGCGUAGUUUGCGUCUUUUUUGAAAAAAAUCUUAGAAAUGCAUAUAUACAAUUACAACGCUUUACUCUCAGGUGCGAUCAUACCAGCACUAAUGCACCGGAUCCCAUCAGAACUCUGCAGUUAAGCGUGCUUGGGCGAGAGUAGUACUAGGAUGGGUGACCUCCUGGGAAGUCCUUGUGUUGCACCUCUUUUUGCCAAAAUUUUACGUCGCUUUUGAAAAAUAAACUUCGAUUGUAUUUCAUUUUUUCCGUUAAUUUACGCAACCUAAAACUCUAUUCGUUAAUAUCGUAGUUUGACGUGUUUUUUGAAAAAUAAACUUAGAAAUGCAUAUAUACAAUUACAACGCUUUACUCUCAGGUGCGAUCAUACCAGCACUAAUGCUUCAGAUCCCAUCAGAACUACGCAGCUAAGCGUGCUUGGUCGAGAGUAGUACUAGGAUGGGUGACCUCCUGGGAAGUCCUUGUGUUGCACCUCUUUUUGCCAAAAUUUUACGUCGCUUUUGAAAAAUAAACUUCGAUUGUAUUUCAUUUUUUCCGUUAAUUUACGCAACCUAAAACUCUAUUCGUUAAUUAGCGUAGUUUGACGUCUUUUUUGAAAAAUAAAUUAGAAAUGCAUAUAUACAAUUACAACGCUUUACUCUCAGGUGCGAUCAUACCAGCACUAAUGCUUCGGAUCCCAUCAGAACUCCGCAGUUAAGCGUGCUUGGUCGAGAGUAGUACUAGGAUGGGUGACCUCCUGGGAAGUCCUUGUGUUGCACCUCUUUUUGCCAAAAUUUUACGUCGCUUUUGAAAAAUAAACUUAGAAAUGCAUAUAUACAAUUACAACGCUUUACUCUCAGGUGCGAUCAUACCAGCACUAAUGCACCGGAUCCCAUCAGAACUCUGCAGUUAAGCGUGCUUGGGCGAGAGUAGUACUAGGAUGGGUGACCUCCUGGGAAGUCCUUGUGUUGCACGUUUUUUUGCCAAAAUUUUACGUCGUUUUUGAAAAAUAAACUUCGAUUUUAUUUCAUUUUUUCUGGUAAUUUACUCAACCUAAAACUCUAUUCGUUAAUUAGCGUAGUUUGACGUCUUUUUUGAAAAAUAAACUUAGAAAUGCAUAUAUACAAUUACAACGCUUUACUCUCAGGUGCGAUCAUACCAGCACUAAUGCUUCGGAUCCCAUCAGAACACCGCAGUUAAGCGUGCUUGGUCGAGAGUAAUACUAGGAUGGGUGACCUCCUGGGAAGUCCUUGUGUUGCACCUCUUUUUGCCAAAAUUUUACGUUGUUUUUGAAAAAUAAACUUCGAUUGUAUUUCAUUUUUUCCGUUAAUUUACGCAACCUAAAACUCUAUUCGUUAAUUAGCGUAGUUUGACGUCUUUUUUGAAAAAUAAACUUAGAAAUGCAUAUAUACAAUUACAACGCUUUACUCUCAGGUGCGAUCAUACCAGCACUAAUGCUUCGGAUCCCAUCAGAACUACGCAGCUAAGCGUGCUUGGUCGAAAGUAGUAGUAGGAUGGGUGACCUCCUGGGAAGUCCUUGUGUUGCACCUCUUUUUGCCAAAAUUUUACGUCGCUUUUGAAAAAUAAACUUCGAUUGUAUUUCAUUUUUUCCGUUAAUUUACGCAACCUAAAACUCUAUUCGUUAAUUAGCGUAGUUUGACGUCUUUUUUGAAAAAAAUCUUAGAAAUGCAUAUAUACAAUUACAACGCUUUACUCUCAGGUGCGAUCAUACCAGCACUAAUGCACCGGAUCCCAUCAGAACUCUGCAGUUAAGCGUGCUUGGGCGAGAGUAGUACUAGGAUGGGUGACCUCCUGGGAAGUCCUUGUGUUGCACCUCUUUUUGCCAAAAUUUUACGUCGCUUUUGAAAAAUAAACUUCGAUUGUAUUUCAUUUUUUCCGUUAAUUUACGCAACCUAAAACUCUAUUCGUUAAAUAUCGUAGUUUGACGUGUUUUUUGAAAAAUAAACUUAGAAAUGCAUAUAUACAAUUACAACGCUUUACUCUCAGGUGCGAUCAUACCAGCACUAAUGCUUUGGAUCCCAUCAGAACUACGCAGCUAAGCGUGCUUGGUCGAGAGUAGUACUAGGAUGGGUGACCUCCUGGGAAGUCCUUGUGUUGCACCUCUUUUUGCCAAAAUUUUACGUCGCUUUUGAAAAAUAAACUUCGAUUGUAUUUCAUUUUUUCCGUUAAUUUACGCAACCUAAAACUCUAUUCGUUAAUUAGCGUAGUUUGACGUCUUUUUUGAAAAAUAAACUUAGAAAUGCAUAUAUACAAUUACAACGCUUUACUCUCAGGUGCGAUCAUACCAGCACUAAUGCUUCGGAUCCCAUCAGAACUCCGUAGUUAAGCGUGCUUGGUCGAGAGUAGUACUAGGAUGGGUGACCUCCUGGGAAGUCCUUGUGUUGCACCUCUUUUUGCCAAAAUUUUACGUCGCUUUUGAAAAAUAAACUUAGAAAUGCAUAUAUACAAUUACAACGCUUUACUCUCAGGUGCGAUCAUACCAGCACUAAUGCACCGGAUCCCAUCAGAACUCUGCAGUUAAGCGUGCUUGGGCGAGAGUAGUACUAGGAUGGGUGACCUCCUGGGAAGUCCUUGUGUUGCACCUCUUUUUGCCAAAAUUUUACGUCGUUUUUGAAAAAUAAACUUCGAUUUUAUUUCAUUUUUUCUGUUAAUUUACUCAACCUAAAACUCUAUUCGUUAAUUAGCGUAGUUUGACGUCUUUUUUGAAAAAUAAACUUAGAAAUGCAUAUAUACAAUUACAACGCUUUACUCUCAGGUGCGAUCAUACCAGCACUAAUGCUUCGGAUCCCAUCAGAACUUCGCAGUGAAGCGUGCUUGGUCGAGAGUAGUACUAGGAUGGGUGACCUCCUGGGAAGUCCUUGUGUUGCACCUCUUUUUGCCAAAAUUUUACGUCGCUUUUGAAAAAUAAACUUAGAAAUGCAUAUAUACAAUUACAACGCUUUACUCUCAGGUGCGAUCAUACCAGCACUAAUGCACCGGAUCCCAUCAGAACUCUGCAGUUAAGCGUGCUUGGGCGAGAGUAGUACUAGGAUGGGUGACCUCCUGGGAAGUCCUUGUGUUGCACCUCUUUUUGCCAAAAUUUUACGUCGUUUUUGAAAAAUAAACUUCGAUUGUAUUUCAUUUUUUCUGGUAAUUUACUCAACCUAAAACUCUAUUCGUUAAUUAGCGUAGUUUGACGUCUUUUUUGAAAAAUAAACUUAGAAAUGCAUAUAUACAAUUACAACGCUUUACUCUCAGGUGCGAUCAUACCAGCACUAAUGCUUCGGAUCCCAUCAGAACACCGCAGUUAAGCGUGCUUGGUCGAGAGUAAUACUAGGAUGGGUGACCUCCUGGGAAGUCCUUGUGUUGCACCUCUUUUUGCCAAAAUUUUACGUUGUUUUUGAAAAAUAAACUUCGAUUGUAUUUCAUUUUUUCCGUUAAUUUACGCAACCUAAAACUCUAUUCGUUAAUUAGCGUAGUUUGACGUCUUUUUUGAAAAAUAAACUUAGAAAUGCAUAUAUACAAUUACAACGCUUUACUCUCAGGUGCGAUCAUACCAGCACUAAUGCUUCGGAUCCCAUCAGAACUACGCAGCUAAGCGUGCUUGGUCGAAAGUAGUAGUAGGAUGGGUGACCUCCUGGGAAGUCCUUGUGUUGCACCUCUUUUUGCCAAAAUUUUACGUCGCUUUUGAAAAAUAAACUUCGAUUGUAUUUCAUUUUUUCCGUUAAUUUACGCAACCUAAAACUCUAUUCGUUAGUUAGCGUAGUUUGCCGUCUUUUUUGAAAAAAAACUUAGAAAUGCAUAUAUACAAUUACAACGCUUUACUCUCAGGUGCGAUCAUACCAGCACUAAUGCACCGGAUCCCAUCAGAACUCUGCAGUUAAGCGUGCUUGGGCGAGAGUAGUACUAGGAUGGGUGACCUCCUGGGAAGUCCUUGUGUUGCACCUCUUUUUGCCAAAAUUUUACGUCGCUUUUGAAAAAUAAACUUCGAUUGUAUUUCAUUUUUUCCGUUAAUUUACGCAACCUAAAACUCUAUUCGUUAAAUAUCGUAGUUUGACGUGUUUUUUGAAAAAUAAACUUAGAAAUGCAUAUAUACAAUUACAACGCUUUACUCUCAGGUGCGAUCAUACCAGCACUAAUGCUUGGAUCCCAUCAGAACUACGCAGCUAAGCGUGCUUGGUCGAGAGUAGUACUAGGAUGGGUGACCUCCUGGGAAGUCCUUGUGUUGCACCUCUUUUUGCCAAAAUUUUACGUCGCUUUUGAAAAAUAAACUUAGAAAUGCAUAUAUACAAUUACAACGCUUUACUCUCAGGUGCGAUCAUACCAGCACUAAUGCACCGGAUCCCAUCAGAACUCUGCAGUUAAGCGUGCUUGGGCGAGAGUAGUACUAGGAUGGGUGACCUCCUGGGAAGUCCUUGUGUUGCACCUCUUUUUGCCAAAAUUUUACGUCGUUUUUGAAAAAUAAACUUCGAUUUUAUUUCAUUUUUUCUGGUAAUUUACUCAACCUAAAACUCUAUUCGUUAAUUAGCGUAGUUUGACGUCUUUUUUGAAAAAUAAACUUAGAAAUGCAUAUAUAAAUUACAACGCUUUACUCUCAGGUGCGAUCAUACCAGCACUAAUGCUUCGGAUCCCAUCAGAACACCGCAGUUAAGCGUGCUUGGUCGAGAGUAAUACUAGGAUGGGUGACCUCCUGGGAAGUCCUUGUGUUGCACCUCUUUUUGCCAAAAUUUUACGUUGUUUUUGAAAAAUAAACUUCGAUUGUAUUUCAUUUUUUCCGUUAAUUUACGCAACCUAAAACUCUAUUCGUUAAUUAGCGUAGUUUGACGUCUUUUUUGAAAAAUAAACUUAGAAAUGCAUAUAUACAAUUACAACGCUUUACUCUCAGGUGCGAUCAUACCAGCACUAAUGCUUCGGAUCCCAUCAGAACUACGCAGCUAAGCGUGCUUGGUCGAAAGUAGUAGUAGGAUGGGUGACCUCCUGGGAAGUCCUUGUGUUGCACCUCUUUUUGCCAAAAUUUUACGUCGCUUUUGAAAAAUAAACUUCGAUUGUAUUUCAUUUUUUCCGUUAAUUUACGCAACCUAAAACUCUAUUCGUUAAUUAGCGUAGUUUGACGUCUUUUUUGAAAAAAAUCUUAGAAAUGCAUAUAUACAAUUACAACGCUUUACUCUCAGGUGCGAUCAUACCAGCACUAAUGCACCGGAUCCCAUCAGAACUCUGCAGUUAAGCGUGCUUGGGCGAGAGUAGUACUAGGAUGGGUGACCUCCUGGGAAGUCCUUGUGUUGCACCUCUUUUUGCCAAAAUUUUACGUCGCUUUUGAAAAAUAAACUUCGAUUGUAUUUCAUUUUUUCCGUUAAUUUACGCAACCUAAAACUCUAUUCGUUAAAUAUCGUAGUUUGACGUGUUUUUUGAAAAAUAAACUUAGAAAUGCAUAUAUACAAUUACAACGCUUUACUCUCAGGUGCGAUCAUACCAGCACUAAUGCUUUGGAUCCCAUCAGAACUACGCAGCUAAGCGUGCUUGGUCGAGAGUAGUACUAGGAUGGGUGACCUCCUGGGAAGUCCUUGUGUUGCACCUCUUUUUGCCAAAAUUUUACGUCGCUUUUGAAAAAUAAACUUCGAUUGUAUUUCAUUUUUUCCGUUAAUUUACGCAACCUAAAACUCUAUUCGUUAAUUAGCGUAGUUUGACGUCUUUUUUGAAAAAUAAACUUAGAAAUGCAUAUAUACAAUUACAACGCUUUACUCUCAGGUGCGAUCAUACCAGCACUAAUGCUUCGGAUCCCAUCAGAACUCCGUAGUUAAGCGUGCUUGGUCGAGAGUAGUACUAGGAUGGGUGACCUCCUGGGAAGUCCUUGUGUUGCACCUCUUUUUGCCAAAAUUUUACGUCGCUUUUGAAAAAUAAACUUAGAAAUGCAUAUAUACAAUUACAACGCUUUACUCUCAGGUGCGAUCAUACCAGCACUAAUGCACCGGAUCCCAUCAGAACUCUGCAGUUAAGCGUGCUUGGGCGAGAGUAGUACUAGGAUGGGUGACCUCCUGGGAAGUCCUUGUGUUGCACCUCUUUUUGCCAAAAUUUUACGUCGUUUUUGAAAAAUAAACUUCGAUUUUAUUUCAUUUUUUCUGUUAAUUUACUCAACCUAAAACUCUAUUCGUUAAUUAGCGUAGUUUGACGUCUUUUUUGAAAAAUAAACUUAGAAAUGCAUAUAUACAAUUACAACGCUUUACUCUCAGGUGCGAUCAUACCAGCACUAAUGCUUCGGAUCCCAUCAGAACUUCGCAGUGAAGCGUGCUUGGUCGAGAGUAGUACUAGGAUGGGUGACCUCCUGGGAAGUCCUUGUGUUGCACCUCUUUUUGCCAAAAUUUUACGUCGCUUUUGAAAAAUAAACUUAGAAAUGCAUAUAUACAAUUACAACGCUUUACUCUCAGGUGCGAUCAUACCAGCACUAAUGCACCGGAUCCCAUCAGAACUCUGCAGUUAAGCGUGCUUGGGCGAGAGUAGUACUAGGAUGGGUGACCUCCUGGGAAGUCCUUGUGUUGCACCUUUUUUGCCAAAAUUUUACGUCGUUUUUGAAAAAUAAACUUCGAUUUUAUUUCAUUUUUUCUGGUAAUUUACUCAACCUAAAACUCUAUUCGUUAAUUAGCGUAGUUUGACGUCUUUUUUGAAAAAUAAACUUAGAAAUGCAUAUAUACAAUUACAACGCUUUACUCUCAGGUGCGAUCAUACCAGCACUAAUGCUUCGGAUCCCAUCAGAACACCGCAGUUAAGCGUGCUUGGUCGAGAGUAAUACUAGGAUGGGUGACCUCCUGGGAAGUCCUUGUGUUGCACCUCUUUUUGCCAAAAUUUUACGUUGUUUUUGAAAAAUAAACUUCGAUUGUAUUUCAUUUUUUCCGUUAAUUUACGCAACCUAAAACUCUAUUCGUUAAUUAGCGUAGUUUGACGUCUUUUUUGAAAAAUAAACUUAGAAAUGCAUAUAUACAAUUACAACGCUUUACUCUCAGGUGCGAUCAUACCAGCACUAAUGCUUCGGAUCCCAUCAGAACUACGCAGCUAAGCGUGCUUGGUCGAAAGUAGUAGUAGGAUGGGUGACCUCCUGGGAAGUCCUUGUGUUGCACCUCUUUUUGCCAAAAUUUUACGUUGUUUUUGAAAAAUAAACUUCGAUUGUAUUUCAUUUUUUCCGUUAAUUUACGCAACCUAAAACUCUAUUCGUUAAUUAGCGUAGUUUGACGUCUUUUUUGAAAAAUAAACUUAGAAAUGCAUAUAUACAAUUACAACGCUUUACUCUCAGGUGCGAUCAUACCAGCACUAAUGCUUCGGAUCCCAUCAGAACUACGCAGCUAAGCGUGCUUGGUCGAAAGUAGUAGUAGGAUGGGUGACCUCCUGGGAAGUCCUUGUGUUGCACCUCUUUUUGCCAAAAUUUUACGUCGCUUUUGAAAAAUAAACUUCGAUUGUAUUUCAUUUUUUCCGUUAAUUUACGCAACCUAAAACUCUAUUCGUUAAUUAGCGUAGUUUGACGUCUUUUUUGAAAAAAAUCUUAGAAAUGCAUAUAUACAAUUACAACGCUUUACUCUCAGGUGCGAUCAUACCAGCACUAAUGCACCGGAUCCCAUCAGAACUCUGCAGUUAAGCGUGCUUGGGCGAGAGUAGUACUAGGAUGGGUGACCUCCUGGGAAGUCCUUGUGUUGCACCUCUUUUUGCCAAAAUUUUACGUCGCUUUUGAAAAAUAAACUUCGAUUGUAUUUCAUUUUUUCCGUUAAUUUACGCAACCUAAAACUCUAUUCGUUAAAUAUCGUAGUUUGACGUGUUUUUUGAAAAAUAAACUUAGAAAUGCAUAUAUACAAUUACAACGCUUUACUCUCAGGUGCGAUCAUACCAGCACUAAUGCUUUGGAUCCCAUCAGAACUACGCAGCUAAGCGUGCUUGGUCGAGAGUAGUACUAGGAUGGGUGACCUCCUGGGAAGUCCUUGUGUUGCACCUCUUUUUGCCAAAAUUUUACGUCGCUUUUGAAAAAUAAACUUCGAUUGUAUUUCAUUUUUUCCGUUAAUUUACGCAACCUAAAACUCUAUUCGUUAAUUAGCGUAGUUUGACGUCUUUUUUGAAAAAUAAACUUAGAAAUGCAUAUAUACAAUUACAACGCUUUACUCUCAGGUGCGAUCAUACCAGCACUAAUGCUUCGGAUCCCAUCAGAACUCCGUAGUUAAGCGUGCUUGGUCGAGAGUAGUACUAGGAUGGGUGACCUCCUGGGAAGUCCUUGUGUUGCACCUCUUUUUGCCAAAAUUUUACGUCGCUUUUGAAAAAUAAACUUAGAAAUGCAUAUAUACAAUUACAACGCUUUACUCUCAGGUGCGAUCAUACCAGCACUAAUGCACCGGAUCCCAUCAGAACUCUGCAGUUAAGCGUGCUUGGGCGAGAGUAGUACUAGGAUGGGUGACCUCCUGGGAAGUCCUUGUGUUGCACCUCUUUUUGCCAAAAUUUUACGUCGUUUUUGAAAAAUAAACUUCGAUUUUAUUUCAUUUUUUCUGUUAAUUUACUCAACCUAAAACUCUAUUCGUUAAUUAGCGUAGUUUGACGUCUUUUUUGAAAAUAAACUUAGAAAUGCAUAUAUACAAUUACAACGCUUUACUCUCAGGUGCGAUCAUACCAGCACUAAUGCUUCGGAUCCCAUCAGAACUUCGCAGUGAAGCGUGCUUGGUCGAGAGUAGUACUAGGAUGGGUGACCUCCUGGGAAGUCCUUGUGUUGCACCUCUUUUUGCCAAAAUUUUACGUUGUUUUUGAAAAAUAAACUUCGAUUGUAUUUCAUUUUUUCCGUUAAUUUACGCAACCUAAAACUCUAUUCGUUAAUUAGCGUAGUUUGACGUCUUUUUUGAAAAAUAAACUUAGAAAUGCAUAUAUACAAUUACAACGCUUUACUCUCAGGUGCGAUCAUACCAGCACUAAUGCUUCGGAUCCCAUCAGAACUACGCAGCUAAGCGUGCUUGGUCGAAAGUAGUAGUAGGAUGGGUGACCUCCUGGGAAGUCCUUGUGUUGCACCUCUUUUUGCCAAAAUUUUACGUCGCUUUUGAAAAAUAAACUUCGAUUGUAUUUCAUUUUUUCCGUUAAUUUACGCAACCUAAAACUCUAUUCGUUAAUUAGCGUAGUUUGACGUCUUUUUUGAAAAAAAUCUUAGAAAUGCAUAUAUACAAUUACAACGCUUUACUCUCAGGUGCGAUCAUACCAGCACUAAUGCACCGGAUCCCAUCAGAACUCUGCAGUUAAGCGUGCUUGGGCGAGAGUAGUACUAGGAUGGGUGACCUCCUGGGAAGUCCUUGUGUUGCACCUCUUUUUGCCAAAAUUUUACGUCGCUUUUGAAAAAUAAACUUCGAUUGUAUUUCAUUUUUUCCGUUAAUUUACGCAACCUAAAACUCUAUUCGUUAAAUAUCGUAGUUUGACGUGUUUUUUGAAAAAUAAACUUAGAAAUGCAUAUAUACAAUUACAACGCUUUACUCUCAGGUGCGAUCAUACCAGCACUAAUGCUUUGGAUCCCAUCAGAACUACGCAGCUAAGCGUGCUUGGUCGAGAGUAGUACUAGGAUGGGUGACCUCCUGGGAAGUCCUUGUGUUGCACCUCUUUUUGCCAAAAUUUUACGUCGCUUUUGAAAAAUAAACUUCGAUUGUAUUUCAUUUUUUCCGUUAAUUUACGCAACCUAAAACUCUAUUCGUUAAUUAGCGUAGUUUGACGUCUUUUUUGAAAAAUAAACUUAGAAAUGCAUAUAUACAAUUACAACGCUUUACUCUCAGGUGCGAUCAUACCAGCACUAAUGCUUCGGAUCCCAUCAGAACUCGCAGUUAAGCGUGCUUGGUCGAGAGUAGUACUAGGAUGGGUGACCUCCUGGGAAGUCCUUGUGUUGCACCUCUUUUUGCCAAAAUUUUACGUCGCUUUUGAAAAAUAAACUUAGAAAUGCAUAUAUACAAUUACAACGCUUUACUCUCAGGUGCGAUCAUACCAGCACUAAUGCACGGAUCCCAUCAGAACUCGCAGUUAAGCGUGCUUGGUCGAGAGUAGUACUAGGAUGGGUGACCUCCUGGGAAGUCCUUGUGUUGCACCUUUUUUGCCAAAAUUUUACGUCGUUUUGAAAAAUAAACUUCGAUUGUAUUUCAUUUUUUCCGUUAAUUUACGCAACCUAAAACUCUAUUCGUUAAUUAGCGUAGUUUGACGUCUUUUUUGAAAAAUAAACUUAGAAAUGCAUAUAUACAAUUACAACGCUUUACUCUCAGGUGCGAUCAUACCAGCACUAAUGCACCGGAUCCCAUCAGAACUCCGCAGUUAAGCGUGCUUGGUCGAGAGUAGUACUAGGAUGGGUGACCUCCUGGGAAGUCCUUGUGUUGCACCUCUUUUUGCCAAAAUUUUACGUUGUUUUUGAAAAAUAAACUUCGAUUUUAUUUCAUUUUUUCUGUUAAUUUACGCAACCUAAAACUCUAUUCGUUAAUUAGCGUAGUUUGACGUCUUUUUUGAAAAAUAAACUUAGAAAUGCAUAUAUACAAUUACAACGCUUUACUCUCAGGUGCGAUCAUACCAGCACUAAUGCUUCGGAUCCCAUCAGAACUCCGCAGUUAAGCGUGCUUGGUCGAGAGUAGUACUAGGAUGGGUGACCUCCUGGGAAGUCCUUGUGUUGCACCUCUUUUUGCCAAAAUUUUACGUCGCUUUUGAAAAAUAAACUUCGAUUGUAUUUCAUUUUUUCCGUUAAUUUACGCAACCUAAAACUCUAUUCGUUAAUUAGCGUAGUUUGACGUCUUUUUUGAAAAAUAAACUUAGAAAUGCAUAUAUACAAUUACAACGCUUUACUCUCAGGUGCGAUCAUACCAGCACUAAUGCUUCGGAUCCCAUCAGAACUCCGCAGUUAAGCGUGCUUGGUCGAGAGUAGUACUAGGAUGGGUGACCUCCUGGGAAGUCCUUGUGUUGCACCUCUUUUUGCCAAAAUUUUACGUCGCUUUUGAAAAAUAAACUUAGAAAUGCAUAUAUACAAUUACAACGCUUUACUCUCAGGUGCGAUCAUACCAGCACUAAUGCACCGGAUCCCAUCAGAACUCUGCAGUUAAGCGUGCUUGGGCGAGAGUAGUACUAGGAUGGGUGACCUCCUGGGAAGUCCUUGUGUUGCACCUCUUUUUGCCAAAAUUUUACGUCGUUUUUGAAAAAUAAACUUCGAUUUUAUUUCAUUUUUUCUGUUAAUUUACUCAACCUAAAACUCUAUUCGUUAAUUAGCGUAGUUUGACGUCUUUUUUGAAAAAUAAACUUAGAAAUGCAUAUAUACAAUUACAACGCUUUACUCUCAGGUGCGAUCAUACCAGCACUAAUGCACCGGAUCCCAUCAGAACUCCGCAGUUAUGCGUGCUUGGUCGAGAGUAGUACUAGGAUGGGUGACCUCCUGGGAAGUCCUUGUGUUGCACCUCUUUUUGCCAAAAUUUUACGUCGUUUUUGAAAAAUAAACUUCGAUUUUAUUUCAUUUUUUCUGUUAAUUUACGCAACCUAAAACUCUAUUCGUUAAUUAGCGUAGUUUGACGUCUUUUUUGAAAAAUAAACUUAGAAAUGCAUAUAUACAAUUACAACGCUUUACUCUCAGGUGCGAUCAUACCAGCACUAAUGCUUCGGAUCCCAUCAGAACUCCGCAGUUAAGCGUGCUUGGUCGAGAGUAGUACUAGGAUGGGUGACCUCCUGGGAAGUCCUUGUGUUGCACCUCUUUUUGCCAAAAUUUUACGUCGCUUUUGAAAAAUAAACUUCGAUUGUAUUUCAUUUUUUCCGUUAAUUUACGCAACCUAAAACUCUAUUCGUUAAUUAGCGUAGUUUGACGUCUUUUUUGAAAAAUAAACUUAGAAAUGCAUAUAUACAAUUACAACGCUUUACUCUCAGGUGCGAUCAUACCAGCACUAAUGCUUCGGAUCCCAUCAGAACUCCGCAGUUAAGCGUGCUUGGUCGAGAGUAGUACUAGGAUGGGUGACCUCUUGGGAAGUCCAUGUGUUGCACCUCUUUUUGCCAAAAUUUUACGUCGCUUUUGAAAAAUAAACUUAGAAAUGCAUAUAUACAAUUACAACGCUUUACUCUCAGGUGCGAUCAUACCAGCACUAAUGCUUCGGAUCCCAUCAGAACUCCGCAGUUAAGCGUGCUUGGUCGAGAGUAGUACUAGGAUGGGUGACCUCCUGGGAAGUCCUUGUGUUGCACCUCUUUUUGCCAAAAUUUUACGUCGCUUUUGAAAAAUAAACUUCGAUUGUAUUUCAUUUUUUCCGUUAAUUUACGCAACCUAAAACUCUAUUCGUUAAUUAGCGUAGUUUGACGUCUUUUUUGAAAAAUAAACUUAGAAAUGCAUAUAUACAAUUACAACGCUUUACUCUCAGGUGCGAUCAUACCAGCACUAAUGCUUCGGAUCCCAUCAGAACUCCGCAGUUAAGCGUGCUUGGUCGAGAGUAGUACUAGGAUGGGUGACCUCCUGGGAAGUCCUUGUGUUGCACCUCUUUUUGCCAAAAUUUUACGUCGCUUUUGAAAAAUAAACUUAGAAAUGCAUAUAUACAAUUACAACGCUUUACUCUCAGGUGCGAUCAUACCAGCACUAAUGCACCGGAUCCCAUCAGAACUCUGCAGUUAAGCGUGCUUGGGCGAGAGUAGUACUAGGAUGGGUGACCUCCUGGGAAGUCCUUGUGUUGCACCUCUUUUUGCCAAAAUUUUACGUCGUUUUUGAAAAAUAAACUUCGAUUUUAUUUCAUUUUUUCUGUUAAUUUACUCAACCUAAAACUCUAUUCGUUAAUUAGCGUAGUUUGACGUCUUUUUUGAAAAAUAAACUUAGAAAUGCAUAUAUACAAUUACAACGCUUUACUCUCAGGUGCGAUCAUACCAGCACUAAUGCACCGGAUCCCAUCAGAACUCCGCAGUUAUGCGUGCUUGGUCGAGAGUAGUACUAGGAUGGGUGACCUCCUGGGAAGUCCUUGUGUUGCACCUCUUUUUGCCAAAAUUUUACGUCGUUUUUGAAAAAUAAACUUCGAUUGUAUUUCAUUUUUUCCGUUAAUUUACGCAACCUAAAACUCUAUUCGUUAAAUAUCGUAGUUUGACGUGUUUUUUGAAAAAUAAACUUAGAAAUGCAUAUAUACAAUUACAACGCUUUACUCUCAGGUGCGAUCAUACCAGCACUAAUGCUUUGGAUCCCAUCAGAACUACGCAGCUAAGCGUGCUUGGUCGAGAGUAGUACUAGGAUGGGUGACCUCCUGGGAAGUCCUUGUGUUGCACCUCUUUUUGCCAAAAUUUUACGUUGUUUUUGAAAAAUAAACUUCGAUUUUAUUUCAUUUUUUCUGUUAAUUUACGCAACCUAAAACUCUAUUCGUUAAUUAGCGUAGUUUGACGUCUUUUUUGAAAAAUAAACUUAGAAAUGCAUAUAUACAAUUACAACGCUUUACUCUCAGGUGCGAUCAUACCAGCACUAAUGCUUCGGAUCCCAUCAGAACUCCGCAGUUAAGCGUGCUUGGUCGAGAGUAGUACUAGGAUGGGUGACCUCUUGGGAAGUCCAUGUGUUGCACCUCUUUUUGCCAAAAUUUUACGUCGCUUUUGAAAAAUAAACUUAGAAAUGCAUAUAUACAAUUACAACGCUUUACUCUCAGGUGCGAUCAUACCAGCACUAAUGCUUCGGAUCCCAUCAGAACUCCGCAGUUAAGCGUGCUUGGUCGAGAGUAGUACUAGGAUGGGUGACCUCCUGGGAAGUCCUUGUGUUGCACCUCUUUUUGCCAAAAUUUUACGUCGCUUUUGAAAAAUAAACUUCGAUUGUAUUUCAUUUUUUCCGUUAAUUUACGCAACCUAAAACUCUAUUCGUUAAUUAGCGUAGUUUGACGUCUUUUUUGAAAAAUAAACUUAGAAAUGCAUAUAUACAAUUACAACGCUUUACUCUCAGGUGCGAUCAUACCAGCACUAAUGCUUCGGAUCCCAUCAGAACUCCGCAGUUAAGCGUGCUUGGUCGAGAGUAGUACUAGGAUGGGUGACCUCCUGGGAAGUCCUUGUGUUGCACCUCUUUUUGCCAAAAUUUUACGUCGCUUUUGAAAAAUAAACUUAGAAAUGCAUAUAUACAAUUACAACGCUUUACUCUCAGGUGCGAUCAUACCAGCACUAAUGCACCGGAUCCCAUCAGAACUCUGCAGUUAAGCGUGCUUGGGCGAGAGUAGUACUAGGAUGGGUGACCUCCUGGGAAGUCCUUGUGUUGCACCUCUUUUUGCCAAAAUUUUACGUCGUUUUUGAAAAAUAAACUUCGAUUUUAUUUCAUUUUUUCUGUUAAUUUACUCAACCUAAAACUCUAUUCGUUAAUUAGCGUAGUUUGACGUCUUUUUUGAAAAAUAAACUUAGAAAUGCAUAUAUACAAUUACAACGCUUUACUCUCAGGUGCGAUCAUACCAGCACUAAUGCACCGGAUCCCAUCAGAACUCCGCAGUUAUGCGUGCUUGGUCGAGAGUAGUACUAGGAUGGGUGACCUCCUGGGAAGUCCUUGUGUUGCACCUCUUUUUGCCAAAAUUUUACGUCGUUUUUGAAAAAUAAACUUCGAUUGUAUUUCAUUUUUUCCGUUAAUUUACGCAACCUAAAACUCUAUUCGUUAAAUAUCGUAGUUUGACGUGUUUUUUGAAAAAUAAACUUAGAAAUGCAUAUAUACAAUUACAACGCUUUACUCUCAGGUGCGAUCAUACCAGCACUAAUGCUUUGGAUCCCAUCAGAACUACGCAGCUAAGCGUGCUUGGUCGAGAGUAGUACUAGGAUGGGUGACCUCCUGGGAAGUCCUUGUGUUGCACCUCUUUUUGCCAAAAUUUUACGUUGUUUUUGAAAAAUAAACUUCGAUUUUAUUUCAUUUUUUCUGUUAAUUUACGCAACCUAAAACUCUAUUCGUUAAUUAGCGUAGUUUGACGUCUUUUUUGAAAAAUAAACUUAGAAAUGCAUAUAUACAAUUACAACGCUUUACUCUCAGGUGCGAUCAUACCAGCACUAAUGCUUCGGAUCCCAUCAGAACUCCGCAGUUAAGCGUGCUUGGUCGAGAGUAGUACUAGGAUGGGUGACCUCCUGGGAAGUCCUUGUGUUGCACCUCUUUUUGCCAAAAUUUUACGUCGCUUUUGAAAAAUAAACUUAGAAAUGCAUAUAUACAAUUACAACGCUUUACUCUCAGGUGCGAUCAUACCAGCACUAAUGCACCGGAUCCCAUCAGAACUCUGCAGUUAAGCGUGCUUGGGCGAGAGUAGUACUAGGAUGGGUGACCUCCUGGGAAGUCCUUGUGUUGCACCUCUUUUUGCCAAAAUUUUACGUCGUUUUUGAAAAAUAAACUUCGAUUUUAUUUCAUUUUUUCUGUUAAUUUACUCAACCUAAAACUCUAUUCGUUAAUUAGCGUAGUUUGACGUCUUUUUUGAAAAAUAAACUUAGAAAUGCAUAUAUACAAUUACAACGCUUUACUCUCAGGUGCGAUCAUACCAGCACUAAUGCACCGGAUCCCAUCAGAACUCCGCAGUUAUGCGUGCUUGGUCGAGAGUAGUACUAGGAUGGGUGACCUCCUGGGAAGUCCUUGUGUUGCACCUCUUUUUGCCAAAAUUUUACGUCGUUUUUGAAAAAUAAACUUCGAUUGUAUUUCAUUUUUUCCGUUAAUUUACGCAACCUAAAACUCUAUUCGUUAAAUAUCGUAGUUUGACGUGUUUUUUGAAAAAUAAACUUAGAAAUGCAUAUAUACAAUUACAACGCUUUACUCUCAGGUGCGAUCAUACCAGCACUAAUGCUUUGGAUCCCAUCAGAACUACGCAGCUAAGCGUGCUUGGUCGAGAGUAGUACUAGGAUGGGUGACCUCCUGGGAAGUCCUUGUGUUGCACCUCUUUUUGCCAAAAUUUUACGUUGUUUUUGAAAAAUAAACUUCGAUUUUAUUUCAUUUUUUCUGUUAAUUUACGCAACCUAAAACUCUAUUCGUUAAUUAGCGUAGUUUGACGUCUUUUUUGAAAAAUAAACUUAGAAAUGCAUAUAUACAAUUACAACGCUUUACUCUCAGGUGCGAUCAUACCAGCACUAAUGCUUCGGAUCCCAUCAGAACUCCGCAGUUAAGCGUGCUUGGUCGAGAGUAGUACUAGGAUGGGUGACCUCCUGGGAAGUCCUUGUGUUGCACCUCUUUUUGCCAAAAUUUUACGUCGCUUUUGAAAAAUAAACUUCGAUUGUAUUUCAUUUUUUCCGUUAAUUUACGCAACCUAAAACUCUAUUCGUUAAUUAGCGUAGUUUGACGUCUUUUUUGAAAAAUAAACUUAGAAAUGCAUAUAUACAAUUACAACGCUUUACUCUCAGGUGCGAUCAUACCAGCACUAAUGCUUCGGAUCCAUCAGAACUCCGCAGUUAAGCGUGCUUGGUCGAGAGUAGUACUAGGAUGGGUGACCUCUUGGGAAGUCCAUGUGUUGCACCUCUUUUUGCCAAAAUUUUACGUCGCUUUUGAAAAAUAAACUUAGAAAUGCAUAUAUACAAUUACAACGCUUUACUCUCAGGUGCGAUCAUACCAGCACUAAUGCUUCGGAUCCCAUCAGAACUCCGCAGUUAAGCGUGCUUGGUCGAGAGUAGUACUAGGAUGGGUGACCUCCUGGGAAGUCCUUGUGUUGCACCUCUUUUUGCCAAAAUUUUACGUCGCUUUUGAAAAAUAAACUUCGAUUGUAUUUCAUUUUUUCCGUUAAUUUACGCAACCUAAAACUCUAUUCGUUAAUUAGCGUAGUUUGACGUCUUUUUUGAAAAAUAAACUUAGAAAUGCAUAUAUACAAUUACAACGCUUUACUCUCAGGUGCGAUCAUACCAGCACUAAUGCUUCGGAUCCCAUCAGAACUCCGCAGUUAAGCGUGCUUGGUCGAGAGUAGUACUAGGAUGGGUGACCUCCUGGGAAGUCCUUGUGUUGCACCUCUUUUUGCCAAAAUUUUACGUCGCUUUUGAAAAAUAAACUUAGAAAUGCAUAUAUACAAUUACAACGCUUUACUCUCAGGUGCGAUCAUACCAGCACUAAUGCACCGGAUCCCAUCAGAACUCUGCAGUUAAGCGUGCUUGGGCGAGAGUAGUACUAGGAUGGGUGACCUCCUGGGAAGUCCUUGUGUUGCACCUCUUUUUGCCAAAAUUUUACGUCGUUUUUGAAAAAUAAACUUCGAUUUUAUUUCAUUUUUUCUGUUAAUUUACUCAACCUAAAACUCUAUUCGUUAAUUAGCGUAGUUUGACGUCUUUUUUGAAAAAUAAACUUAGAAAUGCAUAUAUACAAUUACAACGCUUUACUCUCAGGUGCGAUCAUACCAGCACUAAUGCACCGGAUCCCAUCAGAACUCCGCAGUUAUGCGUGCUUGGUCGAGAGUAGCACUAGGAUGGGUGACCUCCUGGGAAGUCCUUGUGUUGCACCUCUUUUUGCCAAAAUUUUACGUCGUUUUUGAAAAAUAAACUUCGAUUGUAUUUCAUUUUUUCCGUUAAUUUACGCAACCUAAAACUCUAUUCGUUAAAUAUCGUAGUUUGACGUGUUUUUUGAAAAAUAAACUUAGAAAUGCAUAUAUACAAUUACAACGCUUUACUCUCAGGUGCGAUCAUACCAGCACUAAUGCUUUGGAUCCCAUCAGAACUACGCAGCUAAGCGUGCUUGGUCGAGAGUAGUACUAGGAUGGGUGACCUCCUGGGAAGUCCUUGUGUUGCACCUCUUUUUGCCAAAAUUUUACGUUGUUUUUGAAAAAUAAACUUCGAUUUUAUUUCAUUUUUUCUGUUAAUUUACGCAACCUAAAACUCUAUUCGUUAAUUAGCGUAGUUUGACGUCUUUUUUGAAAAAUAAACUUAGAAAUGCAUAUAUACAAUUACAACGCUUUACUCUCAGGUGCGAUCAUACCAGCACUAAUGCUUCGGAUCCCAUCAGAACUCCGCAGUUAAGCGUGCUUGGUCGAGAGUAGUACUAGGAUGGGUGACCUCCUGGGAAGUCCUUGUGUUGCACCUCUUUUUGCCAAAAUUUUACGUCGCUUUUGAAAAAUAAACUUCGAUUGUAUUUCAUUUUUUCCGUUAAUUUACGCAACCUAAAACUCUAUUCGUUAAUUAGCGUAGUUUGACGUCUUUUUUGAAAAAUAAACUUAGAAAUGCAUAUAUACAAUUACAACGCUUUACUCUCAGGUGCGAUCAUACCAGCACUAAUGCUUCGGAUCCCAUCAGAACUCCGCAGUUAAGCGUGCUUGGUCGAGAGUAGUACUAGGAUGGGUGACCUCUUGGGAAGUCCAUGUGUUGCACCUCUUUUUGCCAAAAUUUUACGUCGCUUUUGAAAAAUAAACUUAGAAAUGCAUAUAUACAAUUACAACGCUUUACUCUCAGGUGCGAUCAUACCAGCACUAAUGCUUCGGAUCCCAUCAGAACUCCGCAGUUAAGCGUGCUUGGUCGAGAGUAGUACUAGGAUGGGUGACCUCCUGGGAAGUCCUUGUGUUGCACCUCUUUUUGCCAAAAUUUUACGUCGCUUUUGAAAAAUAAACUUCGAUUGUAUUUCAUUUUUUCCGUUAAUUUACGCAACCUAAAACUCUAUUCGUUAAUUAGCGUAGUUUGACGUCUUUUUUGAAAAAUAAACUUAGAAAUGCAUAUAUACAAUUACAACGCUUUACUCUCAGGUGCGAUCAUACCAGCACUAAUGCUUCGGAUCCCAUCAGAACUCCGCAGUUAAGCGUGCUUGGUCGAGAGUAGUACUAGGAUGGGUGACCUCCUGGGAAGUCCUUGUGUUGCACCUCUUUUUGCCAAAAUUUUACGUCGCUUUUGAAAAAUAAACUUAGAAAUGCAUAUAUACAAUUACAACGCUUUACUCUCAGGUGCGAUCAUACCAGCACUAAUGCACCGGAUCCCAUCAGAACUCUGCAGUUAAGCGUGCUUGGGCGAGAGUAGUACUAGGAUGGGUGACCUCCUGGGAAGUCCUUGUGUUGCACCUCUUUUUGCCAAAAUUUUACGUCGUUUUUGAAAAAUAAACUUCGAUUUUAUUUCAUUUUUUCUGUUAAUUUACUCAACCUAAAACUCUAUUCGUUAAUUAGCGUAGUUUGACGUCUUUUUUGAAAAAUAAACUUAGAAAUGCAUAUAUACAAUUACAACGCUUUACUCUCAGGUGCGAUCAUACCAGCACUAAUGCACCGGAUCCCAUCAGAACUCCGCAGUUAUGCGUGCUUGGUCGAGAGUAGUACUAGGAUGGGUGACCUCCUGGGAAGUCCUUGUGUUGCACCUCUUUUUGCCAAAAUUUUACGUCGUUUUUGAAAAAUAAACUUCGAUUGUAUUUCAUUUUUUCCGUUAAUUUACGCAACCUAAAACUCUAUUCGUUAAAUAUCGUAGUUUGACGUGUUUUUUGAAAAAUAAACUUAGAAAUGCAUAUAUACAAUUACAACGCUUUACUCUCAGGUGCGAUCAUACCAGCACUAAUGCUUUGGAUCCCAUCAGAACUACGCAGCUAAGCGUGCUUGGUCGAGAGUAGUACUAGGAUGGGUGACCUCCUGGGAAGUCCUUGUGUUGCACCUCUUUUUGCCAAAAUUUUACGUUGUUUUUGAAAAAUAAACUUCGAUUUUAUUUCAUUUUUUCUGUUAAUUUACGCAACCUAAAACUCUAUUCGUUAAUUAGCGUAGUUUGACGUCUUUUUUGAAAAAUAAACUUAGAAAUGCAUAUAUACAAUUACAACGCUUUACUCUCAGGUGCGAUCAUACCAGCACUAAUGCUUCGGAUCCCAUCAGAACUCCGCAGUUAAGCGUGCUUGGUCGAUAGUAGUACUAGGAUGGGUGACCUAUUGGGAAGUCCUUGUGUUGCACCUCUUUUUGCCAAAAUUUUACGUCGCUUUUGAAAAAUAAACUUAGAAAUGCAUAUAUACAAUUACAACGCUUUACUCUCAGGUGCGAUCAUACCAGCACUAAUGCACCGGAUCCCAUCAGAACUCUGUAGUUAAGCGUGCUUGGGCGAGAGUAGUACUAGGAUGGGUGACCUCCUGGGAAGUCCUUGUGUUGCACCUCUUUUUGCCAAAAUUUUACGUCGUUUUUGAAAAAUAAACUUCGAUUUUAUUUCAUUUUUUCUGUUAAUUUACUCAACCUAAAACUCUAUUCGUUAAUUAGCGUAGUUUGACGUCUUUUUUGAAAAAUAAACUUAGAAAUGCAUAUAUACAAUUACAACGCUUUACUCUCAGGUGCGAUCAUACCAGCACUAAUGCACCGGAUCCCAUCAAUACUCCGCAGUUAUGCGUGCUUGGUCGAGAGUAGUACUAGGAUGGGUGACCUCCUGGGAAGUCCUUGUGUUGCACCUCUUUUUGCCAAAAUUUUACGUCGUUUUUGAAAAAUAAACUUCGAUUGUAUUUCAUUUUUUCCGUUAAUUUACGCAACCUAAAACUCUAUUCGUUAAAUAUCGUAGUUUGACGUGUUUUUUGAAAAAUAAACUUAGAAAUGCAUAUAUACAAUUACAACGCUUUACUCUCAGGUGCGAUCAUACCAGCACUAAUGCUUUGGAUCCCAUCAGAACUACGCAGCUAAGCGUGCUUGGUCGAGAGUAGUACUAGGAUGGGUGACCUCCUGGGAAGUCCUUGUGUUGCACCUCUUUUUGCCAAAAUUUUACGUCGCUUUUGAAAAAUAAACUUCGAUUGUAUUUCAUUUUUUCCGUUAAUUUACGCAACCUAAAACUCUAUUCGUUAAUUAGCGUAGUUUGACGUCUUUUUUGAAAAAUAAACUUAGAAAUGCAUAUAUACAAUUACAACGCUUUACUCUCAGGUGCGAUCAUACCAGCACUAAUGCUUCGGAUCCCAUCAGAACUCCGCAGUUAAGCGUGCUUGGUCGAUAGUAGUACUAGGAUGGGUGACCUAUUGGGAAGUCCUUGUGUUGCACCUCUUUUUGCCAAAAUUUUACGUCGCUUUUGAAAAAUAAACUUAGAAAUGCAUAUAUACAAUUACAACGCUUUACUCUCAGGUGCGAUCAUACCAGCACUAAUGCACCGGAUCCCAUCAGAACUCUGUAGUUAAGCGUGCUUGGGCGAGAGUAGUACUAGGAUGGGUGACCUCCUGGGAAGUCCUUGUGUUGCACCUCUUUUUGCCAAAAUUUUACGUCGUUUUUGAAAAAUAAACUUCGAUUUUAUUUCAUUUUUUCUGUUAAUUUACUCAACCUAAAACUCUAUUCGUUAAUUAGCGUAGUUUGACGUCUUUUUUGAAAAAUAAACUUAGAAAUGCAUAUAUACAAUUACAACGCUUUACUCUCAGGUGCGAUCAUACCAGCACUAAUGCACCGGAUCCCAUCAGAACUCCGCAGUUAUGCGUGCUUGGUCGAGAGUAGUACUAGGAUGGGUGACCUCCUGGGAAGUCCUUGUGUUGCACCUCUUUUUGCCAAAAUUUUACGUCGUUUUUGAAAAAUAAACUUCGAUUUUAUUUCAUUUUUUCUGUUAAUUUACGCAACCUAAAACUCUAUUCGUUAAUUAGCGUAGUUUGACGUCUUUUUUGAAAAAUAAACUUAGAAAUGCAUAUAUACAAUUACAACGCUUUACUCUCAGGUGCGAUCAUACCAGCACUAAUGCUUCGGAUCCCAUAACAACUCCGCAGUUAAGCGUGCUUGGUCGAGAGUAGUACUAGGAUGGGUGACCUCCUGGGAAGUCCUUGUGUUGCACCUCUUUUUGCCAAAAUUUUACGUCGCUUUUGAAAAAUAAACUUCGAUUGUAUUUCAUUUUUUCCGUUAAUUUACGCAACCUAAAACUCUAUUCGUUAAUUAGCGUAGUUUGACGUCUUUUUUGAAAAAUAAACUUAGAAAUGCAUAUAUACAAUUACAACGCUUUACUCUCAGGUGCGAUCAUACCAGCACUAAUGCUUCGGAUCCCAUCAGAACUCCGCAGUUAAGCGUGCUUGGUCGAGAGUAGUACUAGGAUGGGUGACCUCCUGGGAAGUCCUUGUGUUGCACCUCUUUUUGCCAAAAUUUUACGUCGCUUUUGAAAAAUAAACUUAGAAAUGCAUAUAUACAAUUACAACGCUUUACUCUCAGGUGCGAUCAUACCAGCACUAAUGCACCGGAUCCCAUCAGAACUCUGCAGUUAAGCGUGCUUGGGCGAGAGUAGUACUAGGAUGGGUGACCUCCUGGGAAGUCCUUGUGUUGCACCUCUUUUUGCCAAAAUUUUACGUCGUUUUUGAAAAAUAAACUUCGAUUUUAUUUCAUUUUUUCUGUUAAUUUACUCAACCUAAAACUCUAUUCGUUAAUUAGCGUAGUUUGACGUCUUUUUUGAAAAAUAAACUUAGAAAUGCAUAUAUACAAUUACAACGCUUUACUCUCAGGUGCGAUCAUACCAGCACUAAUGCACCGGAUCCCAUCAGAACUCCGCAGUUAUGCGUGCUUGGUCGAGAGUAGUACUAGGAUGGGUGACCUCCUGGGAAGUCCUUGUGUUGCACCUCUUUUUGCCAAAAUUUUACGUCGUUUUUGAAAAAUAAACUUCGAUUUUAUUUCAUUUUUUCUGUUAAUUUACGCAACCUAAAACUCUAUUCGUUAAUUAGCGUAGUUUGACGUCUUUUUUGAAAAAUAAACUUAGAAAUGCAUAUAUACAAUUACAACGCUUUACUCUCAGGUGCGAUCAUACCAGCACUAAUGCUUCGGAUCCCAUAACAACUCCGCAGUUAAGCGUGCUUGGUCGAGAGUAGUACUAGGAUGGGUGACCUCCUGGGAAGUCCUUGUGUUGCACCUCUUUUUGCCAAAAUUUUACGUCGCUUUUGAAAAAUAAACUUCGAUUGUAUUUCAUUUUUUCCGUUAAUUUACGCAACCUAAAACUCUAUUCGUUAAUUAGCGUAGUUUGACGUCUUUUUUGAAAAAUAAACUUAGAAAUGCAUAUAUACAAUUACAACGCUUUACUCUCAGGUGCGAUCAUACCAGCACUAAUGCUUCGGAUCCCAUCAGAACUCCGCAGUUAAGCGUGCUUGGUCGAGAGUAGUACUAGGAUGGGUGACCUCCUGGGAAGUCCUUGUGUUGCACCUCUUUUUGCCAAAAUUUUACGUCGCUUUUGAAAAAUAAACUUAGAAAUGCAUAUAUACAAUUACAACGCUUUACUCUCAGGUGCGAUCAUACCAGCACUAAUGCACCGGAUCCCAUCAGAACUCUGCAGUUAAGCGUGCUUGGGCGAGAGUAGUACUAGGAUGGGUGACCUCCUGGGAAGUCCUUGUGUUGCACCUCUUUUUGCCAAAAGUUUAUGUCGUAUUUGAAAAACGAACUUCGAUUGUAUUUCAUUUUUUCCGUUAAUUUACGCAACCUAAAACUCUAUUCGUUAAUUAGCGUAGUUUGACGUCUUUUUUGAAAAAUAAACUUAGAAAUGCAUAUAUACAAUUACAACGCUUUACUCUCAGGUGCGAUCAUACCAGCACUAAUGCACCGGAUCCCAUCAGAACUCCGCAGUUAAGCGUGCUUGGUCGAGAGUAGUACUAGGAUGGGUGACCUCCUAGGAAGUCCUUGUGAUGCACCUCUUUUUGCCAAAAUUUUACGUCGUAUUUGAAAAAUAAACUUCGAUUGUAUUUCAUUUUUUCCGUUAAUUUACGCAACCUAAAACUCUAUUCGUUAAUUAGCGUAGUUUGACGUCUUUUUUGAAAAAUAAACUUAGAAAUGCAUAUAUACAAUUACAACGCUUUACUCUCAGGUGCGAUCAUACCAGCACUAAUGCACCGGAUCCCAUCAGAACUCCGCAGUUAUGCGUGCUUGGUCGAGAGUAGUACUAGGAUGGGUGACCUCCUGGGAAGUCCUUGUGUUGCACCUCUUUUUGCCAAAAUUUUACGUCGCUUUUGAAAAAUAAACUUCGAUUGUAUUUCAUUUUUUCCGUUAAUUUACGCAACCUAAAACUCUAUUCGUUAAUAUCGUAGUUUGACGUGUUUUUUGAAAAAUAAACUUAGAAAUGCAUAUAUACAAUUACAACGCUUUACUCUCAGGUGCGAUCAUACCAGCACUAAUGCACCGGAUCCCAUCAGAACUCCGCAGUUAUGCGUGCUUGGUCGAGAGUAGUACUAGGAUGGGUGACCUCCUGGGAAGUCCUUGUGUUGCACCUCUUUUUGCCAAAAUUUUACGUCGCUUUUGAAAAAUAAACUUCGAUUGUAUUUCAUUUUUUCCGUUAAUUUACGCAACCUAAAACUCUAUUCGUUAAAUAUCGUAGUUUGACGUGUUUUUUGAAAAAUAAACUUAGAAAUGCAUAUAUACAAUUACAACGCUUUACUCUCAGGUGCGAUCAUACCAGCACUAAUGCUUUGGAUCCCAUCAGAACUACGCAACUAAGCGUGCUUGGUCGAGAGUAGUACUAGGAUGGGUGACCUCCUGGGAAGUCCUUGUGUUGCACCUCUUUUUGCCAAAAUUUUACGUCGCUUUUGAAAAAUAAACUUCGAUUGUAUUUCAUUUUUUCCGUUAAUUUACGCAACCUAAAACUCUAUUCGUUAAUUAGCGUAGUUUGACGUCUUUUUUGAAAAAUAAACUUAGAAAUGCAUAUAUACAAUUACAACGCUUUACUCUCAGGUGCGAUCAUACCAGCACUAAUGCUUCGGAUCCCAUCAGAACUCCGCAGUUAAGCGUGCUUGGUCGAGAGUAGUACUAGGAUGGGUGACCUCCUGGGAAGUCCUUGUGUUGCACCUCUUUUUGCCAAAAUUUUACGUCGCUUUUGAAAAAUAAACUUAGAAAUGCAUAUAUACAAUUACAACGCUUUACUCUCAGGUGCGAUCAUACCAGCACUAAUGCACCGGAUCCCAUCAGAACUCUGCAGUUAAGCGUGCUUGGGCGAGAGUAGUACUAGGAUGGGUGACCUCCUGGGAAGUCCUUGUGUUGCACCUCUUUUUGCCAAAAUUUUACGUCGUUUUUGAAAAAUAAACUUCGAUUUUAUUUCAUUUUUUCUGUUAAUUUACUCAACCUAAAACUCUAUUCGUUAAUUAGCGUAGUUUGACGUCUUUUUUGAAAAAUAAACUUAGAAAUGCAUAUAUACAAUUACAACGCUUUACUCUCAGGUGCGAUCAUACCAGCACUAAUGCUUUGGAUCCCAUCAGAACUCUGCAGUUAAGCGUGCUUGGUCGAGAGUAGUACUAGGAUGGGUGACCUCCUGGGAAGUCCUUGUGUUGCACCUCUUUUUGCCAAAAUUUUACGUCGUAUUUGAAAAAUAAACUUCGAUUGUAUUUCAUGUUUUUCGUUAAUUUACGCAACCUAAAACUCUAUUCGUUAAUUAGCGUAGUUUGACGUCUUUUUUGAAAAAUAAACUUAGAAAUGCAUAUAUACAAUUACAACGCUUUACUCUCAGGUGCGAUCAUACCAGCACUAAUGCACCGGAUCCCAUCAGAACUCCGCAGUUAUGCGUGCUUGGUCGAGAGUAGUACUAGGAUGGGUGACCUCCUAGGAAGUCCUUGUGUUGCACCUCUUUUUGCCAAAAUUUUACGUCGCUUUUGAAAAAUAAACUUCGAUUGUAUUUCAUUUUUUCCGUUAAUUUACGCAACCUAAAACUCUAUUCGUUAAUUAGCGUAGUUUGACGUCUUUUUUGAAAAAUAAACUUAGAAAUGCAUAUAUACAAUUACAACGCUUUACUCUCAGGUGCGAUCAUACCAGCACUAAUGCUUCGGAUCCCAUCAGAACUCCGCAGUUAAGCGUGCUUGGUCGAGAGUAGUACUAGGAUGGGUGACCUCCUGGGAAGUCCUUGUGUUGCACCUCUUUUUGCCAAAAUUUUACGUCGCUUUUGAAAAAUAAACUUAGAAAUGCAUAUAUACAAUUACAACGCUUUACUCUCAGGUGCGAUCAUACCAGCACUAAUGCACCGGAUCCCAUCAGAACUCUGCAGUUAAGCGUGCUUGGGCGAGAGUAGUACUAGGAUGGGUGACCUCCUGGGAAGUCCUUGUGUUGCACCUUUUUUGCCAAAAUUUUACGUCGUUUUUGAAAAAUAAACUUCGAUUGUAUUUCAUUUUUUCUGUUAAUUUACUCAACCUAAAACUCUAUUCGUUAAUUAGCGUAGUUUGACGUCUUUUUUGAAAAAUAAACUUAGAAAUGCAUAUAUACAAUUACAACGCUUUACUCUCAGGUGCGAUCAUACCAGCACUAAUGCACCGGAUCCCAUCAGAACUCCGCAGUUAUGCGUGCUUGGUCGAGAGUAGUACUAGGAUGGGUGACCUCCUGGGAAGUCCUUGUGUUGCACCUCUUUUUGCCAAAAUUUUACGUCGUUUUUGAAAAAUAAACUUCGAUUGUAUUUCAUUUUUUCCGUUAAUUUACGCAACCUAAAACUCUAUUCGUUAAUUAGCGUAGUUUGACGUCUUUUUUGAAAAAUAAACUUAGAAAUGCAUAUAUACAAUUACAACGCUUUACUCUCAGGUGCGAUCAUACCAGCACUAAUGCUUCGGAUCCCAUCAGAACUCCGCAGUUAAGCGUGCUUGGUCGAGAGUAGUACUAGGAUGGGUGACCUCCUGGGAAGUCCUUGUGUUGCACCUCUUUUUGCCAAAAUUUUAUGUCGCUUUUGAAAAAUAAACUUCGAUUGUAUUUCAUUUUUUCCGUUAAUUUACGCAACCUAAAACUCUAUCGUUAAUUAACUAGUUUGACGUCUUUUUUGAAAAAUAAACUUAGAAAUGCAUAUAUACAAUUACAACGCUUUACUCUCAGGUGCGAUCAUACCAGCACUAAUGCUUCGGAUCCCAUCAGAACUCCGCAGUUAAGCGUGCUUGGUCGAGAGUAGUACUAGGAUGGGUGACCUCCUGGGAAGUCCUUGUGUUGCACCUCUUUUUGCCAAAAUUUUACGUCGCUUUUGAAAAAUAAACUUAGAAAUGCAUAUAUACAAUUACAACGCUUUACUCUCAGGUGCGAUCAUACCAGCACUAAUGCACCGGAUCCCAUCAGAACUCUGCAGUUAAGCGUGCUUGGGCGAGAGUAGUACUAGGAUGGGUGACCUCCUGGGAAGUCCUUGUGUUGCACCUCUUUUUGCCAAAAGUUUAUGUCGUAUUUGAAAAACGAACUUCGAUUGUAUUUCAUUUUUUCCGUUAAUUUACGCAACCUAAAACUCUAUUCGUUAAUUAGCGUAGUUUGACGUCUUUUUUGAAAAAUAAACUUAGAAAUGCAUAUAUACAAUUACAACGCUUUACUCUCAGGUGCGAUCAUACCAGCACUAAUGCUUCGGAUCCCAUCAAAACUCCGCAGUUAAGCGUGCUUGGUCGAGAGUAGUACUAGGAUGGGUGACCUCCUGGGAAGUCCUUGUGUUGCACCUCUUUUUGCCAAAAUUUUACGUCGCUUUUGAAAAAUAAACUUAGAAAUGCAUAUAUACAAUUACAACGCUUUACUCUCAGGUGCGAUCUACCAGCACUAAUGCACCGGAUCCCAUCAGAACUCUGCAGUUAAGCGUGCUUGGGCGAGAGUAGUACUAGGAUGGGUGACCUCCUGGGAAGUCCUUGUGUUGCACCUCUUUUUGCCAAAAGUUUAUGUCGUAUUUGAAAAACGAACUUCGAUUGUAUUUCAUUUUUUCGUUAAUUUACGCAACCUAAAACUCUAUUCGUUAAUUAGCGUAGUUUGACGUCUUUUUUGAAAAAUAAACUUAGAAAUGCAUAUAUACAAUUACAACGCUUUACUCUCAGGUGCGAUCAUACCAGCACUAAUGCUUCGGAUCCCAUCACAACUCCGCAGUUAAGCGUGCUUGGUCGAGAGUAGUACAAGGAUGGGUGACCUUCUGGGAAGUCCUUGUGUUGCACCUCUUUUUGCCAAAAUUUUACGUCGCUUUUGAAAAAUAAACUUCGAUUGUAUUUCAUUUUUUCCGUUAAUUUACGCAACCUAAUACUCUAUUCGUUAAUUAGCGUAGUUUGACGUCUUUUUUGAAAAUAAACUUCGAAAUGCAUAUAUACAAUUACAACGCUUUACUCUCAGGUGCGAUCAUACCAGCACUAAUGCACCGGAUCCCAUCAGAACUCCGCAGUUAAGCGCGCUUGGUCGAGAGUAGUACUAGGAUGGGUGACCUCCUAGGAAGUCCUUGUGUUGCACCUCUUUUUGCCAAAAUUUUACAUCGUAUUUGAAAAAUAAACUUCGAUUGUAUUUCAUUUUUUCGUUAAUUUACGCAACUAAAACUCUAUUCGUUAAUUAGCGUAUUUGACGUCUUUUUUGAAAAAUAAACUUAGAAAUGCAUAUAUACAAUUACAACGCUUUACUCUCAGGUGCGAUCAUAUUAGCACUAAUGCACCGGAUCCCAUUAGAACUCCGCAGUUAAGCGUGCUUGGGCGAGAGUAGUACUAGGAUGGGUGACCUCCUGGAAGUCCUUGUGUUGCACCUCUUUUUGCCAAAAUUUUUGUUCUUUUAUAAACUUCAAUUGUAUUUCAUUUUUUCCGUUAAUUUACGCAACCUAAAACUCUAUUCGUUAAUUAGCGUAGUUUGACGUCUUUUUUGAAAAAUAAACUUAGAAAUGCAUAUAUACAAUUACAACGCUUUACUCUCAGGUGCGAUCAUACCAGCACUAAUGCUUGGAUCCCAUCAGAACUCCGCAGUUAAGCGUGCUUGGUCGAGAGUAGUACUAGGAUGGGUGACCUCCUGGGAAGUCCUUGUGUUGCACCUCUUUUUGCCAAAAUUUACGUCGUUUUUGAAAAAUAAACUUCGAUUGUAUUUCAUUUUUUCGUUAAUUUACGCAACCUAAAACUCUAUUCGUUAAUUAGCGUAGUUUGACGUCUUUUUUGAAAAAUAAACUUAGAAAUGCAUAUAUACAAUUACAACGCUUUACUCUCAGGUGCGAUCAUACCAGCACUAAUGCACCGGAUCCCAUCAGAACUCCGCAGUUAGCGUGCUUGGUCGAGAGUAGUACUAGGAUGGGUGACCUCCUGGAAGUCCUUGUGUUGCACCUCUUUUUGCCAAAAGUUUUACGUCGUUUUUGAAAAAUAAACUUCAAUUGUAUUUCAUUUUUUCCGUUAAUUUACGCAACCUAAAACUCUAUUCGUUAAUUAGCGUAGUUUGACGUCUUUUUUGAAAAAUAAACUUAGAAAUGCAUAUAUACAAUUACAACGCUUUACUCUCAGGUGCGAUCAUACCAGCACUAAUGCUCGGAUCCCAUCAGAACUCCGCAGUUAAGCGUGCUUGGUCGAGAGUAGUACUAGGAUGGGUGACCUCCUGGGAAGUCCUUGUGUUGCACCUCUUUUUGCCAAAAUUUUACGUCGCUUUUGAAAAAUAAACUUCGAUUGUAUUUCAUUUUUUCCGUUAAUUUACGCAACCUAAAACUCUAUUCGUUAAUUAGCGUAGUUUGACGUCUUUUUUGAAAAUAAACUUAGAAAUGCAUAUAUACAAUUACAACGCUUUACUCUCAGGUGCGAUCAUACCAGCACUAAUGCACCGGAUCCCAUCAGAACUCCGCAGUUAAGCGUGCUUGGUCGAGAGUAGUACUAGGAUGGGUGACCUCCUGGAAGUCCUUGUGUUGCACCUCUUUUUGCCAAAAUUUUACGUUGUUUUGAAAAAUAAACUUCGAUUGUAUUUCAUUUUUCCGUUAAUUUACGCAACCUAAAACUCUAUUCGUUAAUUAGCGUAGUUUGACGUCUUUUUUGAAAAAUAAACUUAGAAAUGCAUAUAUACAAUUACAACGCUUUACUCUCAGGUGCGAUCAUACCAGCACUAAUGCACCGGAUCCCAUCAGAACUCCGCAGUUAAGCGCGCUUGGGCGAGAGUAGUACUAGGAUGGGUGACCUCCUGGAAGUCCUUGUGUUGCACCUCUUUUUGCCAAAAUUUUACGUCGUUUUUGAAAAAUAAACUUCGAUUGUAUUUCAUUUUUUCGUUAAUUUACGCAACCUAAAACUCUAUUCGUUAAUUAGCGUAGUUUGACGUCUUUUUUGAAAAAUAAACUUAGAAAUGCAUAUAUACAAUUACAACGCUUUACUCUCAGGUGCGAUCAUACCAGCACUAAUGCAGGAUCCCAUCAGAACUCCGCAGUUAAGCGUGCUUGGCGAGAGUAGUACUAGGAUGGGUGACCUCCUAGGAAGUCCUUGUGUUGCACCUCUUUUUGCCAAAAUUUUACGUUGUUUUGAAAAAUAAACUUCGAUUGUAUUUCAUUUUUUCUGUUAAUUUACGCAACCUAAAACUCUAUUCGUUAAUUAGCGUAGUUUGACGUCUUUUUUGAAAAAUAAACUUAGAAAUGCAUAUAUACAAUUACAACGCUUUACUCUCAGGUGCGAUCAUACCAGCACUAAUGCACCGGAUCCCAUCAGAACUCCGCAGUUAAGCGUGCUUGGUCGAGAGUAGUACUAGGAUGGGUGACCUCCUGGGAAGUCCUUGUGUUGCACCUCUUUUUGCCAAAAUUUUACGUCGUUUUUGAAAAAUAAACUUCGAUUGUAUUUCAUUUUUUCCGUUAAUUUACGCAACCUAAAACUCUAUUCGUUAAUUAGCGUAGUUUGACGUCUUUUUUGAAAAAUAAACUUAGAAAUGCAUAUAUACAAUUACAACGCUUUACUCUCAGGUGCGAUCAUACCAGCACUAAUGCACCGGAUCCCAUCAGAACUCCGCAGUUAAGCGUGCUUGGCGAGAGUAGUACUAGGAUGGGUGACCUCCUGGGAAGUCCUUGUGUUGCACCUCUUUUUGCCAAAAUUUUACGUCGUUUUUGAAAAAUAAACUUCAUUGUAUUUCAUUUUUUCCGUUAAUUUACGCAACCUAAAACUCUAUUCGUUAAUUAGCGUAGUUUGACGUCUUUUUUGAAAAAUAAACUUAGAAAUGCAUAUAUACAAUUACAACGCUUUACUCUCAGGUGCGAUCAUACCAGCACUAAUGCUUCGGAUCCCAUCAGAACUCCGCAGUUAAGCGUGCUUGGCGAGAGUAGUACUAGGAUGGGUGACCUCCUAGGAAGUCCUUGUGUUGCACCUCUUUUUGCCAAAAUUUUACGUUGUUUUGAAAAAUAAACUUCGAUUGUAUUUCAUUUUUCCGUUAAUUUACGCAACCUAAAACUCUAUUCGUUAAUUAGCGUAGUUUGACGUCUUUUUUGAAAAAUAAACUUAGAAAUGCAUAUAUACAAUUACAACGCUUUACUCUCAGGUGCGAUCAUACCAGCACUAAUGCACCGGAUCCCAUCAGAACUCCGCAGUUAAGCGUGCUUGGCGAGAGUAGUACUAGGAUGGGUGACCUCCUGGGAAGUCCUUGUGUUGCACCUCUUUUUGCCAAAAUUUUACGUCGUUUUUGAAAAAUAAACUUCGAUUGUAUUUCAUUUUUUCCGUUAAUUUACGCAACCUAAAACUCUAUUCGUUAAUUAGCGUAGUUUGACGUCUUUUUUGAAAAAUAAACUUAGAAAUGCAUAUAUACAAUUACAACGCUUUACUCUCAGGUGCGAUCAUACCAGCACUAAUGCACCGGAUCCCAUCAGAACUCCGCAGUUAAGCGUGCUUGGUCGAGAGUAGUACUAGGAUGGGUGACCUCCUGGGAAGUCCUUGUGUUGCACCUCUUUUUGCCAAAAUUUUACGUCGUUUUUGAAAAAUAAACUUCGAUUGUAUUUCAUUUUUUCCGUUAAUUUACGCAACCUAAAACUCUAUUCGUUAAUUAGCGUAGUUUGACGUCUUUUUUGAAAAAUAAACUUAGAAAUGCAUAUAUACAAUUACAACGCUUUACUCUCAGGUGCGAUCAUACCAGCACUAAUGCACGGAUCCCAUCAGAACUCCGCAGUUAAGCGUGCUUGGCGAGAGUAGUACUAGGAUGGGUGACCUCCUGGGAAGUCCUUGUGUUGCACCUCUUUUUGCCAAAAUUUUACGUCGUUUUUGAAAAAUAAACUUCGAUUGUAUUUCAUUUUUUCGUUAAUUUACGCAACCUAAAACUCUAUUCGUUAAUUAGCGUAGUUUGACGUCUUUUUUGAAAAAUAAACUUAGAAAUGCAUAUAUACAAUUACAACGCUUUACUCUCAGGUGCGAUCAUACCAGCACUAAUGCACGGAUCCCAUCAGAACUCCGCAGUUAAGCGUGCUUGGCGAGAGUAGUACUAGGAUGGGUGACCUCCUGGGAAGUCCUUGUGUUGCACCUCUUUUUGCCAAAAUUUUACGUCGUUUUUGAAAAAUAAACUUCGAUUGUAUUUCAUUUUUUUCCGUUAAUUUACGCAACCUAAAACUCUAUUCGUUAAUUAGCGUAGUUUGACGUCUUUUUUGAAAAAUAAACUUAGAAAUGCAUAUAUACAAUUACAACGCUUUACUCUCAGGUGCGAUCAUACCAGCACUAAUGCACGGAUCCCAUCAGAACUCCGCAGUUAAGCGUGCUUGGCGAGAGUAGUACUAGGAUGGGUGACCUCCUGGGAAGUCCUUGUGUUGCACCUCUUUUUGCCAAAAUUUUACGUUGUUUUGAAAAAUAAACUUCGAUUGUAUUUCAUUUUUUCUGUUAAUUUACGCAACCUAAAACUCUAUUCGUUAAUUAGCGUAGUUUGACGUCUUUUUUGAAAAAUAAACUUAGAAAUGCAUAUAUACAAUUACAACGCUUUACUCUCAGGUGCGAUCAUACCAGCACUAAUGCACGGAUCCCAUCAGAACUCCGCAGUUAAGCGUGCUUGGCGAGAGUAGUACUAGGAUGGGUGACCUCCUGGGAAGUCCUUGUGUUGCACCUCUUUUUGCCAAAAUUUUACGUCGUUUUUGAAAAAUAAACUUCGAUUGUAUUUCAUUUUUUCCGUUAAUUUACGCAACCUAAAACUCUAUUCGUUAAUUAGCGUAGUUUGACGUCUUUUUUGAAAAAUAAACUUAGAAAUGCAUAUAUACAAUUACAACGCUUUACUCUCAGGUGCGAUCAUACCAGCACUAAUGCACGGAUCCCAUCAGAACUCCGCAGUUAAGCGUGCUUGGUCGAGAGUAGUACUAGGAUGGGUGACCUCCUGGGAAGUCCUUGUGUUGCACCUCUUUUUGCCAAAAUUUUACGUUGUUUUGAAAAAUAAACUUCGAUUGUAUUUCAUUUUUUCUGUUAAUUUACGCAACCUAAAACUCUAUUCGUUAAUUAGCGUAGUUUGACGUCUUUUUUGAAAAAUAAACUUAGAAAUGCAUAUAUACAAUUACAACGCUUUACUCUCAGGUGCGAUCAUACCAGCACUAAUGCACCGGAUCCCAUCAGAACUCCGCAGUUAAGCGUGCUUGGUCGAGAGUAGUACUAGGAUGGGUGACCUCCUGGGAAGUCCUUGUGUUGCACCUCUUUUUGCCAAAAUUUUACGUCGCUUUUGAAAAAUAAACUUCGAUUGUAUUUCAUUUUUUCCGUUAAUUUACGCAACCUAAAACUCUAUUCGUUAAUUAGCGUAGUUUGACGUCUUUUUUGAAAAAUAAACUUAGAAAUGCAUAUAUACAAUUACAACGCUUUACUCUCAGGUGCGAUCAUACCAGCACUAAUUCAGAACUCCGCAGUUAAGCGUGCUUGGUCGAGAGUAGUACUAGGAUGGGUGACCUCCUGGGAAGUCCUUGUGUUGCACCUCUUUUUGCCAAAAUUUUACGUCGCUUUUGAAAAAUAAACUUCGAUUGUAUUUCAUUUUUUCCGUUAAUUUACGCAACCUAAAACUCUAUUCGUUAAUUAGCGUAGUUUGACGUCUUUUUUGAAAAAUAAACUUAGAAAUGCAUAUAUACAAUUACAACGCUUUACUCUCAGGUGCGAUCAUACCAGCACUAAUGCUCGGAUCCCAUCAGAACUCCGCAGUUAAGCGUGCUUGGCGAGAGUAGUACUAGGAUGGGUGACCUCCUAGGAAGUCCUUGUGUUGCACCUCUUUUUGCCAAAAUUUUACGUUGUUUUGAAAAAUAAACUUCGAUUGUAUUUCAUUUUUUCUGUUAAUUUACGCAACCUAAAACUCUAUUCGUUAAUUAGCGUAGUUUGACGUCUUUUUUGAAAAAUAAACUUAGAAAUGCAUAUAUACAAUUACAACGCUUUACUCUCAGGUGCGAUCAUACCAGCACUAAUGCACCGGAUCCCAUCAGAACUCCGCAGUUAAGCGUGCUUGGCGAGAGUAGUACUAGGAUGGGUGACCUCCUGGGAAGUCCUUGUGUUGCACCUCUUUUUGCCAAAAUUUUACGUCGUUUUUGAAAAAUAAACUUCGAUUGUAUUUCAUUUUUUCCGUUAAUUUACGCAACCUAAAACUCUAUUCGUUAAUUAGCGUAGUUUGACGUCUUUUUUGAAAAAUAAACUUAGAAAUGCAUAUAUACAAUUACAACGCUUUACUCUCAGGUGCGAUCAUACCAGCACUAAUGCACGGAUCCCAUCAGAACUCCGCAGUUAAGCGUGCUUGGUCGAGAGUAGUACUAGGAUGGGUGACCUCCUGGGAAGUCCUUGUGUUGCACCUCUUUUUGCCAAAAUUUUACGUUGUUUUGAAAAAUAAACUUCGAUUGUAUUUCAUUUUUUCUGUUAAUUUACGCAACCUAAAACUCUAUUCGUUAAUUAGCGUAGUUUGACGUCUUUUUUGAAAAAUAAACUUAGAAAUGCAUAUAUACAAUUACAACGCUUUACUCUCAGGUGCGAUCAUACCAGCACUAAUGCACCGGAUCCCAUCAGAACUCCGCAGUUAAGCGUGCUUGGUCGAGAGUAGUACUAGGAUGGGUGACCUCCUGGGAAGUCCUUGUGUUGCACCUCUUUUUGCCAAAAUUUUACGUUGUUUUGAAAAAUAAACUUCGAUUGUAUUUCAUUUUUUCUGUUAAUUUACGCAACCUAAAACUCUAUUCGUUAAUUAGCGUAGUUUGACGUCUUUUUUGAAAAAUAAACUUAGAAAUGCAUAUAUACAAUUACAACGCUUUACUCUCAGGUGCGAUCAUACCAGCACUAAUGCACCGGAUCCCAUCAGAACUCCGCAGUUAAGCGUGCUUGGCGAGAGUAGUACUAGGAUGGGUGACCUCCUGGGAAGUCCUUGUGUUGCACCUCUUUUUGCCAAAAUUUUACGUCGUUUUUGAAAAAUAAACUUCGAUUGUAUUUCAUUUUUUCCGUUAAUUUACGCAACCUAAAACUCUAUUCGUUAAUUAGCGUAGUUUGACGUCUUUUUUGAAAAAUAAACUUAGAAAUGCAUAUAUACAAUUACAACGCUUUACUCUCAGGUGCGAUCAUACCAGCACUAAUGCUCGGAUCCCAUCAGAACUCCGCAGUUAAGCGUGCUUGGUCGAGAGUAGUACUAGGAUGGGUGACCUCCUGGGAAGUCCUUGUGUUGCACCUCUUUUUGCCAAAAUUUUACGUUGUUUUGAAAAAUAAACUUCGAUUGUAUUUCAUUUUUUCUGUUAAUUUACGCAACCUAAAACUCUAUUCGUUAAUUAGCGUAGUUUGACGUCUUUUUUGAAAAAUAAACUUAGAAAUGCAUAUAUACAAUUACAACGCUUUACUCUCAGGUGCGAUCAUACCAGCACUAAUGCACCGGAUCCCAUCAGAACUCCGCAGUUAAGCGUGCUUGGCGAGAGUAGUACUAGGAUGGGUGACCUCCUGGGAAGUCCUUGUGUUGCACCUCUUUUUGCCAAAAUUUUACGUUGUUUUGAAAAAUAAACUUCGAUUGUAUUUCAUUUUUUCUGUUAAUUUACGCAACCUAAAACUCUAUUCGUUAAUUAGCGUAGUUUGACGUCUUUUUUGAAAAAUAAACUUAGAAAUGCAUAUAUACAAUUACAACGCUUUACUCUCAGGUGCGAUCAUACCAGCACUAAUGCACGGAUCCCAUCAGAACUCGCAGUUAAGCGUGCUUGGCGAGAGUAGUACUAGGAUGGGUGACCUCCUGGGAAGUCCUUGUGUUGCACCUCUUUUUGCCAAAAUUUUACGUCGCUUUUGAAAAAUAAACUUCGAUUGUAUUUCAUUUUUUCCGUUAAUUUACGCAACCUAAAACUCUAUUCGUUAAUUAGCGUAGUUUGACGUCUUUUUUGAAAAAUAAACUUAGAAAUGCAUAUAUACAAUUACAACGCUUUACUCUCAGGUGCGAUCAUACCAGCACUAAUGCACCGGAUCCCAUCAGAACUCGCAGUUAAGCGUGCUUGGCGAGAGUAGUACUAGGAUGGGUGACCUCCUGGGAAGUCCUUGUGUUGCACCUCUUUUUGCCAAAAUUUUACGUCGCUUUUGAAAAAUAAACUUCGAUUGUAUUUCAUUUUUUCCGUUAAUUUACGCAACCUAAAACUCUAUUCGUUAAUUAGCGUAGUUUGACGUCUUUUUUGAAAAAUAAACUUAGAAAUGCAUAUAUACAAUUACAACGCUUUACUCUCAGGUGCGAUCAUACCAGCACUAAUGCACGGAUCCCAUCAGAACUCCGCAGUUAAGCGUGCUUGGGCGAGAGUAGUACUAGGAUGGGUGACCUCCUGGGAAGUCCUUGUGUUGCACCUCUUUUUGCCAAAAUUUUACGUCGCUUUUGAAAAAUAAACUUCGAUUGUAUUUCAUUUUUUCCGUUAAUUUACGCAACCUAAAACUCUAUUCGUUAAUUAGCGUAGUUUGACGUCUUUUUUGAAAAAUAAACUUAGAAAUGCAUAUAUACAAUUACAACGCUUUACUCUCAGGUGCGAUCAUACCAGCACUAAUGCACGGAUCCCAUCAGAACUCCGCAGUUAAGCGUGCUUGGCGAGAGUAGUACUAGGAUGGGUGACCUCCUGGGAAGUCCUUGUGUUGCACCUCUUUUUGCCAAAAUUUUACGUCGCUUUUGAAAAAUAAACUUCGAUUGUAUUUCAUUUUUUCCGUUAAUUUACGCAACCUAAAACUCUAUUCGUUAAUUAGCGUAGUUUGACGUCUUUUUUGAAAAAUAAACUUAGAAAUGCAUAUAUACAAUUACAACGCUUUACUCUCAGGUGCGAUCAUACCAGCACUAAUGCACCGGAUCCCAUCAGAACUCGCAGUUAAGCGUGCUUGGCGAGAGUAGUACUAGGAUGGGUGACCUCCUGGGAAGUCCUUGUGUUGCACCUCUUUUUGCCAAAAUUUUACGUCGCUUUUGAAAAAUAAACUUCGAUUGUAUUUCAUUUUUUCCGUUAAUUUACGCAACCUAAAACUCUAUUCGUUAAUUAGCGUAGUUUGACGUCUUUUUUGAAAAAUAAACUUAGAAAUGCAUAUAUACAAUUACAACGCUUUACUCUCAGGUGCGAUCAUACCAGCACUAAUGCUCGGAUCCCAUCAGAACUCGCAGUUAAGCGUGCUUGGCGAGAGUAGUACUAGGAUGGGUGACCUCCUGGGAAGUCCUUGUGUUGCACCUCUUUUUGCCAAAAUUUUACGUCGCUUUUGAAAAAUAAACUUCGAUUGUAUUUCAUUUUUUCCGUUAAUUUACGCAACCUAAAACUCUAUUCGUUAAUUAGCGUAGUUUGACGUCUUUUUUGAAAAAUAAACUUAGAAAUGCAUAUAUACAAUUACAACGCUUUACUCUCAGGUGCGAUCAUACCAGCACUAAUGCACCGGAUCCCAUCAGAACUCGCAGUUAAGCGUGCUUGGCGAGAGUAGUACUAGGAUGGGUGACCUCCUGGGAAGUCCUUGUGUUGCACCUCUUUUUGCCAAAAUUUUACGUCGCUUUUGAAAAAUAAACUUCGAUUGUAUUUCAUUUUUUCCGUUAAUUUACGCAACCUAAAACUCUAUUCGUUAAUUAGCGUAGUUUGACGUCUUUUUUGAAAAAUAAACUUAGAAAUGCAUAUAUACAAUUACAACGCUUUACUCUCAGGUGCGAUCAUACCAGCACUAAUGCACCGAUCCCAUCAGAACUCGCAGCUAAGCGUGCUUGGCGAGAGUAGUACUAGGAUGGGUGACCUCCUGGGAAGUCCUUGUGUUGCACCUCUUUUUGCCAAAAUUUUACGUCGCUUUUGAAAAAUAAACUUCGAUUGUAUUUCAUUUUUUCCGUUAAUUUACGCAACCUAAAACUCUAUUCGUUAAUUAGCGUAGUUUGACGUCUUUUUUGAAAAAUAAACUUAGAAAUGCAUAUAUACAAUUACAACGCUUUACUCUCAGGUGCGAUCAUACCAGCACUAAUGCCGGAUCCCAUCAGAACUUCGCAGUUAAGCGUGCUUGGUCGAGAGUAGUACUAGGAUGGGUGACCUCCUGGGAAGUCCUUGUGUUGCACCUCUUUUUGCCAAAAUUUUACGUCGCUUUUGAAAAAUAAACUUCGAUUGUAUUUCAUUUUUUCCGUUAAUUUACGCAACCUAAAACUCUAUUCGUUAAUUAGCGUAGUUUGACGUCUUUUUUGAAAAAUAAACUUAGAAAUGCAUAUAUACAAUUACAACGCUUUACUCUCAGGUGCGAUCAUACCAGCACUAAUGCUUCGGAUCCCAUCAGAACUCGCAGUUAAGCGUGCUUGGCGAGAGUAGUACUAGGAUGGGUGACCUCCUGGGAAGUCCUUGUGUUGCACCUCUUUUUGCCAAAAUUUUACGUCGCUUUUGAAAAAUAAACUUCGAUUGUAUUUCAUUUUUUCCGUUAAUUUACGCAACCUAAAACUCUAUUCGUUAAUUAGCGUAGUUUGACGUCUUUUUUGAAAAAUAAACUUAGAAAUGCAUAUAUACAAUUACAACGCUUUACUCUCAGGUGCGAUCAUACCAGCACUAAUGCUCGGAUCCCAUCAGAACUCGCAGCUAAGCGUGCUUGGCGAGAGUAGUACUAGGAUGGGUGACCUCCUGGGAAGUCCUUGUGUUGCACCUCUUUUUGCCAAAAUUUUACGUCGCUUUUGAAAAAUAAACUUCGAUUGUAUUUCAUUUUUUCCGUUAAUUUACGCAACCUAAAACUCUAUUCGUUAAUUAGCGUAGUUUGACGUCUUUUUUGAAAAAUAAACUUAGAAAUGCAUAUAUACAAUUACAACGCUUUACUCUCAGGUGCGAUCAUACCAGCACUAAUGCUCGGAUCCCAUCAGAACUCGCAGUUAAGCGUGCUUGGCGAGAGUAGUACUAGGAUGGGUGACCUCCUGGGAAGUCCUUGUGUUGCACCUCUUUUUGCCAAAAUUUUACGUCGCUUUUGAAAAAUAAACUUCGAUUGUAUUUCAUUUUUUCCGUUAAUUUACGCAACCUAAAACUCUAUUCGUUAAUUAGCGUAGUUUGACGUCUUUUUUGAAAAAUAAACUUAGAAAUGCAUAUAUACAAUUACAACGCUUUACUCUCAGGUGCGAUCAUACCAGCACUAAUGCUUCGGAUCCCAUCAGAACUACGCAGCUAAGCGUGCUUGGUCGAGAGUAGUACUAGGAUGGGUGACCUCCUGGGAAGUCCUUGUGUUGCACCUCUUUUUGCCAAAAUUUUACGUCGCUUUUGAAAAAUAAACUUCGAUUGUAUUUCAUUUUUUCCGUUAAUUUACGCAACCUAAAACUCUAUUCGUUAAUUAGCGUAGUUUGACGUCUUUUUUGAAAAAUAAACUUAGAAAUGCAUAUAUACAAUUACAACGCUUUACUCUCAGGUGCGAUCAUACCAGCACUAAUGCACCGAUCCCAUCAGAACUCGCAGUUAAGCGUGCUUGGCGAGAGUAGUACUAGGAUGGGUGACCUCCUGGGAAGUCCUUGUGUUGCACCUCUUUUUGCCAAAAUUUUACGUCGCUUUUGAAAAAUAAACUUCGAUUGUAUUUCAUUUUUUCCGUUAAUUUACGCAACCUAAAACUCUAUUCGUUAAUUAGCGUAGUUUGACGUCUUUUUUGAAAAAUAAACUUAGAAAUGCAUAUAUACAAUUACAACGCUUUACUCUCAGGUGCGAUCAUACCAGCACUAAUGCACCGGAUCCCAUCAGAACUUCGCAGUUAAGCGUGCUUGGUCGAGAGUAGUACUAGGAUGGGUGACCUCCUGGGAAGUCCUUGUGUUGCACCUCUUUUUGCCAAAAUUUUACGUCGCUUUUGAAAAAUAAACUUCGAUUGUAUUUCAUUUUUUCCGUUAAUUUACGCAACCUAAAACUCUAUUCGUUAAUUAGCGUAGUUUGACGUCUUUUUUGAAAAAUAAACUUAGAAAUGCAUAUAUACAAUUACAACGCUUUACUCUCAGGUGCGAUCAUACCAGCACUAAUGCUCGGAUCCCAUCAGAACUCGCAGUAAGCGUGCUUGGCGAGAGUAGUACUAGGAUGGGUGACCUCCUGGGAAGUCCUUGUGUUGCACCUCUUUUUGCCAAAAUUUUACGUCGCUUUUGAAAAAUAAACUUCGAUUGUAUUUCAUUUUUUCCGUUAAUUUACGCAACCUAAAACUCUAUUCGUUAAUUAGCGUAGUUUGACGUCUUUUUUGAAAAAUAAACUUAGAAAUGCAUAUAUACAAUUACAACGCUUUACUCUCAGGUGCGAUCAUACCAGCACUAAUGCACCGGAUCCCAUCAGAACUCGCAGUUAAGCGUGCUUGGGCGAGAGUAGUACUAGGAUGGGUGACCUCCUGGGAAGUCCUUGUGUUGCACCUCUUUUUGCCAAAAUUUUACGUCGCUUUUGAAAAAUAAACUUCGAUUGUAUUUCAUUUUUUCCGUUAAUUUACGCAACCUAAAACUCUAUUCGUUAAUUAGCGUAGUUUGACGUCUUUUUUGAAAAAUAAACUUAGAAAUGCAUAUAUACAAUUACAACGCUUUACUCUCAGGUGCGAUCAUACCAGCACUAAUGCACCGGAUCCCAUCAGAACUCGCAGUUAAGCGUGCUUGGCGAGAGUAGUACUAGGAUGGGUGACCUCCUGGGAAGUCCUUGUGUUGCACCUCUUUUUGCCAAAAUUUUACGUCGCUUUUGAAAAAUAAACUUCGAUUGUAUUUCAUUUUUUCCGUUAAUUUACGCAACCUAAAACUCUAUUCGUUAAUUAGCGUAGUUUGACGUCUUUUUUGAAAAAUAAACUUAGAAAUGCAUAUAUACAAUUACAACGCUUUACUCUCAGGUGCGAUCAUACCAGCACUAAUGCACCGGAUCCCAUCAGAACUCGCAGUAAGCGUGCUUGGCGAGAGUAGUACUAGGAUGGGUGACCUCCUGGGAAGUCCUUGUGUUGCACCUCUUUUUGCCAAAAUUUUACGUCGCUUUUGAAAAAUAAACUUCGAUUGUAUUUCAUUUUUUCCGUUAAUUUACGCAACCUAAAACUCUAUUCGUUAAUUAGCGUAGUUUGACGUCUUUUUUGAAAAAUAAACUUAGAAAUGCAUAUAUACAAUUACAACGCUUUACUCUCAGGUGCGAUCAUACCAGCACUAAAUCCCAUCAGAACUACGCAGCUAAGCGUGCUUGGUCGAGAGUAGUACUAGGAUGGGUGACCUCCUGGGAAGUCCUUGUGUUGCACCUCUUUUUGCCAAAAUUUUACGUCGCUUUUGAAAAAUAAACUUCGAUUGUAUUUCAUUUUUUCCGUUAAUUUACGCAACCUAAAACUCUAUUCGUUAAUUAGCGUAGUUUGACGUCUUUUUUGAAAAAUAAACUUAGAAAUGCAUAUAUACAAUUACAACGCUUUACUCUCAGGUGCGAUCAUACCAGCACUAAUGCCCGGAUCCCAUCAGAACUCGCAGUAAGCGUGCUUGGCGAGAGUAGUACUAGGAUGGGUGACCUCCUGGGAAGUCCUUGUGUUGCACCUCUUUUUGCCAAAAUUUUACGUCGCUUUUGAAAAAUAAACUUCGAUUGUAUUUCAUUUUUUCCGUUAAUUUACGCAACCUAAAACUCUAUUCGUUAAUUAGCGUAGUUUGACGUCUUUUUUGAAAAAUAAACUUAGAAAUGCAUAUAUACAAUUACAACGCUUUACUCUCAGGUGCGAUCAUACCAGCACUAAUGCACCGAUCCCAUCAGAACUCGCAGUAAGCGUGCUUGGCGAGAGUAGUACUAGGAUGGGUGACCUCCUGGGAAGUCCUUGUGUUGCACCUCUUUUUGCCAAAAUUUUACGUCGCUUUUGAAAAAUAAACUUCGAUUGUAUUUCAUUUUUUCCGUUAAUUUACGCAACCUAAAACUCUAUUCGUUAAUUAGCGUAGUUUGACGUCUUUUUUGAAAAAUAAACUUAGAAAUGCAUAUAUACAAUUACAACGCUUUACUCUCAGGUGCGAUCAUACCAGCACUAAUGCUUCGGAUCCCAUCAGAACUCGCAGCUAAGCGUGCUUGGUCGAGAGUAGUACUAGGAUGGGUGACCUCCUGGGAAGUCCUUGUGUUGCACCUCUUUUUGCCAAAAUUUUACGUCGCUUUUGAAAAAUAAACUUCGAUUGUAUUUCAUUUUUUCCGUUAAUUUACGCAACCUAAAACUCUAUUCGUUAAUUAGCGUAGUUUGACGUCUUUUUUGAAAAAUAAACUUAGAAAUGCAUAUAUACAAUUACAACGCUUUACUCUCAGGUGCGAUCAUACCAGCACUAAUGCACCGAUCCCAUCAGAACUCGCAGUUAAGCGUGCUUGGCGAGAGUAGUACUAGGAUGGGUGACCUCCUGGGAAGUCCUUGUGUUGCACCUCUUUUUGCCAAAAUUUUACGUCGCUUUUGAAAAAUAAACUUCGAUUGUAUUUCAUUUUUUCCGUUAAUUUACGCAACCUAAAACUCUAUUCGUUAAUUAGCGUAGUUUGACGUCUUUUUUGAAAAAUAAACUUAGAAAUGCAUAUAUACAAUUACAACGCUUUACUCUCAGGUGCGAUCAUACCAGCACUAAUGCACCGAUCCCAUCAGAACUCGCAGUAAGCGUGCUUGGCGAGAGUAGUACUAGGAUGGGUGACCUCCUGGGAAGUCCUUGUGUUGCACCUCUUUUUGCCAAAAUUUUACGUCGCUUUUGAAAAAUAAACUUCGAUUGUAUUUCAUUUUUUCCGUUAAUUUACGCAACCUAAAACUCUAUUCGUUAAUUAGCGUAGUUUGACGUCUUUUUUGAAAAAUAAACUUAGAAAUGCAUAUAUACAAUUACAACGCUUUACUCUCAGGUGCGAUCAUACCAGCACUAAUGCUUCGGAUCCCAUCAGAACUCGCAGCUAAGCGUGCUUGGCGAGAGUAGUACUAGGAUGGGUGACCUCCUGGGAAGUCCUUGUGUUGCACCUCUUUUUGCCAAAAUUUUACGUCGCUUUUGAAAAAUAAACUUCGAUUGUAUUUCAUUUUUUCCGUUAAUUUACGCAACCUAAAACUCUAUUCGUUAAUUAGCGUAGUUUGACGUCUUUUUUGAAAAAUAAACUUAGAAAUGCAUAUAUACAAUUACAACGCUUUACUCUCAGGUGCGAUCAUACCAGCACUAAUGCACCGGAUCCCAUCAGAACUCGCAGUUAAGCGUGCUUGGCGAGAGUAGUACUAGGAUGGGUGACCUCCUGGGAAGUCCUUGUGUUGCACCUCUUUUUGCCAAAAUUUUACGUCGCUUUUGAAAAAUAAACUUCGAUUGUAUUUCAUUUUUUCCGUUAAUUUACGCAACCUAAAACUCUAUUCGUUAAUAGCGUAGUUUGACGUCUUUUUUGAAAAAUAAACUUAGAAAUGCAUAUAUACAAUUACAACGCUUUACUCUCAGGUGCGAUCAUACCAGCACUAAUGCUUCGGAUCCCAUCAGAACUACGCAGCUAAGCGUGCUUGGUCGAGAGUAGUACUAGGAUGGGUGACCUCCUGGGAAGUCCUUGUGUUGCACCUCUUUUUGCCAAAAUUUUACGUCGCUUUUGAAAAAUAAACUUCGAUUGUAUUUCAUUUUUUCCGUUAAUUUACGCAACCUAAAACUCUAUUCGUUAAUUAGCGUAGUUUGACGUCUUUUUUGAAAAAUAAACUUAGAAAUGCAUAUAUACAAUUACAACGCUUUACUCUCAGGUGCGAUCAUACCAGCACUAAUGCUUCGGAUCCCAUCAGAACUACGCAGCUAAGCGUGCUUGGUCGAGAGUAGUACUAGGAUGGGUGACCUCCUGGGAAGUCCUUGUGUUGCACCUCUUUUUGCCAAAAUUUUACGUCGCUUUUGAAAAAUAAACUUCGAUUGUAUUUCAUUUUUUCCGUUAAUUUACGCAACCUAAAACUCUAUUCGUUAAUUAGCGUAGUUUGACGUCUUUUUUGAAAAAUAAACUUAGAAAUGCAUAUAUACAAUUACAACGCUUUACUCUCAGGUGCGAUCAUACCAGCACUAAUGCCCGGAUCCCAUCAGAACUCGCAGUUAAGCGUGCUUGGCGAGAGUAGUACUAGGAUGGGUGACCUCCUGGGAAGUCCUUGUGUUGCACCUCUUUUUGCCAAAAUUUUACGUCGCUUUUGAAAAAUAAACUUCGAUUGUAUUUCAUUUUUUCCGUUAAUUUACGCAACCUAAAACUCUAUUCGUUAAUUAGCGUAGUUUGACGUCUUUUUUGAAAAAUAAACUUAGAAAUGCAUAUAUACAAUUACAACGCUUUACUCUCAGGUGCGAUCAUACCAGCACUAAUGCUUCGGAUCCCAUCAGAACUCGCAGUAAGCGUGCUUGGCGAGAGUAGUACUAGGAUGGGUGACCUCCUGGGAAGUCCUUGUGUUGCACCUCUUUUUGCCAAAAUUUUACGUCGCUUUUGAAAAAUAAACUUCGAUUGUAUUUCAUUUUUUCCGUUAAUUUACGCAACCUAAAACUCUAUUCGUUAAUUAGCGUAGUUUGACGUCUUUUUUGAAAAAUAAACUUAGAAAUGCAUAUAUACAAUUACAACGCUUUACUCUCAGGUGCGAUCAUACCAGCACUAAUGCUUCGGAUCCCAUCAGAACUACGCAGCUAAGCGUGCUUGGUCGAGAGUAGUACUAGGAUGGGUGACCUCCUGGGAAGUCCUUGUGUUGCACCUCUUUUUGCCAAAAUUUUACGUCGCUUUUGAAAAAUAAACUUCGAUUGUAUUUCAUUUUUUCCGUUAAUUUACGCAACCUAAAACUCUAUUCGUUAAUUAGCGUAGUUUGACGUCUUUUUUGAAAAAUAAACUUAGAAAUGCAUAUAUACAAUUACAACGCUUUACUCUCAGGUGCGAUCAUACCAGCACUAAUGCACCGGAUCCCAUCAGAACUCGCAGCUAAGCGUGCUUGGCGAGAGUAGUACUAGGAUGGGUGACCUCCUGGGAAGUCCUUGUGUUGCACCUCUUUUUGCCAAAAUUUUACGUCGCUUUUGAAAAAUAAACUUCGAUUGUAUUUCAUUUUUUCCGUUAAUUUACGCAACCUAAAACUCUAUUCGUUAAUUAGCGUAGUUUGACGUCUUUUUUGAAAAAUAAACUUAGAAAUGCAUAUAUACAAUUACAACGCUUUACUCUCAGGUGCGAUCAUACCAGCACUAAUGCUUCGGAUCCCAUCAGAACUACGCAGCUAAGCGUGCUUGGUCGAGAGUAGUACUAGGAUGGGUGACCUCCUGGGAAGUCCUUGUGUUGCACCUCUUUUUGCCAAAAUUUUACGUCGCUUUUGAAAAAUAAACUUCGAUUGUAUUUCAUUUUUUCCGUUAAUUUACGCAACCUAAAACUCUAUUCGUUAAUUAGCGUAGUUUGACGUCUUUUUUGAAAAAUAAACUUAGAAAUGCAUAUAUACAAUUACAACGCUUUACUCUCAGGUGCGAUCAUACCAGCACUAAUGCUUCGGAUCCCAUCAGAACUACGCAGCUAAGCGUGCUUGGUCGAGAGUAGUACUAGGAUGGGUGACCUCCUGGGAAGUCCUUGUGUUGCACCUCUUUUUGCCAAAAUUUUACGUCGCUUUUGAAAAAUAAACUUCGAUUGUAUUUCAUUUUUUCCGUUAAUUUACGCAACCUAAAACUCUAUUCGUUAAUUAGCGUAGUUUGACGUCUUUUUUGAAAAAUAAACUUAGAAAUGCAUAUAUACAAUUACAACGCUUUACUCUCAGGUGCGAUCAUACCAGCACUAAUGCUCGGAUCCCAUCAGAACUCGCAGCUAAGCGUGCUUGGCGAGAGUAGUACUAGGAUGGGUGACCUCCUGGGAAGUCCUUGUGUUGCACCUCUUUUUGCCAAAAUUUUACGUCGCUUUUGAAAAAUAAACUUCGAUUGUAUUUCAUUUUUUCCGUUAAUUUACGCAACCUAAAACUCUAUUCGUUAAUUAGCGUAGUUUGACGUCUUUUUUGAAAAAUAAACUUAGAAAUGCAUAUAUACAAUUACAACGCUUUACUCUCAGGUGCGAUCAUACCAGCACUAAUGCUUCGGAUCCCAUCAGAACUACGCAGCUAAGCGUGCUUGGUCGAGAGUAGUACUAGGAUGGGUGACCUCCUGGGAAGUCCUUGUGUUGCACCUCUUUUUGCCAAAAUUUUACGUCGCUUUUGAAAAAUAAACUUCGAUUGUAUUUCAUUUUUUCCGUUAAUUUACGCAACCUAAAACUCUAUUCGUUAAUUAGCGUAGUUUGACGUCUUUUUUGAAAAAUAAACUUAGAAAUGCAUAUAUACAAUUACAACGCUUUACUCUCAGGUGCGAUCAUACCAGCACUAAUGCUUCGGAUCCCAUCAGAACUACGCAGCUAAGCGUGCUUGGUCGAGAGUAGUACUAGGAUGGGUGACCUCCUGGGAAGUCCUUGUGUUGCACCUCUUUUUGCCAAAAUUUUACGUCGCUUUUGAAAAAUAAACUUCGAUUGUAUUUCAUUUUUUCCGUUAAUUUACGCAACCUAAAACUCUAUUCGUUAAUUAGCGUAGUUUGACGUCUUUUUUGAAAAAUAAACUUAGAAAUGCAUAUAUACAAUUACAACGCUUUACUCUCAGGUGCGAUCAUACCAGCACUAAUGCACGGAUCCCAUCAGAACUACGCAGCUAAGCGUGCUUGGCGAGAGUAGUACUAGGAUGGGUGACCUCCUAGGAAGUCCUUGUGUUGCACCUCUUUUUGCCAAAAUUUUACGUCGCUUUUGAAAAAUAAACUUCGAUUGUAUUUCAUUUUUUCCGUUAAUUUACGCAACCUAAAACUCUAUUCGUUAAUUAGCGUAGUUUGACGUCUUUUUUGAAAAAUAAACUUAGAAAUGCAUAUAUACAAUUACAACGCUUUACUCUCAGGUGCGAUCAUACCAGCACUAAUGCUUCGGAUCCCAUCAGAACUACGCAGCUAAGCGUGCUUGGCGAGAGUAGUACUAGGAUGGGUGACCUCCUGGGAAGUCCUUGUGUUGCACCUCUUUUUGCCAAAAUUUUACGUCGCUUUUGAAAAAUAAACUUCGAUUGUAUUUCAUUUUUUCCGUUAAUUUACGCAACCUAAAACUCUAUUCGUUAAUUAGCGUAGUUUGACGUCUUUUUUGAAAAAUAAACUUAGAAAUGCAUAUAUACAAUUACAACGCUUUACUCUCAGGUGCGAUCAUACCAGCACUAAUGCUUCGGAUCCCAUCAGAACUACGCAGCUAAGCGUGCUUGGUCGAGAGUAGUACUAGGAUGGGUGACCUCCUGGGAAGUCCUUGUGUUGCACCUCUUUUUGCCAAAAUUUUACGUCGCUUUUGAAAAAUAAACUUCGAUUGUAUUUCAUUUUUUCCGUUAAUUUACGCAACCUAAAACUCUAUUCGUUAAUUAGCGUAGUUUGACGUCUUUUUUGAAAAAUAAACUUAGAAAUGCAUAUAUACAAUUACAACGCUUUACUCUCAGGUGCGAUCAUACCAGCACUAAUGCUUCGGAUCCCAUCAGAACUCGCAGCUAAGCGUGCUUGGUCGAGAGUAGUACUAGGAUGGGUGACCUCCUGGGAAGUCCUUGUGUUGCACCUCUUUUUGCCAAAAUUUUACGUCGCUUUUGAAAAAUAAACUUCGAUUGUAUUUCAUUUUUUCCGUUAAUUUACGCAACCUAAAACUCUAUUCGUUAAUUAGCGUAGUUUGACGUCUUUUUUGAAAAAUAAACUUAGAAAUGCAUAUAUACAAUUACAACGCUUUACUCUCAGGUGCGAUCAUACCAGCACUAAUGCCCGGAUCCCAUCAGAACUCGCAGUAAGCGUGCUUGGCGAGAGUAGUACUAGGAUGGGUGACCUCCUGGGAAGUCCUUGUGUUGCACCUCUUUUUGCCAAAAUUUUACGUCGCUUUUGAAAAAUAAACUUCGAUUGUAUUUCAUUUUUUCCGUUAAUUUACGCAACCUAAAACUCUAUUCGUUAAUUAGCGUAGUUUGACGUCUUUUUUGAAAAAUAAACUUAGAAAUGCAUAUAUACAAUUACAACGCUUUACUCUCAGGUGCGAUCAUACCAGCACUAAUGCUUCGGAUCCCAUCAGAACUACGCAGCUAAGCGUGCUUGGCGAGAGUAGUACUAGGAUGGGUGACCUCCUGGGAAGUCCUUGUGUUGCACCUCUUUUUGCCAAAAUUUUACGUCGCUUUUGAAAAAUAAACUUCGAUUGUAUUUCAUUUUUUCCGUUAAUUUACGCAACCUAAAACUCUAUUCGUUAAUUAGCGUAGUUUGACGUCUUUUUUGAAAAAUAAACUUAGAAAUGCAUAUAUACAAUUACAACGCUUUACUCUCAGGUGCGAUCAUACCAGCACUAAUGCUUCGGAUCCCAUCAGAACUACGCAGCUAAGCGUGCUUGGUCGAGAGUAGUACUAGGAUGGGUGACCUCCUGGGAAGUCCUUGUGUUGCACCUCUUUUUGCCAAAAUUUUACGUCGCUUUUGAAAAAUAAACUUCGAUUGUAUUUCAUUUUUUCCGUUAAUUUACGCAACCUAAAACUCUAUUCGUUAAUUAGCGUAGUUUGACGUCUUUUUUGAAAAAUAAACUUAGAAAUGCAUAUAUACAAUUACAACGCUUUACUCUCAGGUGCGAUCAUACCAGCACUAAUGCACGGAUCCCAUCAGAACUACGCAGCUAAGCGUGCUUGGCGAGAGUAGUACUAGGAUGGGUGACCUCCUAGGAAGUCCUUGUGUUGCACCUCUUUUUGCCAAAAUUUUACGUCGCUUUUGAAAAAUAAACUUCGAUUGUAUUUCAUUUUUUCCGUUAAUUUACGCAACCUAAAACUCUAUUCGUUAAUUAGCGUAGUUUGACGUCUUUUUUGAAAAAUAAACUUAGAAAUGCAUAUAUACAAUUACAACGCUUUACUCUCAGGUGCGAUCAUACCAGCACUAAUGCUUCGGAUCCCAUCAGAACUACGCAGCUAAGCGUGCUUGGCGAGAGUAGUACUAGGAUGGGUGACCUCCUGGGAAGUCCUUGUGUUGCACCUCUUUUUGCCAAAAUUUUACGUCGCUUUUGAAAAAUAAACUUCGAUUGUAUUUCAUUUUUUCCGUUAAUUUACGCAACCUAAAACUCUAUUCGUUAAUUAGCGUAGUUUGACGUCUUUUUUGAAAAAUAAACUUAGAAAUGCAUAUAUACAAUUACAACGCUUUACUCUCAGGUGCGAUCAUACCAGCACUAAUGCUUCGGAUCCCAUCAGAACUACGCAGCUAAGCGUGCUUGGUCGAGAGUAGUACUAGGAUGGGUGACCUCCUGGGAAGUCCUUGUGUUGCACCUCUUUUUGCCAAAAUUUUACGUCGCUUUUGAAAAAUAAACUUCGAUUGUAUUUCAUUUUUUCCGUUAAUUUACGCAACCUAAAACUCUAUUCGUUAAUUAGCGUAGUUUGACGUCUUUUUUGAAAAAUAAACUUAGAAAUGCAUAUAUACAAUUACAACGCUUUACUCUCAGGUGCGAUCAUACCAGCACUAAUGCUUCGGAUCCCAUCAGAACUACGCUGUUAAGCGUGCUUGGGCGAGAGUAGUACUAGGAUGGGUGACCUCCUGGGAAGUCCUUGUGUUGCACCUCUUUUUGCCAAAAUUUUACGUCGCUUUUGAAAAAUAAACUUCGAUUGUAUUUCAUUUUUUCCGUUAAUUUACGCAACCUAAAACUCUAUUCGUUAAAUAUCGUAGUUUGACGUCUUUUUUGAAAAAUAAACUUAGAAAUGCAUAUAUACAAUUACAACGCUUUACUCUCAGGUGCGAUCAUACCAGCACUAAUGCUUCGGAUCCCAUCAGAACUACGCAGCUAAGCGUGCUUGGUCGAGAGUAGUACUAGGAUGGGUGACCUCCUGGGAAGUCCUUGUGUUGCACCUCUUUUUGCCAAAAUUUUACGUCGCUUUUGAAAAAUAAACUUCGAUUGUAUUUCAUUUUUUCCGUUAAUUUACGCAACCUAAAACUCUAUUCGUUAAUUAGCGUAGUUUGACGUCUUUUUUGAAAAAUAAACUUAGAAAUGCAUAUAUACAAUUACAACGCUUUACUCUCAGGUGCGAUCAUACCAGCACUAAUGCUUCGGAUCCCAUCAGAACUACGCAGCUAAGCGUGCUUGGUCGAGAGUAGUACUAGGAUGGGUGACCUCCUGGGAAGUCCUUGUGUUGCACCUCUUUUUGCCAAAAUUUUACGUCGCUUUUGAAAAAUAAACUUCGAUUGUAUUUCAUUUUUUCCGUUAAUUUACGCAACCUAAAACUCUAUUCGUUAAUUAGCGUAGUUUGACGUCUUUUUUGAAAAAUAAACUUAGAAAUGCAUAUAUACAAUUACAACGCUUUACUCUCAGGUGCGAUCAUACCAGCACUAAUGCACCGAUCCCAUCAGAACUCGCAGUUAAGCGUGCUUGGCGAGAGUAGUACUAGGAUGGGUGACCUCCUGGGAAGUCCUUGUGUUGCACCUCUUUUUGCCAAAAUUUUACGUCGCUUUUGAAAAAUAAACUUCGAUUGUAUUUCAUUUUUUCCGUUAAUUUACGCAACCUAAAACUCUAUUCGUUAAAUAUCGUAGUUUGACGUCUUUUUUGAAAAAUAAACUUAGAAAUGCAUAUAUACAAUUACAACGCUUUACUCUCAGGUGCGAUCAUACCAGCACUAAUGCUUCGGAUCCCAUCAGAACUACGCAGCUAAGCGUGCUUGGUCGAGAGUAGUACUAGGAUGGGUGACCUCCUGGGAAGUCCUUGUGUUGCACCUCUUUUUGCCAAAAUUUUACGUCGCUUUUGAAAAAUAAACUUCGAUUGUAUUUCAUUUUUUCCGUUAAUUUACGCAACCUAAAACUCUAUUCGUUAAUUAGCGUAGUUUGACGUCUUUUUUGAAAAAUAAACUUAGAAAUGCAUAUAUACAAUUACAACGCUUUACUCUCAGGUGCGAUCAUACCAGCACUAAUGCUUCGGAUCCCAUCAGAACUACGCAGCUAAGCGUGCUUGGUCGAGAGUAGUACUAGGAUGGGUGACCUCCUGGGAAGUCCUUGUGUUGCACCUCUUUUUGCCAAAAUUUUACGUCGCUUUUGAAAAAUAAACUUCGAUUGUAUUUCAUUUUUUCCGUUAAUUUACGCAACCUAAAACUCUAUUCGUUAAUUAGCGUAGUUUGACGUCUUUUUUGAAAAAUAAACUUAGACAUGCAUAUAUACAAUUACAACGCUUUACUCUCAGGUGCGAUCAUACCAGCACUAAUGCUCGGAUCCCAUCAGAACUACGCAGUUAAGCGUGCUUGGUCGAGAGUAGUACUAGGAUGGGUGACCUCCUGGGAAGUCCUUGUGUUGCACCUCUUUUUGCCAAAAUUUUACGUCGCUUUUGAAAAAUAAACUUCGAUUGUAUUUCAUUUUUUCCGUUAAUUUACGCAACCUAAAACUCUAUUCGUUAAAUAUCGUAGUUUGACGUCUUUUUUGAAAAAUAAACUUAGAAAUGCAUAUAUACAAUUACAACGCUUUACUCUCAGGUGCGAUCAUACCAGCACUAAUGCUUCGGAUCCCAUCAGAACUACGCAGCUAAGCGUGCUUGGUCGAGAGUAGUACUAGGAUGGGUGACCUCCUGGGAAGUCCUUGUGUUGCACCUCUUUUUGCCAAAAUUUUACGUCGCUUUUGAAAAAUAAACUUCGAUUGUAUUUCAUUUUUUCCGUUAAUUUACGCAACCUAAAACUCUAUUCGUUAAUUAGCGUAGUUUGACGUCUUUUUUGAAAAAUAAACUUAGAAAUGCAUAUAUACAAUUACAACGCUUUACUCUCAGGUGCGAUCAUACCAGCACUAAUGCUUCGGAUCCCAUCAGAACUACGCAGCUAAGCGUGCUUGGCGAGAGUAGUACUAGGAUGGGUGACCUCCUGGGAAGUCCUUGUGUUGCACCUCUUUUUGCCAAAAUUUUACGUCGCUUUUGAAAAAUAAACUUCGAUUGUAUUUCAUUUUUUCCGUUAAUUUACGCAACCUAAAACUCUAUUCGUUAAUUAGCGUAGUUUGACGUCUUUUUUGAAAAAUAAACUUAGAAAUGCAUAUAUACAAUUACAACGCUUUACUCUCAGGUGCGAUCAUACCAGCACUAAUGCUUCGGAUCCCAUCAGAACUACGCAGCUAAGCGUGCUUGGUCGAGAGUAGUACUAGGAUGGGUGACCUCCUGGGAAGUCCUUGUGUUGCACCUCUUUUUGCCAAAAUUUUACGUCGCUUUUGAAAAAUAAACUUCGAUUGUAUUUCAUUUUUUCCGUUAAUUUACGCAACCUAAAACUCUAUUCGUUAAUUAGCGUAGUUUGACGUCUUUUUUGAAAAAUAAACUUAGAAAUGCAUAUAUACAAUUACAACGCUUUACUCUCAGGUGCGAUCAUACCAGCACUAAUGCUCGGAUCCCAUCAGAACUCGCAGUAAGCGUGCUUGGCGAGAGUAGUACUAGGAUGGGUGACCUCCUGGGAAGUCCUUGUGUUGCACCUCUUUUUGCCAAAAUUUUACGUCGCUUUUGAAAAAUAAACUUCGAUUGUAUUUCAUUUUUUCCGUUAAUUUACGCAACCUAAAACUCUAUUCGUUAAAUAUCGUAGUUUGACGUCUUUUUUGAAAAAUAAACUUAGAAAUGCAUAUAUACAAUUACAACGCUUUACUCUCAGGUGCGAUCAUACCAGCACUAAUGCUUCGGAUCCCAUCAGAACUACGCAGCUAAGCGUGCUUGGUCGAGAGUAGUACUAGGAUGGGUGACCUCCUGGGAAGUCCUUGUGUUGCACCUCUUUUUGCCAAAAUUUUACGUCGCUUUUGAAAAAUAAACUUCGAUUGUAUUUCAUUUUUUCCGUUAAUUUACGCAACCUAAAACUCUAUUCGUUAAUUAGCGUAGUUUGACGUCUUUUUUGAAAAAUAAACUUAGAAAUGCAUAUAUACAAUUACAACGCUUUACUCUCAGGUGCGAUCAUACCAGCACUAAUGCUUCGGAUCCCAUCAGAACUACGCAGCUAAGCGUGCUUGGCGAGAGUAGUACUAGGAUGGGUGACCUCCUGGGAAGUCCUUGUGUUGCACCUCUUUUUGCCAAAAUUUUACGUCGCUUUUGAAAAAUAAACUUCGAUUGUAUUUCAUUUUUUCCGUUAAUUUACGCAACCUAAAACUCUAUUCGUUAAUUAGCGUAGUUUGACGUCUUUUUUGAAAAAUAAACUUAGAAAUGCAUAUAUACAAUUACAACGCUUUACUCUCAGGUGCGAUCAUACCAGCACUAAUGCUUCGGAUCCCAUCAGAACUACGCAGCUAAGCGUGCUUGGUCGAGAGUAGUACUAGGAUGGGUGACCUCCUGGGAAGUCCUUGUGUUGCACCUCUUUUUGCCAAAAUUUUACGUCGCUUUUGAAAAAUAAACUUCGAUUGUAUUUCAUUUUUUCCGUUAAUUUACGCAACCUAAAACUCUAUUCGUUAAUAUCGUAGUUUGACGUCUUUUUUGAAAAAUAAACUUAGAAAUGCAUAUAUACAAUUACAACGCUUUACUCUCAGGUGCGAUCAUACCAGCACUAAUGCUUCGGAUCCCAUCAGAACUACGCAGCUAAGCGUGCUUGGUCGAGAGUAGUACUAGGAUGGGUGACCUCCUGGGAAGUCCUUGUGUUGCACCUCUUUUUGCCAAAAUUUUACGUCGCUUUUGAAAAAUAAACUUCGAUUGUAUUUCAUUUUUUCCGUUAAUUUACGCAACCUAAAACUCUAUUCGUUAAUUAGCGUAGUUUGACGUCUUUUUUGAAAAAUAAACUUAGAAAUGCAUAUAUACAAUUACAACGCUUUACUCUCAGGUGCGAUCAUACCAGCACUAAUGCUUCGGAUCCCAUCAGAACUACGCAGCUAAGCGUGCUUGGCGAGAGUAGUACUAGGAUGGGUGACCUCCUGGGAAGUCCUUGUGUUGCACCUCUUUUUGCCAAAAUUUUACGUCGCUUUUGAAAAAUAAACUUCGAUUGUAUUUCAUUUUUUCCGUUAAUUUACGCAACCUAAAACUCUAUUCGUUAAUUAGCGUAGUUUGACGUCUUUUUUGAAAAAUAAACUUAGAAAUGCAUAUAUACAAUUACAACGCUUUACUCUCAGGUGCGAUCAUACCAGCACUAAUGCACCGAUCCCAUCAGAACUCGCAGUAAGCGUGCUUGGCGAGAGUAGUACUAGGAUGGGUGACCUCCUGGGAAGUCCUUGUGUUGCACCUCUUUUUGCCAAAAUUUUACGUCGCUUUUGAAAAAUAAACUUCGAUUGUAUUUCAUUUUUUCCGUUAAUUUACGCAACCUAAAACUCUAUUCGUUAAUAUCGUAGUUUGACGUCUUUUUUGAAAAAUAAACUUAGAAAUGCAUAUAUACAAUUACAACGCUUUACUCUCAGGUGCGAUCAUACCAGCACUAAUGCUUCGGAUCCCAUCAGAACUACGCAGCUAAGCGUGCUUGGUCGAGAGUAGUACUAGGAUGGGUGACCUCCUGGGAAGUCCUUGUGUUGCACCUCUUUUUGCCAAAAUUUUACGUCGCUUUUGAAAAAUAAACUUCGAUUGUAUUUCAUUUUUUCCGUUAAUUUACGCAACCUAAAACUCUAUUCGUUAAUUAGCGUAGUUUGACGUCUUUUUUGAAAAAUAAACUUAGAAAUGCAUAUAUACAAUUACAACGCUUUACUCUCAGGUGCGAUCAUACCAGCACUAAUGCUUCGGAUCCCAUCAGAACUACGCAGCUAAGCGUGCUUGGCGAGAGUAGUACUAGGAUGGGUGACCUCCUGGGAAGUCCUUGUGUUGCACCUCUUUUUGCCAAAAUUUUACGUCGCUUUUGAAAAAUAAACUUCGAUUGUAUUUCAUUUUUUCCGUUAAUUUACGCAACCUAAAACUCUAUUCGUUAAUAUCGUAGUUUGACGUCUUUUUUGAAAAAUAAACUUAGAAAUGCAUAUAUACAAUUACAACGCUUUACUCUCAGGUGCGAUCAUACCAGCACUAAUGCUUCGGAUCCCAUCAGAACUACGCAGCUAAGCGUGCUUGGUCGAGAGUAGUACUAGGAUGGGUGACCUCCUGGGAAGUCCUUGUGUUGCACCUCUUUUUGCCAAAAUUUUACGUCGCUUUUGAAAAAUAAACUUCGAUUGUAUUUCAUUUUUUCCGUUAAUUUACGCAACCUAAAACUCUAUUCGUUAAUUAGCGUAGUUUGACGUCUUUUUUGAAAAAUAAACUUAGAAAUGCAUAUAUACAAUUACAACGCUUUACUCUCAGGUGCGAUCAUACCAGCACUAAUGCUCGGAUCCCAUCAGAACUACGCAGCUAAGCGUGCUUGGUCGAGAGUAGUACUAGGAUGGGUGACCUCCUGGGAAGUCCUUGUGUUGCACCUCUUUUUGCCAAAAUUUUACGUCGCUUUUGAAAAAUAAACUUCGAUUGUAUUUCAUUUUUUCCGUUAAUUUACGCAACCUAAAACUCUAUUCGUUAAUUAGCGUAGUUUGACGUCUUUUUUGAAAAAUAAACUUAGAAAUGCAUAUAUACAAUUACAACGCUUUACUCUCAGGUGCGAUCAUACCAGCACUAAUGCUCGGAUCCCAUCAGAACUACGCAGCUAAGCGUGCUUGGUCGAGAGUAGUACUAGGAUGGGUGACCUCCUGGGAAGUCCUUGUGUUGCACCUCUUUUUGCCAAAAUUUUACGUCGCUUUUGAAAAAUAAACUUCGAUUGUAUUUCAUUUUUUCCGUUAAUUUACGCAACCUAAAACUCUAUUCGUUAAUUAGCGUAGUUUGACGUCUUUUUUGAAAAAUAAACUUAGAAAUGCAUAUAUACAAUUACAACGCUUUACUCUCAGGUGCGAUCAUACCAGCACUAAUGCUUCGGAUCCCAUCAGAACUACGCAGCUAAGCGUGCUUGGUCGAGAGUAGUACUAGGAUGGGUGACCUCCUGGGAAGUCCUUGUGUUGCACCUCUUUUUGCCAAAAUUUUACGUCGCUUUUGAAAAAUAAACUUCGAUUGUAUUUCAUUUUUUCCGUUAAUUUACGCAACCUAAAACUCUAUUCGUUAAUAUCGUAGUUUGACGUCUUUUUUGAAAAAUAAACUUAGAAAUGCAUAUAUACAAUUACAACGCUUUACUCUCAGGUGCGAUCAUACCAGCACUAAUGCUUCGGAUCCCAUCAGAACUACGCAGCUAAGCGUGCUUGGUCGAGAGUAGUACUAGGAUGGGUGACCUCCUGGGAAGUCCUUGUGUUGCACCUCUUUUUGCCAAAAUUUUACGUCGCUUUUGAAAAAUAAACUUCGAUUGUAUUUCAUUUUUUCCGUUAAUUUACGCAACCUAAAACUCUAUUCGUUAAUAUCGUAGUUUGACGUCUUUUUUGAAAAAUAAACUUAGAAAUGCAUAUAUACAAUUACAACGCUUUACUCUCAGGUGCGAUCAUACCAGCACUAAUGCUUCGGAUCCCAUCAGAACUACGCAGCUAAGCGUGCUUGGUCGAGAGUAGUACUAGGAUGGGUGACCUCCUGGGAAGUCCUUGUGUUGCACCUCUUUUUGCCAAAAUUUUACGUCGCUUUUGAAAAAUAAACUUCGAUUGUAUUUCAUUUUUUCCGUUAAUUUACGCAACCUAAAACUCUAUUCGUUAAUUAGCGUAGUUUGACGUCUUUUUUGAAAAAUAAACUUAGAAAUGCAUAUAUACAAUUACAACGCUUUACUCUCAGGUGCGAUCAUACCAGCACUAAUGCUUCGGAUCCCAUCAGAACUACGCAGCUAAGCGUGCUUGGUCGAGAGUAGUACUAGGAUGGGUGACCUCCUGGGAAGUCCUUGUGUUGCACCUCUUUUUGCCAAAAUUUUACGUCGCUUUUGAAAAAUAAACUUCGAUUGUAUUUCAUUUUUUCCGUUAAUUUACGCAACCUAAAACUCUAUUCGUUAAUAGCGUAGUUUGACGUCUUUUUUGAAAAAUAAACUUAGAAAUGCAUAUAUACAAUUACAACGCUUUACUCUCAGGUGCGAUCAUACCAGCACUAAUGCUUCGGAUCCCAUCAGAACUACGCAGCUAAGCGUGCUUGGUCGAGAGUAGUACUAGGAUGGGUGACCUCCUGGGAAGUCCUUGUGUUGCACCUCUUUUUGCCAAAAUUUUACGUCGCUUUUGAAAAAUAAACUUCGAUUGUAUUUCAUUUUUUCCGUUAAUUUACGCAACCUAAAACUCUAUUCGUUAAAUAUCGUAGUUUGACGUCUUUUUUGAAAAAUAAACUUAGAAAUGCAUAUAUACAAUUACAACGCUUUACUCUCAGGUGCGAUCAUACCAGCACUAAUGCUUCGGAUCCCAUCAGAACUACGCAGCUAAGCGUGCUUGGUCGAGAGUAGUACUAGGAUGGGUGACCUCCUGGGAAGUCCUUGUGUUGCACCUCUUUUUGCCAAAAUUUUACGUCGCUUUUGAAAAAUAAACUUCGAUUGUAUUUCAUUUUUUCCGUUAAUUUACGCAACCUAAAACUCUAUUCGUUAAUUACGUAGUUUGACGUCUUUUUUGAAAAAUAAACUUAGAAAUGCAUAUAUACAAUUACAACGCUUUACUCUCAGGUGCGAUCAUACCAGCACUAAUGCUUCGGAUCCCAUCAGAACUACGCAGCUAAGCGUGCUUGGUCGAGAGUAGUACUAGGAUGGGUGACCUCCUGGGAAGUCCUUGUGUUGCACCUCUUUUUGCCAAAAUUUUACGUCGCUUUUGAAAAAUAAACUUCGAUUGUAUUUCAUUUUUUCCGUUAAUUUACGCAACCUAAAACUCUAUUCGUUAAUUAGCGUAGUUUGACGUCUUUUUUGAAAAAUAAACUUAGAAAUGCAUAUAUACAAUUACAACGCUUUACUCUCAGGUGCGAUCAUACCAGCACUAAUGCUUCGGAUCCCAUCAGAACUACGCAGCUAAGCGUGCUUGGUCGAGAGUAGUACUAGGAUGGGUGACCUCCUGGGAAGUCCUUGUGUUGCACCUCUUUUUGCCAAAAUUUUACGUCGCUUUUGAAAAAUAAACUUCGAUUGUAUUUCAUUUUUUCCGUUAAUUUACGCAACCUAAAACUCUAUUCGUUAAAUAUCGUAGUUUGACGUCUUUUUUGAAAAAUAAACUUAGAAAUGCAUAUAUACAAUUACAACGCUUUACUCUCAGGUGCGAUCAUACCAGCACUAAUGCUUCGGAUCCCAUCAGAACUACGCAGCUAAGCGUGCUUGGUCGAGAGUAGUACUAGGAUGGGUGACCUCCUGGGAAGUCCUUGUGUUGCACCUCUUUUUGCCAAAAUUUUACGUCGCUUUUGAAAAAUAAACUUCGAUUGUAUUUCAUUUUUUCCGUUAAUUUACGCAACCUAAAACUCUAUUCGUUAAUUAGCGUAGUUUGACGUCUUUUUUGAAAAAUAAACUUAGAAAUGCAUAUAUACAAUUACAACGCUUUACUCUCAGGUGCGAUCAUACCAGCACUAAUGCUUCGGAUCCCAUCAGAACUACGCAGCUAAGCGUGCUUGGCGAGAGUAGUACUAGGAUGGGUGACCUCCUGGGAAGUCCUUGUGUUGCACCUCUUUUUGCCAAAAUUUUACGUCGCUUUUGAAAAAUAAACUUCGAUUGUAUUUCAUUUUUUCCGUUAAUUUACGCAACCUAAAACUCUAUUCGUUAAUUAGCGUAGUUUGACGUCUUUUUUGAAAAAUAAACUUAGAAAUGCAUAUAUACAAUUACAACGCUUUACUCUCAGGUGCGAUCAUACCAGCACUAAUGCUUCGGAUCCCAUCAGAACUACGCAGCUAAGCGUGCUUGGUCGAGAGUAGUACUAGGAUGGGUGACCUCCUGGGAAGUCCUUGUGUUGCACCUCUUUUUGCCAAAAUUUUACGUCGCUUUUGAAAAAUAAACUUCGAUUGUAUUUCAUUUUUUCCGUUAAUUUACGCAACCUAAAACUCUAUUCGUUAAUUAGCGUAGUUUGACGUCUUUUUUGAAAAAUAAACUUAGAAAUGCAUAUAUACAAUUACAACGCUUUACUCUCAGGUGCGAUCAUACCAGCACUAAUGCACGGAUCCCAUCAGAACUACGCAGCUAAGCGUGCUUGGCGAGAGUAGUACUAGGAUGGGUGACCUCCUGGGAAGUCCUUGUGUUGCACCUCUUUUUGCCAAAAUUUUACGUCGCUUUUGAAAAAUAAACUUCGAUUGUAUUUCAUUUUUUCCGUUAAUUUACGCAACCUAAAACUCUAUUCGUUAAAUAUCGUAGUUUGACGUUUUUUUGAAAAAUAAACUUAGAAAUGCAUAUAUACAAUUACAACGCUUUACUCUCAGGUGCGAUCAUACCAGCACUAAUGCUUCGGAUCCCAUCAGAACUACGCAGCUAAGCGUGCUUGGUCGAGAGUAGUACUAGGAUGGGUGACCUCCUGGGAAGUCCUUGUGUUGCACCUCUUUUUGCCAAAAUUUUACGUCGCUUUUGAAAAAUAAACUUCGAUUGUAUUUCAUUUUUUCCGUUAAUUUACGCAACCUAAAACUCUAUUCGUUAAUUAGCGUAGUUUGACGUCUUUUUUGAAAAAUAAACUUAGAAAUGCAUAUAUACAAUUACAACGCUUUACUCUCAGGUGCGAUCAUACCAGCACUAAUGCUCGGAUCCCAUCAGAACUCGCAGCUAAGCGUGCUUGGCGAGAGUAGUACUAGGAUGGGUGACCUCCUGGGAAGUCCUUGUGUUGCACCUCUUUUUGCCAAAAUUUUACGUCGCUUUUGAAAAAUAAACUUCGAUUGUAUUUCAUUUUUUCCGUUAAUUUACGCAACCUAAAACUCUAUUCGUUAAUAUCGUAGUUUGACGUCUUUUUUGAAAAAUAAACUUAGAAAUGCAUAUAUACAAUUACAACGCUUUACUCUCAGGUGCGAUCAUACCAGCACUAAUGCUUCGGAUCCCAUCAGAACUACGCAGCUAAGCGUGCUUGGUCGAGAGUAGUACUAGGAUGGGUGACCUCCUGGGAAGUCCUUGUGUUGCACCUCUUUUUGCCAAAAUUUUACGUCGCUUUUGAAAAAUAAACUUCGAUUGUAUUUCAUUUUUUCCGUUAAUUUACGCAACCUAAAACUCUAUUCGUUAAUAUCGUAGUUUGACGUCUUUUUUGAAAAAUAAACUUAGAAAUGCAUAUAUACAAUUACAACGCUUUACUCUCAGGUGCGAUCAUACCAGCACUAAUGCUUCGGAUCCCAUCAGAACUACGCAGCUAAGCGUGCUUGGUCGAGAGUAGUACUAGGAUGGGUGACCUCCUGGGAAGUCCUUGUGUUGCACCUCUUUUUGCCAAAAUUUUACGUCGCUUUUGAAAAAUAAACUUCGAUUGUAUUUCAUUUUUUCCGUUAAUUUACGCAACCUAAAACUCUAUUCGUUAAUUAGCGUAGUUUGACGUCUUUUUUGAAAAAUAAACUUAGAAAUGCAUAUAUACAAUUACAACGCUUUACUCUCAGGUGCGAUCAUACCAGCACUAAUGCUCGGAUCCCAUCAGAACUCGCAGCUAAGCGUGCUUGGCGAGAGUAGUACUAGGAUGGGUGACCUCCUGGGAAGUCCUUGUGUUGCACCUCUUUUUGCCAAAAUUUUACGUCGCUUUUGAAAAAUAAACUUCGAUUGUAUUUCAUUUUUUCCGUUAAUUUACGCAACCUAAAACUCUAUUCGUUAAUAUCGUAGUUUGACGUCUUUUUUGAAAAAUAAACUUAGAAAUGCAUAUAUACAAUUACAACGCUUUACUCUCAGGUGCGAUCAUACCAGCACUAAUGCUUCGGAUCCCAUCAGAACUACGCAGCUAAGCGUGCUUGGUCGAGAGUAGUACUAGGAUGGGUGACCUCCUGGGAAGUCCUUGUGUUGCACCUCUUUUUGCCAAAAUUUUACGUCGCUUUUGAAAAAUAAACUUCGAUUGUAUUUCAUUUUUUCCGUUAAUUUACGCAACCUAAAACUCUAUUCGUUAAAUAUCGUAGUUUGACGUCUUUUUUGAAAAAUAAACUUAGAAAUGCAUAUAUACAAUUACAACGCUUUACUCUCAGGUGCGAUCAUACCAGCACUAAUGCUUCGGAUCCCAUCAGAACUACGCAGCUAAGCGUGCUUGGUCGAGAGUAGUACUAGGAUGGGUGACCUCCUGGGAAGUCCUUGUGUUGCACCUCUUUUUGCCAAAAUUUUACGUCGCUUUUGAAAAAUAAACUUCGAUUGUAUUUCAUUUUUUCCGUUAAUUUACGCAACCUAAAACUCUAUUCGUUAAUUAGCGUAGUUUGACGUCUUUUUUGAAAAAUAAACUUAGAAAUGCAUAUAUACAAUUACAACGCUUUACUCUCAGGUGCGAUCAUACCAGCACUAAUGCACGGAUCCCAUCAGAACUCGCAGUAAGCGUGCUUGGCGAGAGUAGUACUAGGAUGGGUGACCUCCUGGGAAGUCCUUGUGUUGCACCUCUUUUUGCCAAAAUUUUACGUCGCUUUUGAAAAAUAAACUUCGAUUGUAUUUCAUUUUUUCCGUUAAUUUACGCAACCUAAAACUCUAUUCGUUAAUUAGCGUAGUUUGACGUCUUUUUUGAAAAAUAAACUUAGAAAUGCAUAUAUACAAUUACAACGCUUUACUCUCAGGUGCGAUCAUACCAGCACUAAUGCUUCGGAUCCCAUCAGAACUACGCAGCUAAGCGUGCUUGGUCGAGAGUAGUACUAGGAUGGGUGACCUCCUGGGAAGUCCUUGUGUUGCACCUCUUUUUGCCAAAAUUUUACGUCGCUUUUGAAAAAUAAACUUCGAUUGUAUUUCAUUUUUUCCGUUAAUUUACGCAACCUAAAACUCUAUUCGUUAAUAGCGUAGUUUGACGUCUUUUUUGAAAAAUAAACUUAGAAAUGCAUAUAUACAAUUACAACGCUUUACUCUCAGGUGCGAUCAUACCAGCACUAAUGCUUCGGAUCCCAUCAGAACUACGCAGCUAAGCGUGCUUGGUCGAGAGUAGUACUAGGAUGGGUGACCUCCUGGGAAGUCCUUGUGUUGCACCUCUUUUUGCCAAAAUUUUACGUCGCUUUUGAAAAAUAAACUUCGAUUGUAUUUCAUUUUUUCCGUUAAUUUACGCAACCUAAAACUCUAUUCGUUAAUUAGCGUAGUUUGACGUCUUUUUUGAAAAAAAACUUAGAAAUGCAUAUAUACAAUUACAACGCUUUACUCUCAGGUGCGAUCAUACCAGCACUAAUGCACCGGAUCCCAUCAGAACUCGCAGUAAGCGUGCUUGGCGAGAGUAGUACUAGGAUGGGUGACCUCCUGGGAAGUCCUUGUGUUGCACCUCUUUUUGCCAAAAUUUUACGUCGCUUUUGAAAAAUAAACUUCGAUUGUAUUUCAUUUUUUCCGUUAAUUUACGCAACCUAAAACUCUAUUCGUUAAAUAUCGUAGUUUGACGUCUUUUUUGAAAAAUAAACUUAGAAAUGCAUAUAUACAAUUACAACGCUUUACUCUCAGGUGCGAUCAUACCAGCACUAAUGCUUCGGAUCCCAUCAGAACUACGCAGCUAAGCGUGCUUGGUCGAGAGUAGUACUAGGAUGGGUGACCUCCUGGGAAGUCCUUGUGUUGCACCUCUUUUUGCCAAAAUUUUACGUCGCUUUUGAAAAAUAAACUUCGAUUGUAUUUCAUUUUUUCCGUUAAUUUACGCAACCUAAAACUCUAUUCGUUAAAUAUCGUAGUUUGACGUCUUUUUUGAAAAAUAAACUUAGAAAUGCAUAUAUACAAUUACAACGCUUUACUCUCAGGUGCGAUCAUACCAGCACUAAUGCUUCGGAUCCCAUCAGAACUACGCAGCUAAGCGUGCUUGGUCGAGAGUAGUACUAGGAUGGGUGACCUCCUGGGAAGUCCUUGUGUUGCACCUCUUUUUGCCAAAAUUUUACGUCGCUUUUGAAAAAUAAACUUCGAUUGUAUUUCAUUUUUUCCGUUAAUUUACGCAACCUAAAACUCUAUUCGUUAAAUAUCGUAGUUUGACGUCUUUUUUGAAAAAUAAACUUAGAAAUGCAUAUAUACAAUUACAACGCUUUACUCUCAGGUGCGAUCAUACCAGCACUAAUGCUUCGGAUCCCAUCAGAACUACGCAGCUAAGCGUGCUUGGUCGAGAGUAGUACUAGGAUGGGUGACCUCCUGGGAAGUCCUUGUGUUGCACCUCUUUUUGCCAAAAUUUUACGUCGCUUUUGAAAAAUAAACUUCGAUUGUAUUUCAUUUUUUCCGUUAAUUUACGCAACCUAAAACUCUAUUCGUUAAUUAGCGUAGUUUGACGUCUUUUUUGAAAAAUAAACUUAGAAAUGCAUAUAUACAAUUACAACGCUUUACUCUCAGGUGCGAUCAUACCAGCACUAAUGCACGGAUCCCAUCAGAACUACGCAGCUAAGCGUGCUUGGCGAGAGUAGUACUAGGAUGGGUGACCUCCUGGGAAGUCCUUGUGUUGCACCUCUUUUUGCCAAAAUUUUACGUCGCUUUUGAAAAAUAAACUUCGAUUGUAUUUCAUUUUUUCCGUUAAUUUACGCAACCUAAAACUCUAUUCGUUAAUAUCGUAGUUUGACGUCUUUUUUGAAAAAUAAACUUAGAAAUGCAUAUAUACAAUUACAACGCUUUACUCUCAGGUGCGAUCAUACCAGCACUAAUGCUUCGGAUCCCAUCAGAACUACGCAGCUAAGCGUGCUUGGUCGAGAGUAGUACUAGGAUGGGUGACCUCCUGGGAAGUCCUUGUGUUGCACCUCUUUUUGCCAAAAUUUUACGUCGCUUUUGAAAAAUAAACUUCGAUUGUAUUUCAUUUUUUCCGUUAAUUUACGCAACCUAAAACUCUAUUCGUUAAUUAGCGUAGUUUGACGUCUUUUUUGAAAAAUAAACUUAGAAAUGCAUAUAUACAAUUACAACGCUUUACUCUCAGGUGCGAUCAUACCAGCACUAAUGCUUCGGAUCCCAUCAGAACUACGCAGCUAAGCGUGCUUGGUCGAGAGUAGUACUAGGAUGGGUGACCUCCUGGGAAGUCCUUGUGUUGCACCUCUUUUUGCCAAAAUUUUACGUCGCUUUUGAAAAAUAAACUUCGAUUGUAUUUCAUUUUUUCCGUUAAUUUACGCAACCUAAAACUCUAUUCGUUAAUUAGCGUAGUUUGACGUCUUUUUUGAAAAAUAAACUUAGAAAUGCAUAUAUACAAUUACAACGCUUUACUCUCAGGUGCGAUCAUACCAGCACUAAUGCUCGGAUCCCAUCAGAACUACGCAGCUAAGCGUGCUUGGUCGAGAGUAGUACUAGGAUGGGUGACCUCCUGGGAAGUCCUUGUGUUGCACCUCUUUUUGCCAAAAUUUUACGUCGCUUUUGAAAAAUAAACUUCGAUUGUAUUUCAUUUUUUCCGUUAAUUUACGCAACCUAAAACUCUAUUCGUUAAUUAGCGUAGUUUGACGUCUUUUUUGAAAAAUAAACUUAGAAAUGCAUAUAUACAAUUACAACGCUUUACUCUCAGGUGCGAUCAUACCAGCACUAAUGCUUCGGAUCCCAUCAGAACUACGCAGUAAGCGUGCUUGGCGAGAGUAGUACUAGGAUGGGUGACCUCCUGGGAAGUCCUUGUGUUGCACCUCUUUUUGCCAAAAUUUUACGUCGCUUUUGAAAAAUAAACUUCGAUUGUAUUUCAUUUUUUCCGUUAAUUUACGCAACCUAAAACUCUAUUCGUUAAUUAGCGUAGUUUGACGUCUUUUUUGAAAAAUAAACUUAGAAAUGCAUAUAUACAAUUACAACGCUUUACUCUCAGGUGCGAUCAUACCAGCACUAAUGCUUCGGAUCCCAUCAGAACUACGCAGCUAAGCGUGCUUGGCGAGAGUAGUACUAGGAUGGGUGACCUCCUGGGAAGUCCUUGUGUUGCACCUCUUUUUGCCAAAAUUUUACGUCGCUUUUGAAAAAUAAACUUCGAUUGUAUUUCAUUUUUUCCGUUAAUUUACGCAACCUAAAACUCUAUUCGUUAAUUAGCGUAGUUUGACGUCUUUUUUGAAAAAUAAACUUAGAAAUGCAUAUAUACAAUUACAACGCUUUACUCUCAGGUGCGAUCAUACCAGCACUAAUGCACGGAUCCCAUCAGAACUCGCAGUAAGCGUGCUUGGCGAGAGUAGUACUAGGAUGGGUGACCUCCUGGGAAGUCCUUGUGUUGCACCUCUUUUUGCCAAAAUUUUACGUCGCUUUUGAAAAAUAAACUUCGAUUGUAUUUCAUUUUUUCCGUUAAUUUACGCAACCUAAAACUCUAUUCGUUAAUUAGCGUAGUUUGACGUUUUUUUGAAAAAAAAACUUAGAAAUGCAUAUAUACAAUUACAACGCUUUACUCUCAGGUGCGAUCAUACCAGCACUAAUGCACGGAUCCCAUCAGAACUCGCAGUAAGCGUGCUUGGCGAGAGUAGUACUAGGAUGGGUGACCUCCUGGAAGUCCUUGUGUUGCACCUCUUUUUGCCAAAAUUUUAACUCGCUUUUGGAAAAUAAACUUCGAUUGUAUUUCAUUUUUUCCGUUAAUUUACGCAACCUAAAACUCUAUUCGUUAAUUAGCGUAGUUUGACGUCUUUUUUGAAAAAUAAACUUAGAAAUGCAUAUAUACAAUUACAACGCUUUACUCUCAGGUGCGAUCAUACCAGCACUAAUGCUUCGGAUCCCAUCAGAACUACGCAGCUAAGCGUGCUUGGCGAGAGUAGUACUAGGAUGGGUGACCUCCUGGAAGUCCUUGUGUUGCACCUCUUUUUGCCAAAAUUUUAACUCGCUUUUGGAAAAUAAACUUCGAUUGUAUUUCAUUUUUUCCGUUAAUUUACGCAACCUAAAACUCUAUUCGUUAAUUAGCGUAGUUUGACGUCUUUUUUGAAAAAUAAACUUAGAAAUGCAUAUAUACAAUUACAACGCUUUACUCUCAGGUGCGAUCAUACCAGCACUAAUGCCGGAUCCCAUCAGAACUCGCAGUUAAGCGUGCUUGGCGAGAGUAGUACUAGGAUGGGUGACCUCCAGGAAGUCCUUGUGUUGCACCUCUUUUUGCCAAAAUUUUAACUCGCUUUUGGAAAAUAAACUUCGAUUGUAUUUCAUUUUUUCCGUUAAUUUACGCAACCUAAAACUCUAUUCGUUAAUAGCGUAGUUUGACGUCUUUUUUGAAAAAUAAACUUAGAAAUGCAUAUAUACAAUUACAACGCUUUACUCUCAGGUGCGAUCAUACCAGCACUAAUGCACGGAUCCCAUCAGAACUCGCAGUAAGCGUGCUUGGCGAGAGUAGUACUAGGAUGGGUGACCUCCUGGGAAGUCCUUGUGUUGCACCUCUUUUUGCCAAAAUUUUACGUCGCUUUUGAAAAAUAAACUUCGAUUGUAUUUCAUUUUUUCCGUUAAUUUACGCAACCUAAAACUCUAUUCGUUAAUUAGCGUAGUUUGACGUCUUUUUUGAAAAAUAAACUUAGAAAUGCAUAUAUACAAUUACAACGCUUUACUCUCAGGUGCGAUCAUACCAGCACUAAUGCACCGGAUCCCAUCAGAACUCGCAGUUAAGCGUGCUUGGCGAGAGUAGUACUAGGAUGGGUGACCUCCUGGGAAGUCCUUGUGUUGCACCUCUUUUUGCCAAAAUUUUACGUCGCUUUUGAAAAAUAAACUUCGAUUGUAUUUCAUUUUUUCCGUUAAUUUACGCAACCUAAAACUCUAUUCGUUAAUAUCGUAGUUUGACGUUUUUUUGAAAAAUAAACUUAGAAAUGCAUAUAUACAAUUACAACGCUUUACUCUCAGGUGCGAUCAUACCAGCACUAAUGCUUCGGAUCCCAUCAGAACUACGCAGCUAAGCGUGCUUGGUCGAGAGUAGUACUAGGAUGGGUGACCUCCUGGGAAGUCCUUGUGUUGCACCUCUUUUUGCCAAAAUUUUACGUCGCUUUUGAAAAAUAAACUUCGAUUGUAUUUCAUUUUUUCCGUUAAUUUACGCAACCUAAAACUCUAUUCGUUAAUUAGCGUAGUUUGACGUCUUUUUUGAAAAAAAACUUAGAAAUGCAUAUAUACAAUUACAACGCUUUACUCUCAGGUGCGAUCAUACCAGCACUAAUGCACCGGAUCCCAUCAGAACUCGCAGUUAAGCGUGCUUGGCGAGAGUAGUACUAGGAUGGGUGACCUCCUGGGAAGUCCUUGUGUUGCACCUCUUUUUGCCAAAAUUUUACGUCGCUUUUGAAAAAUAAACUUCGAUUGUAUUUCAUUUUUUCCGUUAAUUUACGCAACCUAAAACUCUAUUCGUUAAAUAUCGUAGUUUGACGUUUUUUGAAAAAUAAACUUAGAAAUGCAUAUCUACAAUUACAACGCUUUACUCUCAGGUGCGAUCAUACCAGCACUAAUGCUCGGAUCCCAUCAGAACUACGCAGCUAAGCGUGCUUGGCGAGAGUAGUACUAGGAUGGGUGACCUCCUGGGAAGUCCUUGUGUUGCACCUCUUUUUGCCAAAAUUUUACGUCGCUUUUGAAAAAUAAACUUCGAUUGUAUUUCAUUUUUUCCGUUAAUUUACGCAACCUAAAACUCUAUUCGUUAAUUAGCGUAGUUUGACGUCUUUUUUGAAAAAUAAACUUAGAAAUGCAUAUAUACAAUUACAACGCUUUACUCUCAGGUGCGAUCAUACCAGCACUAAUGCUUCGGAUCCCAUCAGAACUACGCAGCUAAGCGUGCUUGGUCGAGAGUAGUACUAGGAUGGGUGACCUCCUGGAAGUCCUUGUGUUGCACCUCUUUUUGCCAAAAUUUUACGUCGCUUUUGGAAAAUAAACUUCGAUUGUAUUUCAUUUUUUCCGUUAAUUUACGCAACCUAAAACUCUAUUCGUUAAUUAGCGUAGUUUGACGUCUUUUUUGAAAAAAAACUUAGAAAUGCAUAUAUACAAUUACAACGCUUUACUCUCAGGUGCGAUCAUACCAGCACUAAUGCACCGGAUCCCAUCAGAACUCGCAGUUAAGCGCGCUUGGGCGAGAGUAGUACUAGGAUGGGUGACCUCCUGGGAAGUCCUUGUGUUGCACCUCUUUUUGCCAAAAUUUUACGUCGCUUUUGAAAAAUAAACUUCGAUUGUAUUUCAUUUUUUCCGUUAAUUUACGCAACCUAAAACUCUAUUCGUUAAUAUCGUAGUUUGACGUUUUUUUGAAAAAUAAACUUAGAAAUGCAUAUAUACAAUUACAACGCUUUACUCUCAGGUGCGAUCAUACCAGCACUAAUGCUUCGGAUCCCAUCAGAACUACGCAGCUAAGCGUGCUUGGUCGAGAGUAGUACUAGGAUGGGUGACCUCCUGGGAAGUCCUUGUGUUGCACCUCUUUUUGCCAAAAUUUUACGUCGCUUUUGAAAAAUAAACUUCGAUUGUAUUUCAUUUUUUCCGUUAAUUUACGCAACCUAAAACUCUAUUCGUUAAUUAGCGUAGUUUGACGUCUUUUUUGAAAAAUAAACUUAGAAAUGCAUAUAUACAAUUACAACGCUUUACUCUCAGGUGCGAUCAUACCAGCACUAAUGCUCGGAUCCCAUCAGAACUCGCAGCUAAGCGUGCUUGGUCGAGAGUAGUACUAGGAUGGGUGACCUCCUGGGAAGUCCUUGUGUUGCACCUCUUUUUGCCAAAAUUUUACGUCGCUUUUGAAAAAUAAACUUCGAUUGUAUUUCAUUUUUUCCGUUAAUUUACGCAACCUAAAACUCUAUUCGUUAAUUAGCGUAGUUUGACGUCUUUUUUGAAAAAAAACUUAGAAAUGCAUAUAUACAAUUACAACGCUUUACUCUCAGGUGCGAUCAUACCAGCACUAAUGCACCGGAUCCCAUCAGAACUCCGCAGUUAAGCGUGCUUGGGCGAGAGUAGUACUAGGAUGGGUGACCUCCUGGGAAGUCCUUGUGUUGCACCUCUUUUUGCCAAAGCAAUUUUACGUCGUUUUUGAAAAAUAAACUUCGAUUGUAUUUCAUUUUUUCCGUUAAUUUACGCAACCUAAAACUCUAUUCGUUAAUUAGCGUAGUUUGACGUUUUUUUGAAAAAUAAACUUAGAAAUGCAUAUAUACAAUUACAACGCUUUACUCUCAGUGCGAUCAUACCAGCACUAAUGCACCGGAUCCCAUCAGAACUCCGCAGUUAAGCGUGCUUGGGCGAGAGUAGUACUAGGAUGGGUGACCUCCUGGGAAGUCCUUGUGUUGCACCUCUUUUUGCCAAAAUUUUACGUCGUUUUGAAAAAUAAACUUCGAUUGUAUUUCAUUUUUUCCGUUAAUUUACGCAACCUAAAACUCUAUUCGUUAAUUAGCGUAGUUUGACGUCUUUUUUGAAAAAUAAACUUAGAAAUGCAUAUAUACAAUUACAACGCUUUACUCUCAGGUGCGAUCAUACCAGCACUAAUGCUCGGAUCCCAUCAGAACUCGCAGUAAGCGUGCUUGGCGAGAGUAGUACUAGGAUGGGUGACCUCCAGGAAGUCCUUGUGUUGCACCUCUUUUUGCCAAAAUUUUACGUCGCUUUUGAAAAAUAAACUUCGAUUGUAUUUCAUUUUUUCCGUUAAUUUACGCAACUAAAACUCUAUUCGUUAAUUAGCGUAGUUUGACGUCUUUUUUGAAAAAUAAACUUAGAAAUGCAUAUAUACAAUUACAACGCUUUACUCUCAGGUGCGAUCAUACCAGCACUAAUGCACCGGAUCCCAUCAGAACUCCGCAGUUAGCGUGCUUGGGCGAGAGUAGUACUAGGAUGGGUGACCUCCUGGAAGUCCUUGGUUGCACCUCU
rnacentral:lncRNA from 1 species